AGUUAGGUAUACGAGAUUGUAUUCCGUAACGAGUAAAAAGAGACUUCCCGAUAACGAGAUUAUAGAGUCAGGGCCCACCUGUUAAUACAUCAUCACAACAAGAUCUUGUAUUCCGUAACGAGUAAAAAGAGAUUUCCCGAUAACGAGAUUGACCUAGGUAUGGAGAUACCGACGAUCGAAUCUCGGGCAAGUAACAUAUCGAUGGACAAAGGGAAUUGUAUACGAGAUUGAUCGAAUCCUUGACAUCGAGGUUCGACCGAUAUUGAUCUUCGUAGAAUAUGUAGGAACCAAUAUGAGCAUUCAGGUCCCGCUAUUGGUUAUUGACCAAAGAGUGUGUGGGUCUUGUCUGCAUAGUUUCCGAACCCGUAGGGUCUAUACACUUAAGGUUCGGUGACGAUAUAAGCAUAAUUGAGUCAUUGUGUUGGUGACCGAAAGUUGCUCGGAGUUUCAGAUGAGAUCUCGAACGUGACGAGGAACUUCGGAAUGGUCCGGAGGUGAAGACUGAUAUAUAGGAUGAAGGUCAUCGAAGUCCGAAAGUGUUCCGGGGCACACCGAGGAAGUGACGGAAUACCGAAAGGAAUUUUGGGAGGGCCCGACAAUUGUUGGGGGGCCUCACGGGCCAAGGAGAGGGGGCACCGCAGCCCACCACAGGGUUGGGCGCAGCCCCACACCCCUGCCCACUUCGGCCGAAGGGAGGGAGGCCUUCUUCUAGGGCGCCGGCCAGCACAACAUGGGUGGCAAGGCAACAAGUGGGAAGGGCCACCCCAACCCUAGCCGCCACCCACCUUGGACGCCAUCUCCUUCUCCCUGCUGAGCUGUCACCACCUUGGCCCCUAGGGGAAACCCUAGGGUGCCAUCUCCUUCUCCCUUCCCCUAUAUAUAAAGAGGUAGAAAGAGGGCAGCAACAAGACAUCUUGCCACGGCGCUGCUCCUCCUCUCCCUCGUAGUUCCUCUCCUCUAAACAUGGCGCGACGAAGCCCUGCUGAGCUGUCACCACCAUCACCUCACCAUGUCGUCGUGCUGUCGGAGGACUCGGGCUGCUACUUCACCAUCGCUCGCUGGAUCGAGGAGGUGAAGGCGUCAUCAAGCAUAACGUGUGUUGAACGUGGAGGCGUCGUCCGUUCGAUGCUUGAUCAGGAGUUCGUGGGACGGGUCGUGAUCGGAUCGCGAAGACGUACCACUACAUCAACCGCGUUUUUGAACACUUCCACUUAGCGAUCUACAACGGUAUGUAGAUUCAAUCUCUCGUCUCAUAGAUGUGCAUCUUCUAGAUCGAUCUUGAUGAGCGCAGGAAUUUUUUUAAUUCCCAUGCAACGUUCCCCAACAGUGGCAUCAUGAGUUAGGUCUAUGCGUAGAUGACAUCACGAGUAGAACACAAAGGAAUUUGUGGGCGUUGAUAUUCAUAUCACUUCCCUCCUUAGUCUUUUCUUGAUUCAGCGCUAUUGUGGGAUGAAGCGGUCCGGACCAACUUUACUCUUCCACGUACGAGAGAUCGGUUCCAUCGACUGACAUGUAACUUUGUUGCAUAAGAUGGCUGGCAGGUGUUUGUCUCUCCCACCUUAGUUGAAUCGAAUUCGACAAAGGCGGUCCUUAUAGAAGGUUAAAUAGCAACUUGCGUAUCACCGUUGUGGUUUUGCGUAGGUAAGAAGCGUUCUUCCUAGAUACCCAUAGCAACCACAUAAAACAUGCAACAACAAAUUAAAGGACGUCUAACUUGUUUUUGCAGGGUAUAUUGUGAUAUGAUAUGGCCAAAGACAUGAUGAUACAUAUUUGAUGUAUGAGAUGAUCAUGUUGUAAUAGUUAAUAUCGACUUGCAUGUCGAUGCUAUGGCAACCGGCAGGAGCCAUAGGGUUGUCUUCAAUUAUUGUAUGACACGCAUGUUAAUCAUUAAGCGCUAUGUAAUGCUUUACUUUAUCGCUAAAUGGUAGCAAUAGUAGUAGAAGCAUGGUUGGCGCGACAACCUUGAUGGCAACAGGAUGAUGGAGAUCAUGGUGUUGUGCCGGUGAUGAUGGAGAUCAAGCCGGUGCUUCGGAGAUGGAGAUCAAAACCACAAGUUCAUGGCCAUAUCACGUCACUUAUGAAUUGCAUGUGAUGUUAAUCCUUUUAUGCACCUUGUUUUGCUUAGAACGACGGUAGCAUUAUAAGGUGAUCCCUCACUAAAAUUUCAAGAUAAAAUUGUAUUCUCUCUGAGUGUGCACCAUUGCAAAAGUUUGUCGUUUCGAGACACCACGUGAUGAUCGGGUGUGAUAGACUCUACGUUCAAUACAACGGGUGCAAGAUGGUUUUGCACAUACGAAACACUCGGGUUAAACUAAACGAGUCUAGCAUGUACAGACAUGGUCUCGGAACACAAGAGACCGUAAGCCCAAACAUGAGUCAUAUAGUAGAUAUGAUCAACAUGAAGAUGUUCACCAUUAAAACCACCUCAUCUCACGUGAUGAUCGAACUUGGGUUGGUGGAUUUUGAUCAUGUAUCAUUCGAAUGACUAGAGGGAUGUCAAUUUGAGUGGGAGUUUUUUAGUAAUAUGAUUAACUAAACUCAUUAUGUUAAACAAUAUUUUAAGUAAUCUUUGCAAAUUUAUGUUGUAGAUCAAUGGCUCCCGCAGUAGCACCCCUGAAUUUUAAUGCGUUUCUAGAGAAAGCCAAGUUGAAAGAUGAUGGGAGUAACUUUGUAGACUGGGCCCGAAAUCUGAGGAUUGUCCUCGCGGUUUCCCAAAAGGCUUAUGUCCUUGAUGCACCGCUUGGUGAUGCACCUAUCCUCCUGGUGACUGAAGACAUUAUAAACGUCUGGCAAGCGCGUUCUCCUGACUACUCAAUACUUCAAUGUGCAAUCUUGUAUGGCUUAGAACCGGGACUUCAAAGACGUUUUGAACGUCAUGAAACAUAUGAGAUGUUCUAGGAGUUGAAGUUAACUUUGAAAAGAAUGCCCGGAUCGAGAGGUAUGAGACCUCUGAUAUGUUUUAUGCUUGCAAGAUGGAGGAAAACGAGUCUGUCAGUGAACACAUACUCAAAAUGUCUGGGUAUUUCAACCGUCUGCUGAGUUGGGAAUUGUUCUCCCGCCAAAGGGGCAAUCACUGACAGAAUUCUUCAGUAACUGCCACCUAGCUACAAAAGCUUUGUGAUGAACUAUAACAUGCAAGAGAUGAAUAAAUUAGUCGCCGAGCUGUUUGCGAUGCUGAAGGUCGUUGAGUCAAAAAUUCAGAAGGGAACAUCAAGUGUUGAUGGUCAAUAAAACCACUAGUUUCAAAAAAAAUGACAAGGGCAACAAGGGUAACUCCAAGAAGAGUGACAAAGCAAUUGCCCCUCCUCUGAAGAAACCCAAGGCUGGACCCAAGCCAGAAACUGAGUGCUUUCAUUGCAAGGGGACUGGCCACUGGAAGCGAAACUGCACCAAAUAUGUGGCCAACAAGAAGGCGGUCAACACCAAACAAGGUAUAUAUGAUACACGUAUUAUUGAUGUGUACUUCACCAACUCUCAUUGUAGUGCCUGGGUAUUUGAUACCGGUUCAGUUGCUCACAUUUACAACUCAAAACAUUAACUAUUGAAUAAACAGAGGUUGGCGAAGGACGAAGUGACGAUGCGCUUGGAAAAUGGUUCCAAGGUUGAUGUGAUCGUCGUCGGCACGCUCGCUCUUCGAUUACUAUCGGGAUUAGUGAUGAACCUGAAUAAUUGUUAUUUAAUGUCUGCGUUGAGCAUAAACAUUAUAUCUGGAUCUUGUUUACUGCGAGACGGUUACUCAUUUAAAUCACAGAAUAAUGGUUGUUCUAUUUAUAUGAGUAAUAUAUUUUAUGAUCAUGCACCCAAUGUGAAGGGUUUAUUCUUAUUGAAUCUCAAUAGUGAUAGCACACAUGUUCAUAACAUUGAUGUCAAAAGAUGUAAAGUUAAUAAUGAAUUAAUGAUAGUACCACUUUCUUGUGACACUUCCGCUUAGGUCAUAUUAAUGUAAAACGAAUGAAGAAGCUCCAUGCUAAUGGACUUUUGAAAUCACUUGAUUUUGAAUCACUUGACACAUGUGAACCAUGCCUCAUGGGCAAGAUGACUAAGACCCCGUUUUCUGGAAUAAUGGAGCGAGCAAAGUUUUGAGAAUCACGACUCAAGUCUUAGAAUCUUAUGAUCUUACGAUCCAAACUAGCCCUCCGAUUCUACGAUUUUGCUCAUAGAGUCUAAGUUUCUAGGAUCCUGUUAGUUAUGAUUCUACAAUUCACGAUCCUACCAACAGAGCUCCGAUCCGGUUUAGAAUCUCGAUUCUCACAACUUUAGGAGCGGGCAAGUGACUUGUUGAAAAUCAUACGUAGUGAUGUGUGCGGUCCGAUGAGCAUUGAGCCGCCUGGUGGAUAUCGUUAUUUUCUCACAUUCACUCAUAACUUAAGUAGAUAUGGAUAUAUUUACUUAAUGAAACACAAGUCUGAAGCGUUUGAAAAGUUCAAGCAAUUUUAGAGUGAAGUGGAGAAUCAUCGUAACAAGAAGAUUAAAUUCCUACGAUCUGAUCGAGGAGGAGAAUAUCUGAGUUAUGAGUUUGGCACUCAUUUAAGACAAUGUGGAAUUGUUUCACAAUUGACACCGCCUGGAACACCACAGCGUAAUGGUGUGUCCGAACGUCGUAAUCGUACCUUAUUGGAUAUGAUGCGUUUUAUGAUGUCUCUUGCCGAUUUUCCGUUAUCAUUUUGGGGUUAUGCGUUAGAGACAAGUGCAUUCACUUUAAAUAGGGCAUCAUCAAAAUCCGUUGAGACGGCGCCAUAUGAAGUGUGGUUUGGCAAGAAACCGAAGUUGUUGUUUCUUAAAGUUUGGGGAUGCGAUGCUUCUGUCAAAAAGCUUCAACCAGAAAAGCUGAAACCCAAAGCGGAGAAAUGCGUCUUCAUAAGAUACCCAAAAGAGAUGGUUGGCUACACCUUCUAUCUUAGAUCCGAAUGCAAAGUGUUUGUCGCUAAGAACGAAACAUUUUUUGAGAAAGAGUUUCCCUUGAAAAAAUUGAGUUGGAGGAAGAUAGAACUAGAUGAGGUUGUUGAACCUUACUUUAACUAAAGAGUAGCGCGGCGCAGAAAGAUGUUUCUGUGGAGGCUACAUCAAUUGAAGAGGAAGCUGAUAAUGAUGAUCAUGGAGCUUCGGAUCAACUUGCUAUCGAACCUUGUAGGUCGACAAAGGCACGCACCGCUCCACAGUGGUACGGUAACUCUGUCUUAACAGUCAUGUUGUUGGACAACAAUGAACCUACGAGCUAUGGAGAAGCGAUGGUGGGCCCGGAUUUCAACAAAUGGGUAGAGGCCAUGAAAUUCGAGAUAGGUUAAUGUAUGAAAACAAAGUAUGGACUUUAAAAGUGUUACCUGAAGGGCGAAAGGACAUUCAGAAUAAAUGGAUCUUUAAGAAAAAGACAGACGCGGACGGUAAUAUCACCAUCUAUAAAGCUCGACUCGUGGCAAAGGGUUUUUCACAAGUUCAAGGAGUUAACUACGAUGAGACAUUUUCACCCAUAGCGAUGCUUAAGUCCAUCAGAACCAUGUCAGCAAUAAUUGCAUUUUUCGAUUAUGAAAUUUGGCAGAUGGAUGUCAAAACAACGUUCCUUAAUGGUUUCCUUAAGGAAGAGUUAUAUAUGAUGCAAUCGGAAGGUUUUGUCAAUCCAAAGAAUGCUGACAAAAUAUGCAAGCUCCAGCGAUCCAUUUAUGUACUGGUGAAAGCAUCUCAGAGUUGAAAUUAACACUUUGAUGAGGUGAUCAAGGCGUUUGGUUUACACAAAUUAUGGAGAAGCUUGUAUUUGUAAGAAAGUGAGUGCGAUCUCUAUAACAUUUCUAAUAUUAUAUGUGGAUAACAUAUUGCUGAUUGAAAACAAUAUAUAAUUUUUGGGAAGCAUAAAAGAAUAUUUGAAUAAGAGUUUUUUUAAUAAAGGGUCUAGGAUAAGCUGCUUUCAUAUUAAGCAUCAAGACCUAUAAAGAUAGAUCAAGACGCUUAAUAAGACUUUCAGAAAGCACAUACCUUGACAAAGUUUUAAAGAAGUUCAAAAUAAAUCAGUCGAAGAAAGAGUUCUUGCCUGUAUUGCAAGGUGUGAAGUUGAGUAAGACUCAACGCCCAGUGACUGCAGAAGAUAGAGAAAAGAUGAGUGUCGUCCCCUAUGAUUCAGCCAUAAGCUUUAUCAUGCAUGCAAAGCUAUGCACAAGACCUGAUGCCAGCCUUACCAUAAGUAUGACGGGAAGGUUUCAAUUCAGGAAUGAAAUACUGGAGAACGAUCAAGAGCCUUACCAUAAGCAUGUGGACAGCUUGUCUUUGAUUUUGGCAGGGAAUUUACAUAUAUGAAAACAAGGGCCAACGGUGAGACCUUACAGUUACACAUCAGAAUUAGAUGGCCGCUCCAUCAAGUAGACUGCAAGUAAAAGCAUUGUUUGCCAGCUCUAUUUUCUCAGCCUUGAUAACAGCACUCAGUUGAAGGGGUGCAAAGCUCCGAUCAGGAAAGUAGUUACAACCAUCAGCUGCCUCAUAAAUUAAGCCAUCUGCAAUCUAAAAUACAUAGGAAUAAUAAAUUGUACAUAUAAUGUCUUCAUAUCAAUAGGUGGCAGUUUUAUGAAUGUGUCCUAAUUAUAACACAUGUAUAGAGGUAAUACACAUAACACGAAACCACAGUAAAUUUAGAUUUAAAGAUGUAUAGAGGUAAUACACAGAACACUAAACUGGCAAUUUUAUGCAUGUGUCCUAACACAUCUGCAAUCUAAGAUUUGGGAAUUUUCUCAAUACACAUACAAACUGAUCGGAGAUGAAAUAAAAUGGACGUUUAAAGUUCAAUACCUUGGCAGUGUCAAUUUGUAGCAGGUAUAGAUCAUUUUGCCUGUGGAAAUAAUUCUUUAGCGUCAUCUUCACCUACACCAAGUCAAGGAUUAAAUAAACGUAUCUUUUGAGAAGGACCAACACACACACAAACAAAAGGAUGAAUGCAUAUGAUCCAUAUUUUCUGGAAAAAGAAAAGACUCCAGAUCAAGUCACGCCACUGAGAUAACAGGGAUGAUAUGUAACAAAAUAAAAUUUGAGAUAGCCUCCUAGAACAGGCAUAACACUGAUUAGAUUGAAGCUGGUACAGUACAAGUCAGUGCUCAACAGAUAUUACAACACCUGAACAUGCGUGACAGUUCAAGGAAGUGAAUGGGAGACGGCCCUUUUAUCCAGUUGGUCUAGCAUGCUAGCGCAUUCUCAAUGGGAGAUGGCCACUGAUCAGUGGGGUUCAGCUGGGUGGUUUGCUCUUGUUUCCAUCCCGUUUUUCUGUUGCCAUCAAUCGCUUUGUUCGGUUGCCUCGCAGUUUAUUGGGGAUCAGUACAUUAAGCUGCACCCUAACCUGUCCACAAGUGCUGCUGCUGAACUAGAUAGCCUCCGCCAAAUUAUCUGCGACAUUCAAGUAGCGGACCACAAUUCCAAGACUGGUCAGAGAUUGGGAUGGUUAUUAAAUGGCAAACUGCUCUGUACUACUAUCUUCUACAUGCUACUCAUAUGAACCAUUCCUGAACCUUUUUCCUCCCCCCCUCCUUCUGUUUUCUAGCGUUUUCUUAUGUUGCUUUGUUGAACCCCAGACUCUGGUCUCUUUGGAAUAUAUAUAUGGUAGACUGAGGCCUACCUUCUUAUCCCCGAUUAGAAAAAACAGCCUAGGACGCAUCGUUUCCUAUUUUAAUUUAUGAAUCAAUCUGAUUUUUCUUUUGCUAUAAUAUGUUGUAAUGUCACAUUUCUUUUCAAUAGCAGCAUUCUGCAUCGCGUUCCAUAAAUUUCAAUUGCUUGCUACUCCCUCCGUUUAAGCCUUUUUAGAGAUCUCGAUAUGAACUGCACAUGGAUGUAUAUAGACGUAUUUUAGAGCGUCGAUUCACACAUUUUGCUCCGUAUGUAGUCCGUAUCGAAAUCUCUAAAAGGUCUUAUAUUUAGGAAUGAAUGGAGUAGUAUAUUAAGGAUCAUUACAAUUUACUAAUACCAACCUAUAUAAACUGAAAGAGUCAAUCAGAAAAGACAUCUAGUAUGAGCUAUUGGGCAUACUCAGAGCAAUAGGCCCCAAACAUCGACGAGGCUAAGAAACCCAAAGUUCUGUCAAGACACCCAGGCAAGGAAAUCAAGGGUUCUCGAUCUCAGAUCAACGGAAUCAUACAGGAAAUGGCACCUCCCGACAACAUCCAUGGUUAAGCCGGAAGUCCAAUUUAAGCAGUACAGGGAGAAAUCUACUGACAGAUCAGUCAGAUAGAACAAUAUCUGUAGCGGAGAUCUGACGAAGCCGAGAGAUCUGGAGAGAAAGGGGAUGCAAGACGGAAGGAAUCAAAUUAGCCGGGGGUACCUGGGCGUGGUCGCUGAGGUGGAAGCAGCUGGUGGAGCGGUCGAGGUCGCCGCCGAGGGUGCAGCCGGUGCGCUGGAGCUCCGCCCACUCGCUCCCCGUGCUGAUCCGGUACACGAAUGCUGGCGGCGGCGGCGUUGCCAUUGCGGUCGGCCCGCUAACAACUGUGUUGUCCAAAGCGAAAUGAGUGGGCCGUACGUGUCUGGCGGUAAAAUAAGAGGGUGUUUGUUUUCACGGAUUUAUUGGUUUUGGGACUUAAAAAAGUCCCUAUAAGUCCCACCUAAAUCAAACACAAAGGGCUUAUUGAGACUUAUUAUGGUUAUUUGGGACUUAUCAAAUAAGACUCUCUAAUAGAAAUUUAUUGAGACUUAUUCUGGUUAGGCCCGCGGAAGUCUNGGGUGUCUGGUUCCAUGGAGUUUUCUGGUCCUGCUGGUUCAUGUUGCUGGUUCAACCCGGCAGUACCGUGCCCAUGGCUGAUGACCAGUUUCCUGUUGACAUUUUGGCUGAUGAUGAUCCAUAUUGACUGCAGGUUACCGCGCCAUGGCUGAUGAUGAUCUCCGCGUCCCAGGUGACCGUACCAUGGCUGAUGAGGAGGAGGAGCAGAUGCCUUUUUUCUCUCAGUUCUCAUCCGCCGGUGGAAAUCUCGGGAGGAGAAUGGGUUUCGGGCGUUUCUUGGAUCUCAACAGCAACGUCGACGACUUCCCGGAAUUGGGCUCGUACGAGCAACUCCUCUUCGACUAGUCGGCCGGUCAUGGCCUUCCUCCGAUCGGACCUGGUCGUGGUAGGCCCAUGCCCCAGGGCGGAGGAGGUCGCAGCCGGUCUCUGAACAUCGGAGGUCGAGCCGGCUCUCACCUGCGUCCGUUCGUCGCCCCGGCCGCAGUUGUCGUUGAGGGAGGCGUCAUAGGCCGUGGGAGGACCGUGUCGCGGGUCACCGGGCGCGGCGUAGGUCAAGCCAAUGCGUCCUCAUCUAUCGGCAGUAAAGGAAAAACUGCGGGGAAGCAACGUGUGUCGUCAACUGCUGCGUUUUCAGAAGAUGUCGACGAGAAUGAAGGCUUUGAAGAUGAAGAUGACAACAAUGGUUUUGGAGAGGUAAAUUUUUAAAUUGUGUAUAUAGUUCUUUUUUUGUAUCAGCGUUAAAAUUCAUCUUCUUUUUGUGCUAGCUAAUUGUGUGAACUUGUUAUUUUUAGUUUGAAAUGUCUACUUGUUAUUUUUGUUUGAAUUGUGUACUUGUUAUUUUUGUUUAGAAAACCAUUGCAAAGGCCGAUUGGACAGACGCGCAUAUUACUAUAUUUUGUAACAUCGCCUGUGAGGAAGCUAGGGAUGGGCACUGUGUGAAUGGUGUUUGGACAAGUAGAGCAUACAGUAACAUGAAGAAAAAAAAUUAUCAGCGUGCGGGCCUCCUGCAUAGUACCAACCAAUUCAAAAAUUGCAUUGCUAGACUCAAGAGCUGCUAUACUGCUUGGGUGUGGUUGGGGCAGCAAACUGGUUGUGGCCGAACUGGAGAUGGAGCUAUAACCGCAUCAAAUGAGUGGUGGAAAAAAAUAAUUAAGGUACAUACAUUAUUUUUCAAAUUACAUCUGAAUUGCUCACACUUGUUUACAUUAUUCAGCCUUGUACUAAUUAUCUAACUAAUGAUGCAGGAGAGACCAGAUGUCAGAAAAUUCAAGGGUGGCAAUCCUGAGUAUUUGGAUAUGCUAAUAGAGCUAUUUCAAGGUGUGGCAGUUGAUGGAUCAUCAGCUUAUGUGCCCUUAGAUGAAGAUGAUGAAGAAGAAUAUGAUGUUGCCGAUGAUGGAAAUGAGGAGAGUCCAAUGAGCACCACCAGCAAGAAGAGGGGGAGCAGCGGCGGUGAACAGUCAGCUUCAAGCCCAGGAAAGAAACUCAAGAGCCCAAUGGUGAAACUAAUGACAGGGCUCAUCAAUACUAUUAACAGUGAUAACACUUCUGACAUGAUCACUGAAUAUGCAAACAAAAGGCAGGAAGCAAAGGACAAGGCAAGAGAGAAGAAAUCAAACAACACUAAGGAAUCCAUUACUCAUUGUCAAUUGUUGGUAGUUCAAUGUGGUGCAGAAGAAACAAGUGUUGAGUACUUCAUGGCGACUCAACUUUUUGCAGAUGAGGCAAACAGAGUCAUAUUUGAGAACAUUUCAACUAAUGAGGCUAGGCUGACUUGGUUGAAGAGGUGGUGCAUGAUGAAGAAGUUGUACUAGUGUACUAGCUAUCUUGAUUGUCCUUUUUAAUAGAACUAUGUAAUGGACCUGUGUUGUGUGACCUUGUUAAAUGACCAUUGCAUGUUCAAGUGUUUAAUUUGCACGUACUAAUGUUUUCAAGUUCAAGAGGUGGUGCAUGAUGAAGAAGUUGUACUAAUGUUUGCAUGUUUCAGGAUGAUGACAUCAGUGUUGAUGGAAUAAGCAGUGAUGAUGGGAGCAGCAGUGAUGACGAAGCACUGAUGUUGUUCAUGCACCAAAAAAGAAAGAGAAGAAUGAUGCAGAUGGCCUGCAUGAUUGGUAUGUACCACUUGGACUCUUAUUGUAACAAAGGACCUAGAAGAGUACCAAUAGAGUCUGGGCAUGAUUGGGUUAUGACAACACUACGCAACGAAAUGGCCUGUUACAACAUGUUUAGAAUGCACAGACCAGUGUUUGAGAAAUUGCAUAGUGUGCUUGUUGAUUCCUAUGGUUUGAAGUCCACUAAAAGAAUGUCAUCAGUUGAGUCUCUAGGCCUGUUUCUAUGGAUAGUAGGUUCCCCUCAAUCUGUAAGACAAGCAGAAAACAGAUUUGUUAGGUCAUUGGAGACAAUUGUAAGGAAGUUUGAUAAGGUUUUGGCAUGUCUGAUCAAGCUUGCAAAAGACAUCAUCAGGCCAAUAGAUUGUCAAUUCAGGACUGUGCAUUUAAAAUUAAGAUCUAGAAAGUAUGCACCGUUUUAUGGAUAAUUGCAUUGGUGCAAUAGAUGGUACACACAUACAAGUUGUGGUACCAGUUGCCACUGCUGCCCAGCAUAGGAAUAGACAUAAGGAGAAGAGUCAGAAUGUGAUGCGUGUGUGUGACUUUGAUAUUAGAUUCACAUUUGUCCUAGCUGGUUGGCCAGGAUCAGUGCAUGACAUGAGGGUCUUCAAUGAUGCCCGAUCCAGAUUUGGUGACAAGUUUCCAAAACCUCCACCUAAUAAGUUCUAUCUUGUGGACUCAGGGUACCCAAAUAGACCGGGUUAUCUUUCACCAUACAAGGGUUUAACCUAUCAUUUCCAGGAGUACCGUGAUGGCACAAUGCCUAGAGGAAAAAAGGAACACUUCAAUUUCACUCAUUCUUUACUUAGAAAUGUCAUCGAGAGGUGUUUUGGAGUCCUGAAGAACAAGUGGAGGAUUUUGUUUCACUUGCCUAGUUAUCCACAGCAGAAACAAAGCAAAAUAAUUGUGGCUUGCAUUGCACUGCACAAUUUUAUUAGACAAAGUCAACUCGCCGAUAUAGAUUUCGACUUGUGUGAUCAAGAUGAAAAUUAUGUACCAUUGUCUAUGCCAACGACUACAACAAAUGAGAUGGACAGUGCUGCUAUGAAUCAAUUCAGAGCUUGAGUCGCUGAUGGGUUGUGGUCCUUGAAACAACAAUGAUAUGAAGAAGUGUUCUUCGCUUAUGUAAUUUCUGUUAUCCCGGUUGUUAUGUACUCUGUCUUAUUUUGGUUCUUAUGAACAAGUAUUAAUUCAUUUGUAUGAACAAGUGUUAUGAACAAUUAUUAUUUUGGUUGUCACUAUUCUGCAAUUCAUUUGUAUGAACAAGGGUUAUGUGAACAAGUGUAUUUUAUUAGGUGCAACAUGAACUUAUAAGUUCCUGUAAACAAACAGGUAGGGACUCGGGACUUAUAAGUCCGUGUAAACAAACAGGUAGGGACUUAUGACUUAUAAGUUGGGACUUAAAAAAGUCCUAGGACUUAUGAAACAAACAGGGCCUAAGCUGAAGCGGAGGAAUAGCACUAGCAAAACGUCAUUCCCACCGGCGAUGUCCUUCUCCUCCGCCGUCUCCAAGCUCCACGCGAGAUGCCACUCCCUCUCCGGCAGUCUCCGCCAUGAAACAACUACACACCCAUCCCCUCCUCUCCGCCUACCACCAUUGCAGCCCCUCCCCGUACCCGAAAAGGGAAAAACGAAUUACGUGCAUACCGGCUGCAAAUCAAAAUCUGCGCGUACCCAGCGCUGAUGGGUGACACGUGUACAAGCACAACAUCUGACGGUUGCCUGGUCGGCUGAAAAUACAAACAUCUCACGGCUGAAAAUACAUUUGUCUUUAAAGAAAGAUCUAAAAAACUAGAAAUGCAAUAGCGAGUUCGGACACCCUGCAAGACCCAUCGCAACCACUCGUCAUCGAGCAGCUUACCAUGAAACGAAAAUCCAAUGACACAUGCAGAACCAACUAUCCUAAACGGAACAUAGUUCAGAAUAACAAAAUGAUGCCGGUCGGAACCUGAGGCUCACGAGUGAGCAAACAGCAAAAGCUCGCGCAGGAGACAACAUCAACAGAAUACAGUCCAAAAACAAGCAAGUUUCUGAAAGCAGCAACCCAAAAAUGCAGGCAUCAAUCCGUCACCGCGUUAAUUGGGGCUGCGCAGGUCCUCAUCAUAGUUGAUGCAUUGGUUCUGAGCAUCUUGGUUCCACGUUCCAUUGCUUCGCGAUCAGCUCCAUUUAUCAAACAUGUCUAGUAAGUUAGAAAACCACAAGCAGAGAAGACCACAUCAAAAGGAGUCUUCAUUAUAUUUUUUUGCUCGAAUGUAGCUCGAUUUUGACUAUUCCACAUGGCACAGCAUAUCGCAGCUAAACCAAAGGUAUAAAAAAUUUCAUCAUCAAGUAGAAAAAUAUAGCACCAAAAAAAGUAUUUGACAUAAAGUGUAUGGGCAUAAAUUAGUGCGAGAGACACAACCCACCGUUCUUCAGAUCACCCUGACAACAGGACAUGUAAAGAAGAGGUGUUGGGAGGUUUCCCCGACCCUACCGAAAGAGCAUCUAGGGUUAUGUGCCCACUUCCACCUCUUCAUGACAUCAAACGACAUCUUGGAACAGCUGUCAUAAAUUUUUUUGUAGCUUAAGAGGUAAUUUGGAGUUCCAAAUCCACAUGUAAUCACACACAACAAUAUAUCUUCCAAACACGCAUAAAUUAAUUUGCUCGAGAAGCGGUUGCUUCUCCCUAGAGUCCAAGCUAUCUGAUCAAUUCUCAAGAGAAUGAACAUGAAUCAAUUAUAGUUUUGAGCUCCAGCCAGUCAUCUAACAAAGGUGGGUAAAGGGGUCUUCUAAAGAAAUCAUCUCAUGUACCAUUCUUCUUGGGGAUAUUUCCCACGGAUAUUACCCGGCAUAAGGAAUGACCCGGUAAUAUAUCAUGCCAUUCCUUGACCUGGAUUAUACAAGACAAUUCUUGAAGACACCAAGUCAAAGACGAAGACCCCUUCGUGGGCGGGCUCAUUGCAUAUCGUGGGCCGGCUUGUGGAGAAUGUCUGGGUGAACUGAGAAGUUUAGGCGAUAGACCAGAACACGGGUUAGGGGAUACGACCAGGACUCUUUGUAACCUUAGGGGCUUUACCUAUUAUAUAAAGGAGACCCCGGGAACAAAACAAUCAAGGAAAAAAACCUCGUGAGCUAGGUUAGCGAUUCCGUACCCUUGUAAUCGAGAUCAUCAUCAUCAAUGACAUUCAAGCAGGACGUAAGCUUUUAACUCCAUCGGAGGGGCCGAACCUGGAUAUAUCCGUGUCUUUUCAUUCUUGAUCACCUACAUCCAAGCAACCACCUAAUUGUGAUGGCUCCUAGACUUAGUCCUUUCACAAGGACAUCUGUCGUGACAAAACCACGAUAGUUGGCGCCCCACCAUGGGGCCAAUGCACGGUGGUUUGAGUUCUUGGAGGGAGCUCUCUUAUGGAUCAAGGGAUAUGUGAUCGGCCGAAUGACGAAGAGUCGACACGGCAACUCUACAUCAACGAUUCUGGCUGGGGUUCCAAGGCCGACUCAAUCGAGUUCGGGUACCGGUCCCCUUUGGCAAGAUCCACGUCUUCACCGGCCAGAUCGGUGAAUCCAAAGUCGAGCAGGACAUCUCCACUGACAAUGUCGAGCCAGCUCGCCGCUCCCAACCCAGCCCGGCACAACCCGCCCGGAAGCCCGAUAUCAUUAAGACUGCGAGAUCUGAGCUCAAGCUGGAAAUCUUCAUUGACAUCAACGAGCCAGCUCGGUGCUUCCAAACUUCGGGCAUUCGAGGAGCCUUCUUGAAGUUUUAUCCAAAGUCUCUUUAAUAGAUGUGUUUCUCGUUUAGGAGUUCUUCGAAUUCAAAGAUCCUUUAUUUCCCAAACUUCUACCUUAACGUGAAGCAAUUUCCUGGUCCGAAUUUCAGCGGCGGCCUGGCCCUACUCUAACAAUCUUCGGCUACUUAAUAAUUGGCGUGUUGUCACUUUUUUUGAAAGAUCCAGGGUUACCGGCUUCAUUGAUUUAUGAGAAAGCAAGCGGGAAAACAGUGGUGAUGAAGCAAUAAUGCUUACAAGAGGUGGCCCAAAGACUAAAAACUAAAAAUAAAGCACGUCGUCGUCUAUCUCACUACAUCUUCCCCAAAGGAGGGCUCAAGACAGCGUGCACCCUCCAGUCGCCACGGUUCCAGGCUUCCCUUGAUGGCACGUAGGACAUCUUCAGUUCGCAGCAGCUUAUUUUUAAAAAUGCAAGCAUUCCGCUCCUUCCAGAUUUCCGGGGCAAUCAUCAACAACAUCGACUUGAGACCCUUCUUAAAUCCAGCCGGUGAGAGAGCAAUCAGCCUCUGGCAGUGCCUGAGGGAGCCGUGGUGCAUCUUCCGCUUUUCCUUCAAGGCUGCGCGCCGACCAUUGUGGACGCCGUCUGUCAGAUCGAGGAGGAGAAGGGGCAGUCCCGAAGGAGGUGCAUUGAGUUCUCGAAGUUUUUGACGCGGUGGGAGCAGAAAUAUCCAUAAUAUCCAUUUGGCCACCCGUACCGCUGCAGCUGGUGAUUGCACCACAGUCUGUCAUGAUGCACAACUUGGGAGAUCUCCACUGUGUGUUUGCACAACUUGGGCCACACCUUUGAGACGUCCAGUCAGGAGAGUUUAUGGUGCCCCGAAACACGCGGGAUUGUAUAGACAACCGCCCGUUGAUCACCACGCUAACUUAAUGCACCAAGCUAGGAAUAUGCGAGUUUAUUGCUAUCGGACUCAAACGUCUGAUUACCAUAAAAGGUUUGACCAUAAAGAGAAUACAUUUCACAUCCUCUGCAGUCCAUACUGCCUUGCGUCUCUUUCGCUCAGCGCUCUGGCGUAUCCAAAUCCCCUCACACAAUCGCGCACAACAUCCUCUCGCCAUGGCGGCCUCCACUGCAUCGUCAUCAGACUCCACCAGCCUCCUCGAGGGGGAGUGGAAAAGCUGCAUCAUGAACCCAACCGCAAAUGGACCGGCUCACCGAGCUAGGAUAUCUUCCUCCACCCCAAGUCGCAUUUGCCCGUGUCAGCCUGGUGGCCCUCGAUGAUAAUUUUUCUUAGGAUCCAUCUCCCGAGCCGCGGGAGCAAGAACAUGUAUGCUUCAUUCCCUUCCUUCUUAGGGGCGUAGGCUUCCCACAAUUCACACUUUUUAAAGGGGUCUUCUGCAUUUUUGUGACAUCCAACUUCAUGGCCCGUCCGCUAAUUCCAUCCUCCAUAUUGCGUGCUUCGUUACUUUAUAGCAAAAGGGCCCAUGCGUUGCAACGGGAGAAAAAAAACACCACCUUCAAUAACGAUGACCACAUUAUGUUCAUAUCUCAUUGCAUGAUUUCGAAAAUUUGUUCACAAAUGCAAGAAAAUAUUCCUUCCUUUAAUUUUAUUCACAAUUCACAAGUUGAAACAAUGUACAUAUUUUUUUUAAAAUAUCAUGGUUGUCAAAAAACUUGGUAACUCAAAGAAUUAUUCUGAAUUUCAAGAAACAUUUUUUUAAAAUAUACUAUAAUAUUCCAAUCCACCCCCACAAUUAAUUCUUCAAAAUUCACUCAGGUAUAUAAUCAGAAAGACUCUGAAGCAUUAGUAUUUAACUGCAUACAUUCAAUCAUUCGUGAACAUUUUUACAAAUUUGGGAACAUUUUUAAAAUUGAGAUUUUUUUUACUAUUUAUAAACAUUUUUCUGAAAUUCCAAACAAUAUUUUAUAUUGCGAACUUUUUUAUGUAUUUUCUUGUGAAUUGGUGAAUAAUUCAAUUUUUGAAUUAUCAAACAUUUUUUUAAUUGCAUUAAAGAAAUUGCUCAAAAUGAUGGAAUUUUUUUGAUUCACGAAUGUUUACUCCAAAAUUACGAUUUUUUUAAUAUGCAAACAUUUUUAAAAAAAUCCUGAAUAAUUUUUGACUUCGCAAACAUUUAAUGUUUUAUAAAAUUUUUAUGUAAAUAUAAUUUUUUUCAAUUGCGAAAGUUUUUUUGAUUUAUUUGAAUUAGAAAAAAUAAAAAGAAACAGAUAAAUAAUAAUUAAAGUACUAAAAAAACAGGCCCCCGCCCAUGGGCUGGCCCAAAUGGAUGUGUUGUUUAUUUUCCAGCGAGCAGACCGUAGUAUAGCUGGUCCCUAUGCUUUGGCCGGCCCAUGCUAGGAUUCCUAUAAAACGUUUUCUAUAAUUUAUCGGUGGCAUUGGUGGGUAAUAUUAGACAAUUUUGAAGGCAAUAUAAAUGACGUACCACAGAAGCAAUAUUUGCUUUAUUAAUACUAGCAAAAAAAUCCGUGCGUUGCAACGGAAGAGAAAAUAACACACGCUUUGAACGUAAUAUAUUAGCACAUUUGUGUUGUCGACGAUGACCUCAGUGCUCAUACAACGAAAACGCGUUUGAAUGUACAAUCACUCGGAAUAAGAUGAGAAAUAUGUUGUUUCUUCCCACGAGAUUUUCCGAAGAUGUGCAUGUGUGGUUAACGAUGUUUUCUUUCCUCUCGAUUUGGUUUUAAUUUAAUGGAUAUUUAUUGCAAUUCGUAUGGUCGUCGGAAAGAGAGAGAAAAAAGACAGUGCAUUACAGAUUAAGUUUGCACCAAAAAUAAUAUUUAAGAAGUAUUCAACAGCUAAAAAUAACAUCCUAUUUAGAUUCUACACAUUUUUUUAAUCAAAUUUCAUAUAUAACAUGUUAAAAUCGGAGUUACGGUUUAAAAGAUAUGGAUAAUUUUGUUUUAGAUAAAAUAUGGAUUGAUUAACUGGAAAGUCAGGUUUUUUUUGUUAAAACAAAAAAACGUUUCGGCUGACUUAAAUAGGGACGACGGGUUGAUUACGUGAAACAUCAGGGAGUUUUCUGUAAAAUGCAAAAAAACGGUUCAGCUCUGCCUAAAAGAUGGACCGCUGGUUGAUUAUCUAAAACUAUGAGGACUUUUCUGCAAGACAACAGAAAACGGUUCGUUCUGACUUAAAGUUGGACUGCGGGUUAAUUAACUGAAACGGCGAGGGCUUUUCUGUAAAAUGACCGACGACGGACGACAGAAGCGCUGCGCGCUUUAUUAUUAGGGGAGAUUAAUAGGUAAAGAUGUGAGGCGUUCCUUGGCUAUGAGUGACACUUUGACCUAUGGCUCAAGUACUGUUCCGUCAUACCCGAGGUACUCGAAAAUGAAGUGUGGCGGGGCCGAAGUGUGUAGGGUGGCUGUGUCUAGUUACCUAGCUUGUCGGCACCCUAAAAGAAGCUAAAUGAAAAUUGGUCCGAGGAGUACAUUCCCAAUGUACCUAUCAAAGAUCCUCCCCGCAAAGGCAUCGUUUCUUUCUCACAUGAACCCUCGCGAAAGAGGUACAACUGCCGUUCGAGGACCCGAGCUCGAGAGGGAGUUAUAGUGAUUAGGCUCGCUGCCAAGGUGACUGUUUUACAUCACCAUGGGUAAACCUUAUUUGAUGUCACGGUGAUGGCGCUUAUCCGAGGAAUUUAGCAUCUACAAUAGUGUGCCCACCCCAUGUGGCAAUAUACCCGCGUCCAUGACUUGUCCCAUGCCAUUGGAGAUGGGUCCACCCAUGGUGAUGUAAAACACCAUGGGUUUAAUGGAUCGCCGGGAUAAGCUCCCCGACCCGUCAUCUGGAAGGCCGGAAUAGCGAGUGUGAUCUGGACCGUCCAAGGACUCCAAUGCUAGCGUCAUGUACCAAGAUGAUGUCUUCUAUCGGGAUGGAGGUGAUGGUGAGGAAAUCGCCGUCAUCGUCAACCGCCCGUGCUCGAUCUUGAUCCAAAGUAAUGUGGUGGAGACCCUAGGCCCGACUCCAAACAAUCGAGCAACCGACACUGCUCGGGCAGCAGAUAUUUUGGUCGUCCGCCGUCGAAAGGUUGUUGAACUAAGCAUCAGAGGCAAACCUCCCAAAGAGCCUCAACUCAAGCUCGUCCCCAAACCAAAAGGAAUCCUGACCUGAACAUAUAUAGGCGAGGUUGGUACUUCUAAGCAGGUACCUUGCAGGCCUCCUGCUUCCUCAAUGCAAAGAUUGUGUCAUUUCCUCACAAGGUUAUUUUUAUUAGGAGAUGCCAUGAUACCCAUCUUUAUAUAUAGAUCCAACCGUGCCGCAACGGCCGGAUCAACAGUUCCUCCUCCUCUAACGGCUUCAGGGGGAGCCUAAGGUUCCACCCAAGAAGAGUCCUCGGCGAUGUUGGCUACUCUAUUUGAGGGCGAGAGCAUGCUACACGUCAUCGGGAAAGAAAAGAUUUCCUGAACAACAAUGCUUUCACAACCUAGCAACAAGAAGCUCUUCGUUUCGCGGACGAGUGUCGUGGACAUUAAAAUUGGGGGCAAUUUGUCUAAAUCAGUUGUAAAAAUUUGAUAAAAUUCUGAUUUGUGAUGUUCUCUGUCACAAGCGUGAAUGUUGGGGUAAAAGAUGGAAUUAAGUCUUAUAUAUUUCGUGCCACAUACAUUGAGAAAACAUGCACUUAGAUAAGAGAUUAUAUGGUUGGUGACCACAUACAAUAAAAAAAGAUAUUUGAAAAGGAGGCAUGUUUUUUUUGUGUGGGUGAGGCAUGUUGAUUUCUGAGAUGCAAUAAUUAAAAGUAUUUCCAUGAAGUAAUAAUAACGAAUUGUGGAGUUCACAUGAAGUUUCCAAUAAAGUUAUUGUACAUUUGAUUAAAAAAAUUAAGUGUUGCAGUUGAUAGUUUGUCUAAAAAUUAAUGUAUUGCCAGAGACACACAUUGUACAUUAACACAUACUAACUACUACGGCGGAGGGAAGAUGACUCGGGUAACCUAACAGACCGUCGCUAUCCAUGACUCAUCGUACGAGUUAACAUGUACUCCCUCCAUUCUAAAAUAUAAGACAUUUUAGAAAUUUUACUAGAAGACUACAUACGGAGCGAAAUGAAUGAAUUUAUAUUCUAAGAUAUGUCUAUGUACAUCCAUAUGCAGUUUAUAAUGCAAUCUCUAAAAGGUCUUAUAUUUAAGAACGGAGGGAGUAUUAACUACUAAGGGGUAAGGAAGAUGGCUCGAGUAACCUGACAGACUAUCGCUACCCGUGACUCAUUGUAUGUUAACACAUACUAACUACUAAUGCGUAGGGAAGAUGACUCGAAUAACCUAACAGACUGUCGCUACCCAUGAUGCAAUUAAAAAAAACCGGUAGAAUUAUAAAUCCCUCAAAAAAAGGUAGAAAUAGAAGAAUUUGGAAAGAGGGCUAAGACAUGGUUGUGGGAAUAAAGGUGGUUGGAAGGAGGGGUGAAUAGAAUAAAAUCCUGUCGUGUUAUUUCUUGAUAUAUGUAAUUACUAUGUUUUUCUCGUUAUUCGGUGGCAACACUGGGACAUUCAGCUAGUUUUAGAACCCAUAAAUAUGUUUACAAGAAUAGAAGAAAGGACAUAUGCUACCGGCUAACACCACACCACCACCGAUUGAAAAGGAAACUAAUAUGAAAACACCUCACUUCUGCAUAUGAAUGAUAAAUUCCCUCGAUAAAUCAUUGAUGAAAACGCACAACAAUGGUUGGCGCCAAGCGAGACGACUUCCCGGCUUGCUUACAAUCCCACCUACUACCUAAUUUUUGUUUUGUUUUGAGGGGUUUCAAUCCCACCUACCUACUCGACCUGCCGCAUCCAGUGACCCCUCCGUGGGCACGACCCGGUUAAAGAGAGCUGAGCACGAGGCCCAACCUUCACCGAACGACAGUAGACAACGAUGCAUCAACAGCCAACGAGUGCUAUACUACAUAUAUAUGACCAGGCUUUGUAGCAUCAAUCAGAAGCCUCCCUAUAGAGAAACAGCAAGAUAGCUAGCUUCAUGCAUUAGAGGUUUUCGUCAGCUGGCUAACUAGAACUCUCUCACAUGCUCCUCCACUAUUCAAGUGCGCAUGCCACAGACACACUUGGCAUGUAUCGGUCGGGAGUUCAUUGUUCAUAUAGAUACAGAGUGAGUUGCAAGAGAGUUGGACAGGUAGAUUUGGAUUAGUUCGUAUAUAAGACGGCCGCACGUACGGAGAUCGUUCAGAUGGGGAGCAAGAGUUGGCAGGAGUCGAAGGUGCUGUGGCACAUCGCCUUCCCUGCGAUCCUCACGGCCGUGUUCCAGUUCUCCAUCGGCUUCGUCACCAUCGGCUUCGUCGGCCACAUCGGGGAGGUCGAGCUUGGCGCCGUUACCGUCGCUGUGAACGUCAUCGAGGGCUUCGCUUACGGUGUCUUGGUACGCAUCAACCCAGGCAGGCACGCCGAUUACCAUGCAUAUAUUCUUCAUGUUUAUGAAUGUGUAUAGACAUGUUUUAAAAGUAUAGAUGCAUCUAUCUUGUUUCGUAUAUAGAUCACAUUAAAAUGUCUAAAAAAUAUAUUUAAGAAACGAAAGAAGUAUAUGCUAGCGUGCAUUCCUACUUGCUACCUACUCUCUCCGUUCCAUAAUAUAAGUCUUUUUAGAGAUUUCACUAGAAGACUACAUACGGAUGUAUAUAGACAUGCUUUAGAGUGUAGGUUCACUCAUUUUGCUCCGUAUGUAGUCUUCUAGUGAAAUCGCUUAAAAGACUUAUAUUUAGGAACGGAGGGAGUAGCCACUAACUCUGUUUUAAAAUAAUUGAACUUCUCAGUUGCUCCUAGGUCAAACUUGUUUAUGUUAUGCCUUGUCAUUCCCACUUGCUAGCUAGCUACUAACUCUAUUUGAAAAUAAUUGAACUUCUCAGUUUCUCCUAAGUCAAACUUGUUUAUGUUAUGCCAAGUCAUCGUAUCAUAUUUUUUUAAAGAGUUGGUCAAAUUUAAAAAUGUUUGACUUGAAAAAAACCUAGAACUUCAAUUUUAAAUAUGUUACAUCCUACCAUUUGGUGUUAUUACACCCACGUCUUACAUACUACCAUAUGGUAGUAUAUAUACCACUUUACCAUUUUUAAUAUAUUCAUAUACUAUAUCUAAAAAAAAAUUAAAUGACCUACAUGUUUGUUGGUUACCCAUGAGCAGGGAGGUUUGGACUACCUGUAUGUGAGGGGUUGGGGCCCUGUAGGGUAGCAACGCCAUCGUAAAAAAUCCAUGUAGAUGAGUGGUUAUUGAGAAGACGAUCGAUUAGAUGCCGAUCCAAUGGCGGUAGCCACCGAAGAUGAAGAUUUUGAGGGUGGUGGAACGGUGGUGUGGUAGAGAGGGAGAAAGUGAGAACGAAGAGAGGCUUAGGGUUGACUGCUAACAGAGUUAAAGAAAAAUGAAAUAAACUAAUCUUUACCAUGGGCUUGUAAUGGUAAAAGAGGAGUGACAUAGUGGAUUGUUUUUCCACGCAAACUAGUCUAGUGUGUUCCACACACAGAGUAUGCAUGAGCACUGUGUGGUGUGAUGGUGUCACUAGCUACAACACGGUAGUUAUUCAAAUAUUUGUAAAAAUGCCUCUAAAGGUUCAUAGAACGCUAGAGAAAAUCUUGACAGUGAAUGAUAAUCUCAUGGUUAUCCGGAGUCGACUGACAAGAUCUUUGGAGGCGUUUUGCGGAAAACACCCAAAAAACCAAAAAAAAACAGCAAACUAAAAAUCAAAUGGACAGAACCCACCUAAAACCAGGCACCCGUUUGACUACACGUUGCGUGGCGAGGAAUCAAACUCAAGUAUUCAACACCUUAUGUAUAGAUGAGUGGUUAAUUGGGAAGACGUUCGAUUGGAGGCCGGACACAAUGAAAAUAACCACCAAAGAUGAAGAUGACAAGGAUGAUGGACCGGUGGCGUCGUCGAGAGGGAGAAAUGAAGAACCAAUAUAGUUUAGGGUUGACCGUCAAAAGAGUAAAACGAGAAAUGAAAUACAUUAAUAUUCACCGCACGCCUCCAACGGUAAAAGAGUAGUGACUAGAGUGGAUUUUCUUUCCACGCAAACUUGUGUAUUGACUUCCACACACAGUAUAUGCACCGUGUGGUGUGAGUCUUGUGACGAUAUGUCGGUGAAACCCAACACGAGUCACGGCCUCGUUUGAAUUUUACUCUUUCCCGCGCACGCAUAUGUUGCAACUACUCAAACCACGCGCUAGCUAAUGACGCAAGGGGUUGCAUUUGCAGGUUGGCAUGGGAAGCGCGCUGGAGACGCUGUGCGGGCAGGCAGUCGGCGCGGGGCAGGUGGACCUGCUCGGCGUCUACAUCCAGCGCUCCUGGAUCAUCUGCGGCGCCACCGCGCUGGCACUCGCGCCGACCUAUGUCUUCACGACACCCAUCCUGCGGGCGCUCCACCAGCCCACCGCCAUCUCCGCCGUUGCCGGGCGGUACACACGGUUGGCUCUCCCGCAGUUGUUUGCCUACGCCGCCAACUUCCCGCUGCAGAAGUUCUUCCAGGCGCAGAGCAAGGUCUGGGCCAUGACUUUCAUCUCGGGCGCAGGGCUCGGUCUCCACGUCGCGCUCAACUACCUCUUCGUCACACGCCUCGGCCAUGGCAUCUUCGGUGCCGCCAUGAUCGGGAAUUUCACCUGGUGGAUCAUCAUCGUUGCCCAGUUCACCUACCUCGUCUCCGGCUGCUUCCCGGAGGCGUGGAAGGGGUUCUCUGUGCUCGCCUUCAAUAACUUGUCCGCCUUCGUCAAGUUGUCACUCGCCUCCGCCGUCAUGCUCUGGUUGGUGCAUCUUUCAAUUCUAGGCUUGCUACACGAUUAUAAUUUAUAAUUCAAUCAGCAAGCAGAUUAAUUUGAAUUGUGUGCACGAUGUGUUCUUAUCUAGCUUGGAGCUGUGGUACUACAGUGCAGUGCUCAUCCUUGUGGGUCUCCUGAAGAAUGCUCAACUCCAGGUUGACGUCAUGUCAGUUUGGUAAGCAGUUUUUAUCUGACGAACCUGCACCUAACUAACUAUGCACACAACGUUUCGAAGAGAUAAAUCGGGCACUUUUCAGCCAUGGUAGUUUCUAGUCAAAGAUUAGUUAAAAAGUGUUAGUUUUCGGCACGAAAAAGUGAAGUAAUAGUUUGUAAGCAUGGGUCGAUGAAAUGUGGUAUUUUUUUUAAUUAAAUACUCAGAUUAAAAGGUACUCUCUCCGUUUCAUAAUAUAAGAACGUUUUCCAAGCUGUUUUGAAAAACGUUAUGAAAUUAUGGAACGCAGGGAGUAUAUAUCCGACUCUUUUUCUUACGUGAUCAUUUCUAACUUUUUUGCAGCAUCAAUUACCAGCUCUGGACCCUGAUGGUUGCAAUAGGCUUCAAUGCAGCAGUGAGGUAUAAAUAGUGCACGCAACAACACAAAUAGUAUAGAAAUAGACGUACAAAAUUCAUUAGUAAUUUUGCUAAUACGAAAGUUCUCGAGAUGCAGCGUUAGGGUGUCGAACGAGCUGGGCGCGAACAGGCCUAAGGCGGCCAAGUUCUCGAUGAUCAUAGCGGUGUCGACGUCCGCCGCCAUCGGGGCGGUCUUCCUGGCCGUGUUCCUCAUCUGGAGGACCGAGCUGCCACGGUUCUUCAGCGACAACGACAAGGUUGUGGGGGGAGCAGCAAAGCUUGGCUACCUUCUUGCAGCAUCCAUCUUCCUCAACAGCAUCCAGCCUGUGCUCUCAGGCACGUACCACUACGCCAAUCAGUUACCAAUUUUUAUUUUACCCAGUGAUCCCAAUGACAAUUGGAACAUCUGGCUUUGCAGGUGUGGCGAUAGGAGCAGGGUGGCAGACGCUUGUGGCGUUCAUAAACAUUGUGUGCUACUACUUGUUUGGCAUCCCACUGGGAGUCCUCUUUGGCUUCAAGCUAAAACUUGGUGCAAUGGUAAGGGCAAAACCAAAUCAACUUCAAAUAUUUAUGGAUACUUAAUUAAUUAGAACGGCCAAUCUGAUUCUAACCUGCUCUGAAUAUACAACAAUGUAUCUCUGCAGGGGAUUUGGGUGGGCAUGUCAAUUGGCACGCUGCUGCAGACUGCUAUACUUCUCAUAAUUUGCUUCCGAGCCAAGUGGGAGAAUCAGGUGUGCAGUACUACACUAGUAUCACUCGAUCUUAGUCCCUUUUUUCUAUGGAUAAUGACUCGAUCGUAGUUGAGCAUAUCUUUAUUAUAUAAGAAAUCUCUGAUCUUUUUACGGUGCAGGCCAUGUUGGCCGAAGGGAGGAUAAGGAAGUGGGGAGGAAGCAGCGAAACACUGCCGGCGGCCACAUCAACGGCGACAAACGAUAUCACAGAUCAAUAAUCAGAUGGUUCCUGUAUUCAGAUUCGACAAUGCUAUUUAUAUGUACAUGAAAACACAGGUAGAUAGAUUAUCUGUACUGUUAAUGUUAACGGGAAGUCCGUCCUCGUUUCGUUCGCUCACGUUAUCCGGAUCGAUUUUUUUCCCAGUGGAACUCUGUUUCAGAUUUCCACUCUGGAUUUUUCCUCUCUCGUCCCCGUCGUUUCUCUGCUUAUAGCACGCACGACCUGCAGUUGCUGUUGUUGCCACACAGCCGCCAUAUCGCCGUUGUCGUUUCUCCAUCCAGUAGAACCGCUGCAACAACUUUUACAAUUUCAGGUUUUCGUAAAACGGAGAUAUGUGCUUGCAAUAAUCAGGUUUGGCAGGAGCGUAUACAGAGAGAGGCUAAUAAAGUACAAAAUGAUGGUGAGUUGUGGAUUUGAUAGAUGUUUGGUGGGCUUGCCGACGCCAAUGCAGGAUGAUGUACGGUUGAGGUGGUGUGAAGCUGGGUGAAACCAUGUCUUGGCCUUGUGCCGUGACCAGCGAUGGCGGCGGCUGUGGCCGUCAUUGACCUUUUUAGAGGCAUCAUUGCUUCGUUCUCCCACCCCUCCUGCGCGGAUCUGGCCAGCUCGGCCUUUUCAGGAAAACUUUGAUCUGUGAUCGGACGAUGACGGCACCUUGGUGUCGUAUUUCCUGAUGAGGGCUUCGUCUUGGGAGCUUGGCGUCGGCGAGUACGACCGGUGGAUGGCGGUUGGCGGCGGGUGUGACGUCGAGGCUUCUGUGGAAACGAUGAUGGUGAGAGUGAUGUGGGUGGCGUGACAAUGGUUGCGGUAGUCGGUACUUCUUCGGCGUGUUCACGGUUUUGUCUCGGUUUGUUACUUGCUAUGGAGUCGAAGCUGCGGCGGCGGGGCCCUGUAGUAUACGAUGACUCGCAGCAGGUGGACCGUUCGGUGAUCUCCCGUGGCGCCAGCCGUGCCUGGUUUUGUCAUGCAGAACUCUUCGUCAGAGUCGAAGUUGCGUCUUCUCGACGCGGGUGGUUGAGAUUUUGACAUAGAUCUUCAUGCAUCUUCAUGUGUCCUCUUCAAUGUGGGUUGAGUCGACGAUCGUCUACGGCGGAGUCAGAGUCGUUUGCUAAGAGUGUAGGGAUGACAAUGACGCCUACACUUAAAAUAAUGUCUGAUGUUUUAAGAAAAUGUUUGGUAUUUUCAAAAAUGUUCAGUAUUUCCCAAAAAUAUUUUAAAUAUAAAUUUAUUUCUAAAAUUUUAAACUAAGUUCACGUUCAAAAAUUCUUAAAUUUCGAUAAUGUUCUUGAUUUUAAAAAAUGUUACAAACUUCAAAAAAUUGUCGUUCUCCAAUCACUGUUUAAUAAUUUAGAAAAUGUUCUGUAUUUUCGAAAAAUGUUCUUGUUUUUCAAAAAAAUCUUGUCUUUCAAAAAAUGUUCGUGUUUUCAAAACUUGUUCGCCUUUAUGAAUUUAUUUAGGAUUUUUCAAAAUUGUUUUUAUUUUCAAAACAAAUCUCAAGAAUAAAAAAUGUUCAGGCUUUAAAAAAUUGUUCGGGGUUUUUCAAAAUUGUUCUCCAUUUCGAAAUUUUGUUCUCCGGAUUCAAAAAAGUCAGUGCUUUAAAAUAUUGUUUGAGGUUCCAAAUUUGUUCAGAAUUUUUCAAAAUUAUUCUCGGUUUUAAAAUUUAUUCUCAAGAUUAAAAAAAUGUUCGUGCUUUAAAUUUUUUCUUGUGUUUACAAAUUCCUUCUCCAUUUUAGAAAAUACUAGCAAAAGAGCACGUGCGUUGCAACUGGAGAAUGCAAGGCCCGAGAAUCGGACUCGAAGGCAUAGAUAUUCUAAUGGUGCAGUAUUAUCGAACAUGUCAAAUAUGUACCUUAGGAUCCUUGUGCAUGUCAGAUAGCAUUACGAAUUUUUGUUCAUGUUUAACUCACUUUUCUUCUUCUUACUCCAUCCAUUAUCUUUGUCUCCCUUGCUUGGGUAUCUAGGAACAUCAAAAAUACAGUAUAGCUUAGAAUUUAUCGAGAUGCAUUGAAUCCUUUAACAAAGGACCACAUCACUGUAAUGACAAAAACUCAUGCAGUCAACCAUGUCAUCUCAUCUGCAUUAACUAAAGUAUGAAUCAAAUCCUCUAGUUCAGUUGUAACCAUAAAAGUAAAACAGAACUGUAACGGAGCAAAACUAAGACUCAUUAACUGAUGGAAGUUUACUCGGAUUUCCUUUUUUGUGGAAUCGUUGUUGGACUAACAAAAUAGUAAACAAUAGUAGCUAGCUUUCCCGAGAAAAUAUCAAAACCGCAAUCUGCAUCAAUUACCGAGGAGAAAAUUGGAAAUUUGCCACUUUCAAUAUAUGGGUUCUUAAAAUUGUCAUUUUCAAGAUUGGCUUCGCACAUUUGCCACUCAGCUCGUUGGCUCCUUGAUUAUCAUGCCACUUUCCUCCUACUUUUGAUUUUCAUUUUCCUUUAACAUUUAUAAGCAUUGGAAAAGACCAAACCAGCCCUGAUGCAUAUACACGUACUAUCCAAAUUUCAGUUGACACUUUGAAGCGGAGGACAGCGUACCGGCCACCUAGAAUACCGGGUGAUCUCGUCAAUGCACACUGCUUCACCGAUCUCCUUGACGCAGAGUGUCGCAGAUCGUCUAGAGUCUAGAUGUCGCAUGCCGCGAAUAUUCUCAGCGUCCCGAGCAGGACGGCGGGCUGUGCAGCUAUGGCGUGCGCGGAGACGGCGCGAGCAGCAAGCAGCCUAGUGGCGCCGGCGGGGGCUGCUUCAGUAGACACUCUUAUCGACAUCCUCAAGUAGUUGUCUGCUGUUCUCCAAUUCAGUGCUAGCUGAACUUCAGAGGAGAUCAGAACCUGUAGCCGCGGGCUGGCUCGAGUGCCCGCGGUGGGCCUCAUCGGCCGUGUAGUAGGCUCUCCUCACGAGCUCCUCGNNNNNNNNNNNNNNNNNNNNNNNNNNNNNNNNNNNNNNNNNNNNNNNNNNNNNNNNNNNNNNNNNNNNNNNNNNNNNNGUCGAGAGACGGUGGUGGGGGCGACACUUGACGGAGCAGGUGACCGCCGCCGGCAUGGCUGCUGGUUGGCUUGGCGAGCUGGGGUUCAGCAAGGGGAGUUGGUGGAGAUUGAAGAAAGAGGCCCCUGGACUGCGGGUUAGUUUGGAUUAAAUAUAGGAUGGUUUGUGUAAAAUGUAAAAAACGAUUCGUUCUUUGACUUAAAUCCGGACUGCGGGUUGAUUUUAGGAAACGUCGAGGGCUUUUUUGUGAAUGCCGUGGUGGGUUUUCCGACGGAAGCGAUAGCCGCUUUAUUAUUUUACUAGCACAAAUGUCCAUGCGUUGCAACGGGAGAAAAAUAAAAAAAAGCACGUACGUAAGGUCUUAGAUUAUAAAAUAUGUACAAAGAAAGAACCUAGUGCAAGUAUAUCAUGUCCAAAGAUUAUAACAUUUUCCAAAUAUUGAUGCUUAAGUUAACAUGUUACAAUACAAAUAGUCGGUACGAAAUAAAGACAAAUAUUGAUUAGCAUUGUAUCCUAAAUAGUAUUUUUUUAAUAUUUAAUAUGUAAAUAACAAAAUAUUCAAACUCUACACAUUUUUCUAAUCAAGUUUCAUAUAUAACAUGUUUAAAUUGGAUUUACGGUUUAAAAAAUAUUGUUAUUUGAAAAUAAAUAUUUAUUCUAAAUGGACUUCGAGGUUAUUAACGCAUAUGUGAGGGGUGUAUGUAAAUUUUUUAAAAAACAAUUCGUUCUGAAUAUAAUUUGGACUGUGGGUUAUUUAGCACGAAAGUAAGGGGGUUUUGUGUAAAAUGUGAAAAAAACGGUCCAGCCUCACUUAAAAACGUACCGCGGGUUAAUUAGAUGAAACUACAGAGGUACUUUUGCAAAAAUGCCACGACGGACGCCAGAAGCAGUGCGUGCUUUAUUAUUAAGGGAGAUAUAUAAAAUAUUCAUGUUCUCAAAAAAUGAUUGGGAAAUUCAACAUUUUUUCGUUUUCAUAGAAUAUGAAAAAAAGAAAAAAGAAAGAAAAACGAACCAAAAAAAGAAAUAAGCAGAAAAGGAGAAAAAAAAAACUGGUCUGGCCAAGUCGGGCGACCACCCUGUGAGCCCGAGCGACUCCCUGCCCGCAGAAUGCGCUAGGAGCUCCGAACGUGGGACAGGGGGAUUAUUCUAGUACAUGCAGAUUUUUUUUCUUUAAAAUAUCUCAUUCGGCCCAUUAAUUUAGUUUGGUUAAUCUAGUUUAUAAUGGAGAGUAAUCAUGCUACGACUUGCUGCUGCAGGUGCAACAGGAAAAUUGCCUGAAAGCUAAAAUCUAGUUUAGACUCGAGACUAAUCGUAUUACUGUUUUUCUUGCCAAUUGUCUUCUUUUCUGAGACAUCAAAGGAGCUUUAUUUAUAAAGGAAUAGUUGUACAAUCGCUUGCCAGCGAGCUAACCAGAAUAUUUUGGGAGUGCAGCAACCACAAGCCGUUGCGGAGUUACAUUCUUGACAAAUAGGUUAAAGCAAUCUAAAGGCCUGUUCGGAUGCCCUCCGCUCCGCAUCUUCACUCCCGGAGUUGGAGGAGAAGUAGUUAAAAAUGCAGAGUAAGAAAAGAGAUACUUCACAGAUUCUCAGAUUUAACGAAGUUGGAGGCUUGCCGAACAGCUCCUAAGAAUAUGAAGACAAACAAACUCCCUCUCCCUAAUUGUUUGUGUAGCAUGUAAACGUAUCUUUUAACGGUUUUGCUAGUUCUCAGCUAGCUGAGUUUUUGUUUUGGUCUCAAUCACCUCUAUACCCAGUACAUUAAUACACUCAGAUUUGUACGCGUAUAAUUUUUUCCUAUUUCUGUCAUUGUUUUUUGUGUGUGAGCUAGUCAAGACUGGGUCUUUCUAUGGUUAGGACCAUUAUUGGCUUUUCAACGCUAAUCUUCUUUUUGCCCUUUUUUUGUUGGUCCUAUGCUACAAGUACUUGUGGGAGAGAAGCCGGUGAGCUUCUUUUUUCUUUUUUGAAUUUCAUUUUCUGGUUCACGUUAUCAUUCGGUUUUAUUGGGGGGGGGGGGAUUUUUUAUUUACUGUUUCUCUGUUCAUAUUUUCCUACUUUGUGUUUUAAUCUUUCUUUCUUGUACAUGUAAACACUUUGUAACCAAUUUAUUCUACUCCUUUUCCUUUUCCUAAAUAAGUGUAUUCAUUUCAUUAAACUUAAUGUUCAUGCGUUAUCAUAUAUUAUAAAAUUGUCUAUUUAGGGUUUCAUUUACCUAUUUAUUACUUUCUAGUGUUUUUUAACUUUAUAGUCCGUGUUUUUUAAUGUCUUUGGUGUCUUUUUUUUGUUUUCAAUUUUAUAUUAGUGACAUUAAUAUUCAAAGUCGGGUCGCAACUGCAAGACUUAAAAUGUGACCGUAAUUGUAAAUAUUCAAAGUCGGGUCGCAACUGCAAGUAUUCAAAGUCGGGUCGUAACUACAUGUAUUCGAAGUCGGGCCGCAACUGCAAGUAUUCAAAGUUGGGUCACAACUGCAAGAUUUGAAAUGUGGUCGCAACUGCAAAUAUUCAAAGUCGGGCCGUAACUGCAAGUAUUCAAAGUCGGGUCGCAACUGCAUGUAUUCGAAAUCGGGUCGCAACUGCAAGUAUUCAAAGUCGGGUCGCCGCAACUGCAUGUAUUCGAAGUCGGGUCGCAACUGCAAGUAUUCAAAGUCGGGUCGCAACUGCAAGUAUUCAAAGUCGGGCCGCCGCAACUGCAUGUAUUCGAAGUCGGGUCGCCGCAACUGCAUGUAUUCGAAGUCGGGUCGCAACUGCAAGUAUUCAAAGUCGGGUCGCAACUGCUUGUGUUCGAAGUCGGGUCGUAACUGCAAGUAUUCAAAGUCGGGUCUCAACUGCAUGUAUUCGAAGUCGGUCGCAACUGCAAGUAUUCAAGGUCGGGUCGCAACUGCAAGUAUUCAAAGUCGGGUCGCAACUGCAUGUAUUCGAAGUCGAGUCGCAACUGCAAAUAUUCAAAGUUGAGUCGCAAUUACAAGUAUUCAAAGUCUAAUCGCAACUGCAAGUAUUCAAAGUCUGAUCGCAAUUGCAAGUAUUCAUAGUCGGGACGCAAUUGCAAGUAUUUAUAGUCGGGUCGCAACUACAAGUAUUCACAGGCCGCAACUGCAAAUCUUAUUUGUGCAGCAACUACAUGGAAAAGCUAGAAUCAAAUUGUUUUUUACUAAGAAAAAUAUAAAUUAUUACAUCACAAUUCAUAUAAUAAGGACACACUAUUUUUUUGUACAAAAAUGUUUAGUGGUCAAAGUAGUUGAAGCUAACAAGCCAUUACGUAACUUUUUUUGCUCAUUCUUUUUUUAGUUUUAUCGGCGAUUUUUUUAAAAGAUGCGACGUGCAGCAAUAAAAACCGAACGAAUAGUUUUUGAACAGGCUAGAUGAAACGCAUAGCAAUGACUACUAAAAAUGUGACAUGUCAUCCCAAAAAAAUAAAAUGAUGGAUUAAAUGAAACAAAAAGGAUAAAUACAAAAAUACAAUGAUAUUAUGUAAAUGAGACCAUAGAAAAUCUCAGCUAGCUGAGUUCUAGGCACUGCCAUAUUUUAAAGCUGUUGCAGGGGCGAGGAGCUGUGACAUUCUUGGUGCCAGUAGUAUCAUCAUGAAUCGGGGACCAUGAACAAUCAGUUCUUCAGAGAAUGGAUCAAGCCAGAACUUCUACAAUCAAAUGCUUUGAGUUCGAGGGACAAAAGAAAGAAUGAAGUUAUAAUUUUGGGGUACGUAUAUCCUACACUAUGUGUCCGUCUCCCAGUCUAACAAUCUUGUACAAGUAUUUUGUGCUGCAAAUCGGAGCAUACCAUCUACCACUGUAUGCCUAACGAUUUCUUGAGAUGGAUAAAUCUAUCAUAGGGGAAAACAUUGCGCCUGUUCAGUCAGUUCCCGGCCUCAUUCGUCCCUCCGCUCGGGGCUGAAGGCGGUGAUGGACCCCUCGGCAGCAUGGCGAGCAGAAGCGGUGCGUACUUGUCGACGAUCGCCUGGUCCAUCACAUCGCCGGUCCUAACGCCGGUUGCCCGGAGCGGACGCGCGGCGGAGGCUUCUUGUAGGCUGACGAACAGGAGAAGCAGCAGGAGGCAUGUGGCUGCGCGGCUGCUUCGGUCGCUGGAAGAAGAAGCCAUUGUUUCCGGGGCGACGAUGAGGGGAGGAUCGAUGCAGGGAACCUGGCAGUGAGCUGAGCUGAGGACAGAUGUUGGAGCUGAGCUGAGGCCAGAUGUUGUGUUUAUUAUCUGCGUUUGGUCUGGAGCUAUAUAGAGAGUGAUGGCAGUGUUGGGUGGAAGGGGUCAAACGGGGAGACUGAGGUGGAAGUGGCUGGGAAUGUUCUCAGCAAUCAUUUUUGUGUUGACUUGGUUAGUGAACAGAGGACGACUCUGCUUCUUCUGCUAUGGUGGAAAUUUGGACUUGAGAGCAGGGGUUGCCUUCAUUUCAGCCGGCGCCAACGGGGAAAAGAUGUGGGGUUUUCAGCGGCGAAAGAGUGCUCGGGUGUGGCAGCCCAGCCCGGCAACUGACUCGUGCUAUUGGGGGAUCCACUCCGCUUCCUCCUGUAUCGUCCGAAGCGCCGCCGCAGAAAAUUCCUACACCAGUCAUGGCGCUCUGUCAGCAGCCUUGGUAAGGGAUGGCACCCACCGGAUUUGGGUAGGGAUGGAGCCUUUCUAUAUACUUAAGCGUUUUCCAUCCUUAAACGUGGUUUCAAAUUUUAUCCAUCAUCGACUCACAUGUAUAAUUAUUUUCCAUAUCCAUCACAUGUUAGGGUAAAUGGAUACUGACGGAUAAAAUUAUUCAGAAUUACAAUACAUCAAUUCAAAUAUUACAUAGACAUAACAACACCUUAUAAUAAUAAUGUAUAAACAACAACACUUCAUGACAACAAGACAUAUAGUAAACAACAACACACUCUAGAUGGGGGCUAGCUGCGGGAUUUAUGUACACAAAGUACGUUUAAUACGUGGAUAACUAAUAUUUACAACCUAUUUUUUAAAUAAUAUAUGGGUACAUGGGUAUACAGAUAUGGGUUAUAUUAAGGCCCUGUUUGAAACCACCCAGAUUAUAUAAUCUGGUUUUUAUAAUCUAUUCUAUUUCCAAACAGGACAAUUUAUAUUGUAGAUUUUAUAAACUAGAUGAUCAGAUUAUUAUAAUCUCAUAAUCUGCUCUACCCCAGCUAAAAUAAGAUUAUGGAUUACAAAUGACGUGUUACCCUUGUAAACUUCAAGAGAAUUACGCAGUGCCACCGCCACUUUCCUAUUUUUCCUUGUAAACAGAGGGCAAACAUGUCAUUGUACAAUUUAAAAGUUGGUUUACAGUUUAUAUAAUCUGGCCUCCAAACAUGUCCAUCUGGAUUAUUUUUAUAAACCAGAUUAUAUAUUCUAUGUUCAUAAUCCAGAUUAUCAUAAUCUAUUAUGGUUCCAAACAGGGCCUAAACAGUACCCCUACCCACUAUACCUGGUUGGGUUUUGAAUUUUUCCAUUUAUAUAUCCAUGGGUAUGUUUUUAUCCAUACCCUUAUCAUAAUAAGGUUGUUACCCGUCAGGUACGCGGGUAAUGGGUAUCCAUUGUCAUCCCUCAGCCUUGCCCUUGCCGACGUUGGCGGAGGUGCCGCUAAGCGACCACUCCAAAUUGAUCUUGGCGAGCUCGUCGUCGAGGUAGCGCUGCCACCAUGCGGUCGUCUCUGUAGUGGUGAAUGACCAGUCAUGGGGCAAGGCCUCCGCGAGAUCGGGUACGUCCUCACAUGAGGACCCAUGUUGGUGCCGCGUUGGACUUGGCGAAUGCGGACACCGGCAUUGCUCCACUCUUGUCGCGCCACCUCCCUUGCCUCCCUAUCAUCCGCCGACACAACGGCUCGUGCGACGAGUAGCCCCCCACUACCACCAAAGUAGUGAAGGAGGUGAUCGCACGCCUUGGUGGUUGCAGGCGGCAGCUCCUCCUUAAUAGCCAUGCCGCACUAGGCGCGGUGGCGAUUAGGGCGCAGCGAUGCGGUCGUAGCGGCUGUGUGGAGGUGAUGGCGGUUCGUCCUUUACGUGGAGUCUGAUUUGGACGUCGCGGUGCGCACGUGGGACACCGCCUUGAUGUGGGCCCGUGUUGUUAAUGCAUUGAAGCAGGCCCACAAUGACAAUGUCGACACAGGACCACGGUCCCGCAGCGAUCGAUUGAUCAUGAGAUCAAGCUCCUGCUAGUACUCGUCCUUCAUCAUCACCGCUGCGACAAGGAGGCGUGGCUCUUCGACGCCCGUCGCGUCCUGAUCGUCCAUGUGAUCGGAGAUGAUCACGAUCUUCUCCUUAUCGUAGGAGCUAGUGGCAGUGGAGGCCGAGGGCCCCGGAGAGCGAGGGCGUCGGCGCCAAGAUACGGAUACCUAAGAUCCAAAGCCCCGCCUCCUGCCGGCGUGAAGAACCCGGACACGGGCAUGUAUGAGAUAGUGACUCCAAAGCAAAUGGUGAGGGGAGAGUGCAUCGAAGAGGAGCGGCGAGGUGGGUGCGGUGUGAACGGCGCCGGAGCACGACUUUCAUAGGCGCGACGGUGAGGCGAAUGGACAUGAAGCCGACUUUAAUGCGGCGCAACGAUUGAAGUAUGCUUUUUGGUCGCUACGUCUGCAUUGACCCGACCAUGUCUCUCUGACGUCCAAUCUAGAUCGGUGAUGGCCGAUAUGAAUGUGCGACAACCGUUUCGUUCAGAAGAGGGCACGGACGUGGGAGAAGGCUUUGGAUGAAAUCGGGAUAUCGCAAAAAUGCGUGAUAGUGAUCCGGACAUCUGCAUAGUACCCAUGAUUUUAGGUUGUAGAAAAAGGGGCGUCUGAGCCUGUUCGUAGACCGAUGAAAAAUGUCAAGACCCGGACGGAUGCCAGCGUUUAAGGAUCCGACAUUUUACAUCGUACUUUCUUUGUAAACAAAUAUAAGAGCGUUUAGAUCACUAUAAAUACAAUUGUACGUCAUUACGGAUAUGGAUCCACAUGUGAGCAGUGUACAAACAGCCGGUCAGCCCAAGGGUCGGUCGGUGGUAUGGGCGACCGCGACUUGAGUGGCUAGGGUCGUUUGACGCGUUCCAUACUCCGAGAGUCCGAGUCUGUCCGAGCACUUCGCUCCCGUACGUGCAAGUGCAGUCCAUCGAACGCACCGCAUACGUGGUGAGGCGAGGCUGCCAAGUGAACACGGCGAAUUUAUUUCUUGUUGACUCGGUGCUCGCACUCUCGACUGAAGCGUAUACUUUGGUACCAAGACUCUGGUGGCAGCGUUAUCUACUUGCCCGCGGCUGGGGUUGGGGCUUCACUUGGUUGUCACUGUUCUGGCUGGCAGUAGUCGAGAAAAGACCGGUGUGGUAGAAGUAUAAUAAAACGAGUCAGCGGGAUAUAAGAAAUACAGUAGUAUAUUUUUGUUUAGUUAGAGGAAAGAGAAAAGAGGAGAAAAGGUAAGCAGACUCUUAGUUAAAAACCAGCUCCAUCACGUGUUUUUAAGCAUUUUGUGAGAAUGAAAGGUGAAUCGUAGAUAACAUGACAAUGGCUUAUAGCCAGCAGUUGGCUAUACUAUUAACCAUGUUCUUAAGCAUGGCCGAAUGCCACGCGGUGAACCGUCCCAAUCACGAUACCACGAUAAACAGGGUGCUGUCAGAUUGGCCGACACGCUUGAAAAGAUUAAAGCGGUGUCUAGAAGGCUUCUUUACCUCCACAAAGAUUCAAGGUUAAUAUAAUUCACAAAGAUCUCAAAGCAAGCAACAUCUUGCUAGAUUCACAAAUGGCUCCAAAAAUAUCAGAUUUUGGAAUGGCAUGAAUAUUUGGUGGAAACUAGCAUCAAGCAAACACUACCCUGGUUGUCCGUACAUAGUAAGUAAUUGAAUAUAUUAUCCACAUCUCAAGAUCUAGUUUCUAUUUUAUUUAUUUUAUCUAAAUUAUGAAUUAUUUUUUUAUGUAGGAUUAUUUAAACAGUGGUUAUAUGCCGCCUGAAUAUAUGAUUGAAGGUGUCUUUUCGAUGAAAUCGGAUACAUAUAGCUUCUAUUAGAGAUUGUAAGUAGCUUGAAGAUCAGCUCAACGCAACUCCACUAGUUAACUUUGUUAUCCUUACAACUUACGGAAGUACAGAAAUUUGCAUAAUAAAAUUUUAAAAACUCAAACAAAACAUAGCAACCUGACCAUAAGUUGAUUACUGUGGCUCGGGCAUGGAGAUUAUGGCAAGAUGGAAGGGCAACCAAACUUGUGCACUCUUCGGUUAUUCAGAGUUGUCCACUACUUGAAGUUCUACUAUGUAUUCAUAUGUUGGUCUCUUGUGUGUUCAAGAUUGUCCGGAUGAUUGGCCACUUGUCAUCGGUUACAUUUAUGCUAGGGAAUGAAGGUGCAUUGCUUCCGGCCCCAAAGCAGCCCGCAUAUUCCGCUUUACAAAUUUAUGAAAUUGAGGAAUCAAGAGAAAACAUGGAAUAUUAUCUAAAUGGAGCGAGUAUCACAACAAUAGAUAGUCAUUAGAUGUUUAAGCUAUGCUAUAUAUUUUCAUUUUGACAAGCCUCAAGGUCUGGUUUUAGUGAAUGUAACGGAUGGUUUCCUAUGUGGGCAGUGAGUGUUUUGGUAGGUGGAAAGGUUGUGAAUUGAUAUCCAAUGUAUAGAGAGAAGAACUACGGCAUAUAAUGCUUGGGUUAGUUUCGAUGACUUAUUUGGAGAUACCGAUACAUUAUCAGCAACUCACAAAUGCCAAAUGAAAACACAUUCAAGAGAGACCGCAAAGAAUAGUAAGUAGUUGAAAAGGCAAACUUCUAUCUCUAGGUGAAAGGUUGGUCCUCAUAAAUUCAGUACUGAGUAACAUGGUACAUAUAUGAUUUGCUUAUUUCAAUUGCCGAAAGGAGUAUUACAUAGAUUGCAUUACUUCCAAUUGAUAUUUUUUUUGGCAAGGAGAUAGCAAGAGAACGAAAUAUCGACUAGCUAAAUGGAGUGUGGUUUGCAGUCCCAAGGACCAAUGUGGGUUGGCCAUUCAUGAUCUUGAGGUCAAGAAUAGAGCCCUCCUUGGCAAAUGGUUAUUUAAGUUAUUGAUGAAAGAUGGUGUUGGAGAACCCUUCUAAGAAUAAAAUAUGUGGGUUCAAAGGGCGUAUCCCAAGUAUACUAGAAGCAUUGGGAUUCUUUGUUUUGUGCGGUCUAAUGGCAACGAAGAGAUAUUUAUUUUGAUGUGGUUCCUUCUCGAUUAAGGAUGGCUUGGAAAUUAGAAUUUGGGAGGAUAAGUGGCUAGCAAUGUUGUCAAAAUUGCGAGUCAAGUCUUAUAAUCUUACGACCUUUACGAUCGAAACUAACCCCUCCGAUUCUAAGAUUUUGCUCAUUGAAUCUAAGUUUCUACGAUUCUGGUAGUUAUGAUUCUAUGAAUCACGUUCCUAUCGACGGAGCUCUGAUCUGAUUCAGAAUCUCAAUUCUGACAACUUUGGUAGCUUGGUAAUGCUACACUUCAGGAACAAUAUCUAACUCUAUAAAAUAUUGUGGAUCACAAGGGUGAUACUAUUGCCAAGGUUUUGGAAUCAUUUCCACCAAAUGUGAAGUUCAAAAGAUAUUUAAUUGGUCCUAGACUCCAAACAUGGAGCAUACUACUCCAGCGGUUAACCAUGAUACAAUUUUCACAAGAUUCUGAUGUAUUUUGUGUGGUCAAUUCUCAGUGGAGUCUAUGUAUAUAGCUUUGAUCCAUUCUGAUGUGCCAGAUGAUAAUAACAAGAAGAUAUGAAAGAUGAAGAUACCUCUUAAAAAUAAAAUAUUUGUAUGGUAUCUUUGUCGUGAAGUCAUUCUUACUAAAGAUAACCUUAUUAAGAGGAAUUGGCAUGGAAGUGUGCGAUGUGUAUUUUGUCUGCAUGAUGAGACAAUAAAACAUUUAUUUUUCCAAUAAAAGUUAGCCCGUUCUAUAUGGCCAGUCAUCCAAAUUGCUUCUCCCUUGUAUCCUCCUUGUAGUGUUGCUAAUAUAUUUGACAAUUGGCUACAUGGGAUUGAACAGGGGUUCAAAAUUCUUGUAAGGGUGGGAUAGCUUGUCAUGAUUUGGUCGCUCUGGCUAUGUAGAAAUGAUUAUAGUUUUAACGAUAAAAGGACUUCUCUUAUGCAAGUUAUCUACGGAUGCGCCGGGACGCUUCGUUUACGGUCCUCUCAACAACAAGUGAAAAAUUAAGACCUUUUUACGAAGGUAUGUACACAAUUGGGGGACACGGAGAGGAAUAAUUUUACCCUACAUGGGUGGAAGCAUAAUCUUAGUAUUGGGCCACCUAUGGUUUGGCAUUAUACAGAACUUAGUUUCGUUGUAUUUUGCCUUCUUCCUUUAUUUUUAGUUGGUGCGAGGAUUUUAUUGAUUGUGUGCAUCUUAGUUAUGUAGAGACCAAGCUUAAUCGACUCCGAGGGCUUACAACUCUAGAGAGCUUUGUGAUAUAGACUAGAAGAUAUGGGCGCGUUUUGCUGCAUCGAUGGUGUUGUUAGACUUAUAUAAAACAAAUACCCACUAUGUUUCAAAAUAUAAGGUGUAUUACUUCACCUUUUGAGUUUGAUCAAAUUUGUAUAGAACUAUAUAAAAACCAUCAUGUCAAAUCAGUAUGACUAGCCUCAUCAUGAAAUCAAUUUCCAUACCUUUUUGUUCAAUAUUGUCAAUGUCGGUUUUUUGGCUAUGAACUUGGUCAAAUUUAAAGAAAUUUGACUUUUCAAAAAAAACUGGCACCCCUUAUAUUUUGGAACUCAUGGACUAUUUAGUUUGGCGACUCAAAGAUGAUGAGUGUGCUUUAUUUUAGUUAAAAUAUGGCGAUUUAAUGGGUCUUUCAUGUUGUCGUUUUGUGUUAUUGGUUAAUCAACAUAUAUUUAUGUGAAGAAAUUUCUACAUCGAUGGCUGCCUGUACGAUAUUGAUGCUACAACAUUAUAUGAUGGCACUUCUUUUUUCUAGAUUGUGGGAGAGUGUGCGGUAUUAAUAUGUUUUUAUAGGACAGUCGUUGCUCAUUGAUUUGAAAAGUUGUUGACCCCUUUAGGAUCAUAAACCAAAUCCAAAAUUCAAUACCUUAGUUGAAUGAAAGAACUUAAAAGUGAGGGAACAUAGGGAAUUAAAAAAACGAAUGAGGGGGAACCUUGAGAAAUUGUUGAUCCGGUCAAAAUCGUGUGACCCAGUUCUAAAUUAAGGAACACAAUUAAUUAUGAGACCUUAAAAAUUAGGACGCACAGUGUAUAGUAUAAAAAAAUUGAAUGAAAAAGUUUGAGAAAUUGAUGAUCCGGACCCAAUUCUAGUUAAAGACCACAAUUGAAUGUGGGCUCUUUAAAAAUAAGAAUUUCUAUUUUCAUGCCCUUGGUUCCUUACUUCUAUUCGGUUUUACACAACCCUCUAAGUUGUCCUCAGUUUUGUCCUACUCCAUCUAGCUAUAUCUUACAUAUGGCCAAAUCAACAUUUCCCUCGGAUCAACCCCUUUGACUGUUACAUGCAUGACUAGGCCAAUGUAAACUUUGGCCACGUCAGCCAACCGGUGGUUUGUCGCCGAUGCAUAGCAGGGUAGAGCAGAGUUGUUGUCUAACCGACAUCAACGAUGGUUAGUCGAUAUCUUGGCCUCUACCGGUUGUUGGUGAUCAGGCGUGUCGAGGGGUGGCAUCAGGGUGGCCAGUGAGUACCAUCAUGGUCGGGGUUUGGUGCUUGUACGCAACAAAACUAUAACACGGUUUCAAACGAGUUUUUGUGCUGGUAUUGUUCUACAUCUGCUUGCGGUGUAGUUUGACAUGGGCACAUAAUCAAAUGGUCACCAGAGCGUCUUCAUGGGCUCAUGUGGGGGGGAAGCAAAGGGAGCUUGUGAUUAAUGUCACUACGCCUGAAAAUGUUGGCAAUGAGAGCGGGAAAAUCUGUCUAGAUCACGCUAAGGAUAUGGAGAACUAUGGAGAACAUUAGGGAGCUUGGGGAUGGGUUGUCGAUGAUCUGAAGACUCCAUCGCCUCUGCCAUUGUCCACAGGAAAAUCUCAAUUGGAACUGCCCCCUUUCCUUUACGAAGUAUCGUCCCUCGUCACUUCCAACGUCAUUUUCAUCGAGUGGAUCACCAGAGAUUUCACACUCGGACACCAGGAGCAUAUCUCCUUGCACUUGGCCAACAAGAGCUCAUUGUUGGGGCAAAACAAAUCCAUCGCAUUCUUCCAACUCGGACCUGCUAGCCAUCAAUCAAAGACCAAAUUGACAAAUCAAAAUUUUUAAAUGGGCUCCAAAAUCGCUCAAUCGCCAAUUCAGCCGACUUAUAAAUGAAUCCAAAUUGCGGCAGCGUGGGGCUGGGUGAGGGAUGCGGCGACUCACUCGGGGUAGGGCUAUUUUAGGUAAAAGAAAGUGAUGGCUCACCUAAACCAGGUCCCAAUCGUCAAAAGUGGUCACGGCCACGGCCCACCUGUCAUACACGGCCCACCUGUCCUAAGAUACCUAGCCCCACUGUUCAGUACCUGAGCAUAUAACGGUCAACUGCUUUGAACUGACGACAAGGCUCGGUUUGAUUUUUUGUGAGAGGACGAGUGGUGGAGGGGGAAAUGAAGAAAGUUAAAUGCCUUUAAAAAAGCACUAUUAAACAACCAGGGAUACAUAAAUAGAACGCCUUUAAAACUAGAAAGCAGAGUGUUAUAGAGAAUGAGUUGUGCUUUCAAGAGACGGCUUCAAUUAGCCGGUGGACUCGAUUGAUUUUGCAAGCUUUCAAAAAAUGGUAGAUAACCCCGUGAAUAUGGAAAAUCAAAAUCUCUAGAGUGUCAUAUAAAUUAUAUUAUAUCAUUUUCUGGCUGAACAUAUUCAGCACUUUGGCCUAAAUGGAAAAUUUAAUUGGCAACUGCCUAGUAGUGUUGUAGUCUUUUGCAAAAUAGCAUUCCAGGUGGAGUGGAGAAGGGAUCCAGAGGAGCUACGCAUCAUUUAUGUAUGUUUUCUUCUUCAGGUGAGAAUAGCGUUGCUAUCAUCUUUCCUAAUUGUCUGUGUAGAUUUUUAAACUUAUCUUAAAGUUGCUGCAGAGGCCACGAGCUAGGAUAUUCUUUUUUUUUNNNNNNNNNNNNNNNNNNNNNNNNNNNNNNNNNNNNNNNNNNNNNNNNNNNNNNNNNNNNNNNNNNNNNNNNNNNNNNNNNNNNNNNNNNNNNNNNNNNNGCUUGAGAGCCAAGGCAGGGGAGCCUCAGUGCCCCACAAGCCCCCACCCCGUGACCAGUGGGGAGGCCGCGGCCCACAGGCUUGUGGGCCCCCUGAGCGCCCCCUAAUCUAGGGGUUGCGCCUAUAAAUUCCCUAAAAAUCCCAAAAAAAUUAGGAGAUCAUCGAAAUUACUUUUCCGCCACCGCAAGCUUCUGUCUCCGCGAGAUCCCAUCUGGGGCAAGUUCUGGUGCCCUAUCGGAAGGGAGAUUCGGAUACGGAGGGCUUCUUCAUCAACACCAUGACCUCUCCGAUGAUGCGUGAGUAGUUCACCAUAGACCUACGGGUCCAUAGCAAGUAACUAGAUGGCUUCUUCUCUCUCUUGGAUCUUCAAUACAAAGUUCUCCAUGAUCUUCAGGGAGAUCUAUCCGAUGUAAUCUUCUUUUGCGGUGUGUUUGUCGAGAUCCGAUGAAUUCUGGAUUUAUGAUCAAAUUAUCUAUGAAUCUUAUUUGAGUUUCUUCUGAUCUCUCUUGCUAUUAUGAGAGAAGCCUCUAGUGAACACUAUGGCCCCCGGGUCUACUCCACACCACAUUUUCAGCCUUACACUUUUUACUUCGUUGCACUUUCCGCCUUCAGAUCUCACUUUGCAAACAAUCAUGAAGGGAUUGACAACCCCUUUGAAGCGUUGGGUGCAAGCUUGUUUGUGUUUGCGCAGGUACUCUGGACUUGACGAGACCCUCCUUCUGGAUCGAUACCUUGGUUCUCAAACUGAGGGAAAUACUUACUGCACCUGUGCUGCAUCACCCUUUCCUCUUCAAGGGAAAAACUGACGCAAACAAGAGAAGUAGCAAGAAGAAUUUCUGGCAUUGCCGGGAAGGACUUUUGUUGCCGUAGCAGAAGAAUUUAUGGCGCCGUUGCCGGGGAGGAAGAUCAAGUCAAGGACUCAUCGAAGUAGGCGUCGCAAACUCAUCUCUUGCAUUUAGUUUGUUUGCCAGUUGACUCUCGUUUUCCUCUCCCCCACUUCACAAUUUGCCUUUUUCAUUUGCCUUUUUCGUUCGCCUUUUCGUUCGCCCUUUUUCUCGUCUGUACUUUGUUUGCUUGUGUGCUUGCUUGCGUGCUGAAGUCACCAUGAAUGAAAACACCAAACUUUGUGACUUCUCGAAUACUAAUAAUAAUGAUUUUAUUAGUACUCUGAUUGCUCCCGCCACUAGUGCGGAGUCAUACGAAAUCAAUGCCGCUUUACUGAAUCUUGUUAUGAAAGAGCAAUUCUCUGGCCUUCCUAGUGAAGAGGCCGCAUCCCAUCUUAAUACCUUCAUUGAAAUUUGUGACAUGCAAAAGAAGAAAGAUGUGGAUAAUGACGUGAUUAAAUUGAAGCUUUUUUCCUUUCUCGUUGCGAGAUCGCGCAAAAACUUGGUUUUCUUCUUUGCCCAAAAAUAGUAUCGAUUCUUGGGAUAAGUGCAAAGAUGCUUAUAUAUCCAAGUAUUUUCCGCCGGCUAAGAUCAUCUCUCUCUGUAAUGAUAUCAUGAAUUUCAAGCAACUUGAUCAUGAACAUGUUGCACAAUCUUGGGAGAGAAUGAAAUUAAUGAUUAGAAAUUGUCCCGCUCAUGGCUUGAGUCUUUGGAUGAUUAUUCAAAUCUUUUACGCUGGCUUGAAUUUCGCUUCUAGAAAUAUCUUGGACUCCGCCUCGGGUGGAAUGUUCAUGGAAAUCACGUUAGGAGAAGCCACAAAGCUCUUAGACAACAUCAUGACGAACUACUCUCAGUGGCACACUGAAAGGUCACCUACUAGAAAGAAGGUACACGCUAUAGAAGAAAUUAAUUCGUUGAGUUCUAAGAUGGAUGAGUUAAUGAAUUUGGUUGCUAGUAGAAGUGCUCCUUUGGAUCCUAAUGAUAUGCCUCUGUCUUCUUUGAUUGAGAGUAGAAACGCUAGCUUGGACGUUAAUUUUGUUGGUAGGAAUAACUUUGGCAACAACAUUGCUUUUAGGGGAAACUGUGUUCCUAGGCCUUUUCCUAGUAACUCCUCUAAUAAUUUUGGCAACUGCUACAACAAUACCCAUGGAAAUUACAAUAGAUUACCCUCUGAUCUAGAGAGUAAUAUCAAAGAGUUCAUCAACUCUCAAAAGAUUUUCAAUGCGUCCAUAGAGGAAAAGCUACUCAAAAUUGACGAUUUGGCUAAGAGCGUUGAUAGAAUGUCUAGUGAUGUUGAUACUUUGAAAGUUAGAUGUGCUCCUCCAAAAAUCAACAUGGAUGAAACUUUGAAAGCUAUGCGUGUUUCCAUGAUUGAGAGCCAAAAAAGAACCACCCAAAUUCGUGCUAGACAUGAAUGGCUUAAAAAGGCGUGUUCUCGUGAUGAGAAUCACGAAGAUCUUAAAGUGCUUGGUGUGACUCCCAUUGAAUCUUUGUUUUAUUGUGUCAAACCUAAUGAUUAUGGGUCUGGAUAUGAAUCCACUUUGGUUGAUUAGAGCCCCGAGGAUUUGGAGUCCAUCUACCUUGAUGCCAAAAGCAUUGAAAGUGAAGUAGAAGAUGUUAAAACUUUGAGUAGUAAUGAAAUUACUACCAUGGAUUUCAAGGAAUUCAUUUAUGAUAGUUGCUCCUUGAUUGAAUGCAUUUCUUUGAUGCAAUCCAUGUUAAACUCUCCACCACGCUUAUAGCCAAAACAAGGCCUUUACCGAUCAUAUCGUCGAAGCUACGAUAAAAUCUCUUGAAGAGAAACAUGAAUUGGAAGUCUCUAUCCCUAGAAAGCUUCAUGAUGAGUGGGAACCUACCAUCAAAAUCAAAAUCAAAAACUAUGAGUGCAAUGCUUUGUGUGAUUUGGGUGCUAGUGUUUCUGCGAUUCCAAAGUCUUUAUGUGAUGUUCUGGGUUUUAAUGAGAUUGAAGAUUGUUCUCUUAAUUUGCAUCUUGCUGAUUCUACUGUCAAGAAACCCAUGGGAAGGAUCAAUGAUGUUCUUAUUAUUGCAAAUUGGAACUUUGUAUCCGUGGAUUUCAUUGUGCUUGACAUUGAUUGCAAUCCUACAUGCCCUAUUAUUCUUGGUAGACCUUUCCUAAGGACUAUCGGUGCUAUCAUCGAUAUGAAGGAAGGGAAUAUUAGAUUUCAAUUUCCUUUAAGCAAGGGCAUGGAACACUUUCCUAGAAAGAAAAUAAGAUUGCCUUAUGAAUCCAUGAUGAGGGCCACUUAUGGUUUGAGCACCAAAGACGACGAUACGUGAUUCUAUCGCCUUUAUGCCUAGCUAAGGGCGUUAAACAAUAGCGCUUGUUGGGAGGCAACCAAUGAAUUUAUCUUUUUCUUUGUGUUUUGUUGCAUCCACACCAUCACAAUUCUGUUGUGAUUGUAUUUUUUGUGUUUGAGCCAAGCAAAACCUUUAUGACUAGUCUUGGUAAUGGUUGUUUGAUCCUGCUGGAAAGAGACAGAAACUUUUCGCUCACGAGAUGAUUUUUCAUGUUUAUUCAGAAAGAUAUUUUGGGUUGAUUCUUUUUGCUUCUAGUAGAUAUGGUUUUUUCCCAGGCCGUCGUAAUUUUUCAGAUUUGUUGAGGUACCAGAAGUAUACGAAGUAUACAGAUUGCUACAGACCGGUCUGUUUUUGACAGAUUCUAUUUUUGUUGAGUUGGUUGCUUGUUUUGAUGAAACUAUGGUUAGUAUGGGGGGGGGUACUAGCCAUGGAAAAGUGAGAAUACAGUAGCCCAACACCAAUAUAUAUAGAAUUCAAGUUUGCUACAGUACCAAAAGAAGUGGUACAUUGUUUUCUUGUUCUAAUGUUAUCACGAGUUUCUGUUUAAGUUUUGUGUUCUGAAGUUUUCAAGUUUUGGGUGAUGUUCUCAUGGACGAUGAGAUAAGGAGUGGAAAGAGCUCAAGCUUGGGGAUGCCCAAGGCAUCCCAAGCCAAAUUCAAGGACACCAAAAAGCCUAAGCUUGGGGAUGCCCUGGGAAGGCAUCCCCUCUUUCGUCUGCAAUCCAUCGGUAACAUUACUUGGAGCUAUAUUUUUAUUCACCACAUGAUAUGUGUUUUUGCUUGGAGCGUCUUGUAUCAUAGGAGUCUUUUCUUUUUUUGUGUCACAGUUAUCCUUGCUUCACACCUUUUUGAGAGAGAGAGACAUGCACUCAUCGUGAUUUUGCUAGAAUGCUCAUAGUGCUUCACUUAUAUCUUUUGAGCUAGACACUUUUGCUCUAUGUGCUUCACUUAUAUCUUUUAGAGCACGGCGGUGCGUGAUUUGGUAGUUGGAUUAUGCUAUGAAAGUAGUCCCAAAGGUGAUAGAUACCCAAAUAGGAUGCAAAAACCUCCAUCUUCAUGUGCAUUGAAUAGAAAGAGAAGUUUUGAUUCCUCUCAAAUAGUUUUGAGACGUAGAUUUGGUAAUAUUAAGAGUUAUGUUAGUAGGGUGUUGUGAUCUAGAAAUACUUUUGUUGAAGUUAGUGAUUCCCGUAGCAUGCACGUAUGGUGAACCACUAUGUUAGGAAGUCGGAGCAUAAUUGAUCUAUUGAUUGUCAUUCUUUGUGUUGAGGUCGGGAUCGUGCGAUGGUUUACACCUACCAACCCUUCCCCUCGGAGUAUGCGUUUAGCACUUUGUUUCGAUUACUAUUAAAAACUUUCGCAACAAUUAUGUGAGUUCUUCAUGACUAAUGUGAGUCCAUGGUAUAGAUGCAAUUUCACCUUCCACCAUUGCUAGCCUCUCUAGUGCCGCGCAUUUCUCGCCGGUGCACAAACCCACCAAAUUCCUUCCUCAAAACAGCCACUAUACCUACCUACUAUGGCAUUUUCAUAGCCAUUCCGAGAUAUAUUGCCAUGCAACUCCCACUGCUCCGUCUCAUGACUUGUGCCGUCACUAUCAUAUUGUCGUUGCAUGAUCGUAAGAUAGAUAGCGAGAUGUUUCAAUGUCAUAGGCCAUGCUAGAUCGUUGGAUAUCCCGGUACACUGCCGGAGGAAUCUCCUAUGGAGUCAUCAUCAUUGUGAGCUUUGAGCUGUGAGUAAAUAAAAGUGUGAUGAUCAUCAUUAUUAGAGCAUUGUCCCAUGUGAGGAAAAAAAGAGCCCAAAGAUCCCAAAAACAAAAAAAAAGAGAAACUGUCUCUUAUACACAUNGAGGCCUAAGAGCCCAAAUGAAAAAAAAGGAGAGAAAAAGAGAGAAGGGACAAUGCUACUAUCUUUUUCCACACUUGUGCUUCAUAAUAGCACCAUGUUCUUCAUGAUUGAAAGCUUCCUGCUUUGUCACUACCAUAUGCUAGUGGGAAUCUUCAUUGUAUAACUUGGCUUGUAUAUUCCAAUGAUGGGCUUCCUAAAAAUUUCCCUAGGUCUUCGUGAGCAAAGCAAGUUGGAUGCACACCCACUGGUUUUCCUUUUGAGCUUUCACAUACUUAUAGCUCUAGUGCAUCUCUUGUAUGGCAAUCCCUACUCAUUCACAUUGAUAUCUAUUAAUGGGCAUCUCCAUAGCCUAUUGAUAUGCCGAGUCAAUGUGACCAUCUCCUCCUUUUUUUUGUCUCUCAACCACCACCACACUCUAUUCCACCUAUAAUGCUAUAUCCAUGGCUCACGCUCAUGUAUUGCGUGAUAGUUAUAAAAAGUUUGAGAAAGUAAGAGUGCAAAAACAAUUACUUGGCCAAUACCGGGGUUGUGCAUGAUUUACUUUAGUUGUGUGAGGAUGAUGGAGCAUAGCGAGACUAUAUGAUUUUGUAGGGAUAACUUUCGUUGGCCUUGUUAUUUUGAAAGUUCAUGAUUACUUUGCUAGUUUGCUUGAAGGAUUACUGUUUUCAUGUCACUAGCAAACUAUUGUUUCGAAUCUUACGGAUCGGAACAUUCAUGUCACGUGAAAAAAGUUGCAAAGGACAACUAUGCUAGGUAGUAUUCCACAUAAAAAAUUCAUUCUUUAUCACUUCCCUACUCGAGGACGAGCAGGAGUUAAGCUUGGCGAUGCUUGAUACGUCUCCAACGUAUCUAUAAUUUUUGAUGGUUUCAUGCUAUUAUCUUGUCAAACUUUAAAUGUUUUGCAUGCCUUUUAUAUAUCUUUUGGGACUAACUUAUUAACUCAAUGCCAAGUGUGAGUUCCUGUUUUUCCAUGUUUUUGACCCCUUUCAGAGGAGAUUUUGAAACGGAGUCCAAACGGAAGAAAAUCCCCGAAAAGAUUUUUUUCGUAACGGAAGAAGAUCGGGAAGCUUGAGAGCCAAGGCAGGGGAGCCUCAGGGGACCCACAAGCCCCCACCGCUUGGCCAGGGGGGAGGCCGCGGCCCACAGGCUUAUGGGCCCCCUGAGCGCCCCUUGACCUAGGGGUUGCGCCUAUAAAUUCCCUAAAAAUCCCAAAAAAAUCAGGAGAUCGUCGAAAUUACUUUUCCGCCACCGCAAGCUUGUGUCUCCACGAGAUCCCAUCUGGGCACGUUCUGGUGCCCUACCGGAGGGGAGAUUCGGAUACGGAGGGCUUCUUCAUCAACACCAUGACCUCUCCGAUGAUGCGUGAGUAGUUCAUCAUAGACCUACGGGUCCAUAGCUAGUAACUAGAUGGCUUCUUCUCUCUCUUGGAUCUUCAAUACAAAGUUCUCCAUGAUCUUCAUGGAGAUCUAUCCGAUGUAAUCUUCUUUUGCGGUGUGUUUGUCGAGAUCGGAUGAAUUGUGGAUUUAUGAUCAAAUUAUCUAUGAAUCUUAUUUGAGUUUCUUCUGAUCUCUCUUAUGCAUGAUUUCAUAUCCUUGUAAUUCUCUUCUAGUUAUGGGUUUUGUCUGGCCAACUAGAUUAUGAUUCUUGCAAUGGGAGAAGUGCUUGGUUUUGGGUUCAUACCGUGCGGUGACCUCACCCAGUGACAGAAGGGGUAGCGAGCCAUGCAUCGUGUUGUUGCCAUCAAGGGUAAAAAGAUGAGGUUUUCAUCAUUGGUUUGAGAUUAUCCCUCUACAUCAUGUCAUCUUGCUUAAGGCGUUACUCUGUUCGUCAUGAACUCAAUACACUAGAUGCAUGCUGGAUAGCGGUCGAUGUGUGGAGUAAUAGUAGUAGAUGCAGAAAGUAUCGGUCUACUUGUCUCGAACGUGAUGCCUAUACGUAUGAUCAUUUCCUUAGAUAUCGUCAUGACUUUGGGCGGUUCUAUCAAUUCACUACUGGAAUCUGCUGGUUUGCGGACAGCAAGAGCUGACGGCAAAGGACAGUUUAACGGACGGCAAAGGCUUUGCCGUCAGUGUGCUGUCGGCAAAAGAACCGGCCAAGAUUUUAUCGGCAAUCACCUUCUUUGCCGUCAGCUGAAGGUCGACCGACGGCAAAGACUUUGCCAUCAGCUUUGUGGCACGGGCUGACGGCAAAGAGCAAUGGCGGCAACCGCGCAGGCCGAGUCCCGUUAGAAGGUUAACAGCAUGCUUUGCCCACAACCGUAGAAAAGCUGACGGCAAAGCCGAAACCCUGGGUCCCCUGGGUCCCCUCUUUGCCCACAACCGUAGCAAAGCUGACGACAACGCCGAAAACCUGGGUCCCCUUGGUCCCCUCUUUGCCGACAGCUGGAGCACAGCUGAUGGCAAAGCCGAAAAUCUGGGAAAAUUUGGUAUUCCUAGAGUUGCCAGGAUACACAGGCUGCCGCCACGUGUCUUCUUUGCCGUCAGUCCACCGACGGCAAAGCCGUUGCCGUCAGUAAGCUGUAGGCAAAGACCCUCUCUGCUUUUUUCAUAUUUGUUUUCUAUUAAUUCCCUGCAUUUGCAAAACAUAGAUACAAACAGCAACAUAUAUAUAUAUUUGCCCAGCCCCUAAACAGCAGCACAAGUGCAUCACAAAGUGCAAACAACACAACACAAGUGCAUCACAAAGUGCAAACAACACGAAUAUAUGUAAUUAAAGUGCAAACAAGAUCACAAAGUAUUACAAAGCAUCACAAGUGCAUCCGCAAAUACAAGUGCAUUACAAAGUUCAUCUAAGACUACACAAGUGCAUUACGAAGUCCCUCGAGCAUCCAUCCAUAUGCCAUGCUGCUUUAUCAAAAUCUGCAUAAUGAGAAAGAAGUUAGAAGAAGAAUACAAUAAGAAAGAAGUUAUCUAAAUUAAGCUAAGCAAUUAGAAGAAGAAGUGGAAGAAGAAGAACAAGAACAAGAACAAGAACAAGAACANACCAGCAAGCUCGAGGCGCAAAAGAAGAAGAAGAAGAAGAUGGAGAAAAAGAAAGAAGAGAAGUUAUCUUUUUCUCCUCUUUCUUCUUCUCUUAUUUCUUCAUCUCUUGUUUGUUCUUCUCUUCUGGUUUCUUUUAAAACUUUCUAAACUAAUUAUGUCAUUUUUGAGCUCUAAUAUCAACUAGAAUUUACUAAGCUAACUAAAGCAUGGCUAAUAUCAACUAGAAUUUACUAAGCUAACUAAAGCAUGGCAUAAUCUAAGUUGAUCUAAACAAUAAGAAGAAUAAGAAGGAGAGGAAUAACUUACCAAAUGCCAAGAAACAGAGGAGAAGCUCCAUCUCCGUUGGUCGCUGGGUUGCUAGGGCUCUCACCAGGAGAAGUAAAGGGAUCGUGGGAUUCAACUCUGGAAUGAUGCUGCAACAAGGCAAGAGUUAAAAUAUGUGGUUAGCACGGCGACAGACAAUGGUAUAAGACCGUGCAAGGUUGGUCAUUGAUAGGGAACUCACCAUUCCCACCGGAGAAGGCAUCGGCGGAGGGGGCGGCAAACCUUGCUUCUCACACAUAGCCUGCAAAUUAGUUUUCGAGGAGUCAAAGAAAUAGCCUUGUUGCGUUUCACACAUAGCCUUGCUUCUCACACAGCUGACUUACCGCAACGAAGUCGUGCAUGGCCUUCGCAUGGGCAUUAUUGCGUGCCCUCUCCUCCUCAAGCAAACUCUGCGUAUUCCGGCCCCUCUCCUCCAACAAGAGCCUGGUGGCCUCCCUCUCCUUCAUAAGUGCGGCAUGCAACCACUCCUCAAAAGGAAUUUUCAUCAUCCAUCCAGGGACAAAAGAACGAAAGAAAUAAUGAAGAAAACUAACCUCGAUGGCAAGAUCAACUGGCCACACACGUUGUCGUAUUACACGGGCGGAGCUCGUUUGCCUCGCCUUUAUCUGAGAUAGAGUCUCAGUGAUAGGGACGAAGCCAUCACACAUGGCCAGCGUGCCAUGACUCUUACCGCCACCAGAGAUCAUCAACGCCUCUGGAUCGAUAGGAUUCUGGCUCGGGUCAAAGUCAGGCCCGCGCAGCUGUUUGACCACCUCAGAAUAAGACUUCAUCUUGUUGUAGGCGGACAGGCUUGUGUACGCCGACGGCCCGUCCCCCUCAGAAUAUGCCUUCGCCAUCUUGUAAGAGCCCUUAUGGGCCAUGCUAAACGCGGCGUAUCCCUGAGGCUCGGGCUGGUUAUUGUGUUUGGCCUACACGAAAAGACAAAGAAUUAGUACAACAAAAAUCAUGAACGAAUGAAUUAUUGAUGAAACAAAACAAGGCACACAUAUCCAUUUUUUGGCGUAUUGCUUGAUGUUGGCAUUGCCUUGGUGGUGUGGCACACCAACCAAUUGGGCACGACGGUCCUUGGCCGUAGUGUGGGUGCUCAACCAAGCCUCUGUGCACCACCUGUCCACUAUCAUCUCCCAACAAUCCAUCUUAUCGGCCAACCAUCUCGGGGGCACCUAUGAAUGUAAGUUAAUGAAGAAUGACACUAAGUAUUAUAACUAAAUAGACCUAACUAGCCCUAAGAAUUGAUCUUUGGAAUGUACAUACCUCCAUGUACUCGGUCUUAUCAAGGUAAAUCUUUCGACAUUCAAUCUUUGUCUUCGGCUCCCCUUGCUUGGCGUACCAAUCUCGAAAAGGCAUGUGCAAAUACAGAGCAUGUGUGAGUACGGUGCAUGGUUUGUGUCUAGCCCAGUUUGGGGCGAUGCAUGAUUUCUUUACUAAACAAUGCAUUCCUUUGUUCUCAGUUCCUCCAUUUCAAACGUUUCAUUUGUUUCAUAUUCCUGUACUUUCCCUCUGUUUUUCAAUCCUCAGUUCUACACAUGCAUUCCCAUAGUUUUCCUACAUUUUUCCUAUUCCUAUGUUUUUGCGAUCCUGUAAAUCAAAGAGGCCCUAACAUAGAAAAAUAAACUAAAAAAAGAAAAAAAGGGAGGAGGAGCUCACCGGCGAGUCGGGGCAGGGCUGGCGCGGGGCAGAGGCGAGUAGGGGCGGCGCGGGGCACAGGCGGGUAGGGGCGAGCAUGGGUCAGAGGCAAGUAGGGGUGGCGCGGGGCGGCACCGGCGAGUACGGGCGGGCGCUGGGCCUGUCUCUUAUACACAUCUGACGCUGCCGACGACAACCGGUUGUNUGGGUCGGGAGAGCAGGGUGGGAGAGGUGAGAGAGAAGAGGGGUUAGGUCGUGGCCUGCACGGGGGGGAUAACCACCCGACUAUGCCGUCAGCUGGCUGCGGGCAAAGACAGCCGUUAGGCUUUGCCGUCAUCUGGCUGUCGGCAUAGACGGGUCCCGUUAAGCCGUGGCCGAACGUGGGACCGAGAACCUCCCUAUGCCGUUAGCCGCCCUUUGUCGUCAAUCUGUUGCUCCUUUGCCGUCAGCUGGCUGACGACUUAGAUAGAGCGGACGACAUGGCGUUUCUAUGCCGUCAACCGCGCCUAUGACGUCAACAUUAUUUUCGGCUGAGGGUAAAGCCUCUAUGCCGUCAGCCCCGUGAAAAUGCUGACGGCAAAGCCAAAAGCUGUCGGCAAAUUAGGUUUUUCCAGUAGUGAUUGUUGGACAGUAAUUUGUUCACCCACCAUGAUAUUUGCUAUUUUGAGAGAAGCCUCUAGUGAACACUAUGGCCCCCGGGUCUACUCGACACCAUAUUUUCAGCUUUACACUUUUUACUUCGUUGCACUUUCCGCCUUCAGAUCUCACUUUGCAAACAAUCUUGAAGGGAUUGACAAACACAUUGAAGCAUUGGGUGUAAGCUUGUUUGUGUUUGUGCAGGUACUCUGGAAUUGACGAGACCCUCCUUCUGGAUUGAUAUCUUGGUUCUCAAACUGAGGGAAAUACUUACUGCUCCUGUGCUGCAUCACCCUUUCCUGUUCAAGGGAAAAACCGACACAAACAACAGAAGUAGCAAGAAGAAUUUCUGGCGUUGCGGGGAAGGACUUUUGUUGUCAUAGCAUUGUGCUACUCAUCCAUUCUUGCUUACUGUGCAUGCUAUGCUUAGAGUCGUGUCGGGUCUGAUCCAUCUGGAUGAUGAAUCAGAAUGGUUUUGUUCAUGUCCUACGGUGUGACAGUAAAGUGUGUAAGCAUGAUUUGGUAAAGCUAGCGAUGAGAGGCCAUGUAGGAGUACAUGGUGGGUUGUCUCAUUGGGACCAUCCUUAAGAACUGAGUUAUGUGUAUGUUAUCCAAGACAACAUACUACCACACAUUGGGAUCUGAUACGUCUCCAACGUAUUGAUACGUCUCCAACGUAUCUAUAAUUUUUUAUGGUUUCAUGCUAUUAUAUUGUCAAACUUUGGAUGUUUUGUAUGCCUUUUAUAUCUUUUUUGGGACUAAAUUAUUAACUCGAUGCCAAGUGCCAGUUCCUGUUUUUUCCGUGUUUUUGACCCUUUUCAGAGGAGGAUUUUGAACGGUGUCCAAACGGAAUAAAACUUCUGAAAAGAUUUUUUUUCCGAAACAGAAGACGAUCGGGAAACUUGAGAACCAAGGUAGAGGGUCACCAGGGACCCCACAAGCCCUCAUGGCGCGGCCAGGGGGCCCGCGCCUCCCAGGCUUGUGGGCUCCCUGGGCCUCCUCUGCCCUAGCUCCUUCGCCUAUAUAUUCCCUAAAAUCCGAGAAAAAAUUAGGAGAUCAUCGAAAGUACUUCUCCGCCGCCGCAAGCUUCUGUCUCUGCAAGAUCCCAUCUGGGGUACGUUCUGGUGCCCUGCCGGAGGGGGAUUCAGAUACGGAGGGCUUCUUCAUCAACACCAUGACCUCUCCGAUGAUGCGUGAGUAGUUCACCAUAGACCUACGGGUCCAUAGCUAGUAGCUAGAUGGCUUCUUCUCUAUCUUGGAUCUUCAAUACAAAGUUCUCCAUGAUCUUCAUGGAGAUCUAUCCGAUGUAAUCUUCUUUUGCGGUGUGUUUGUCGACAUCCGAUGAAUUGUGGAUUUAUGAUCAGAUUAUCUAUGAAUCUUAUUUGAGUAUCUUCUUAUCUCUGAUAUGCAUGAUUUCAUAUCCUUGUAAUUCUAUUCGAGUUGUGGCUUUUGUUUGGCCAAUUUGAUCUAUGGUUCUUGCAAUGGGAGAAGUGCUUGGUUUUGGGUUCAUACCGUGCGGUGCUCACCCAGUGACAGAAGGGGUAGCAUGGCACGCAUCAUGUCGUUGCCAUCAAGGGUAAAAAGAUGGGGUUUUCAUCAUUGGUUUGAGUUUAUCCCUCUACAUCAUGUCAUCUUGCUUAACGCGUUACUAUGUUCGUCAUGAACUCAAUACACUAGAUGCAUGCUGGAUAGCGGUCGAUGUGUGGAGUAAUAGUAGUAGAUNAGUAGCUAGAUGGCUUCUUCUCUAUCUUGGAUCUUCAAUACAAAGUUCUCCAUGAUCUUCAUGGAGAUCUAUCCGAUGUAAUCUUCUUUUGCGGUGUGUUUGUCGACAUCCGAUGAAUUGUGGAUUUAUGAUCACAUUAUCUAUGAAUCUUAUUUGAGUGUCUUCUCAUCUCUCGUAUGCAUGAUUUCAUAUCCUUGUAAUUCUUUUCCAGUUCUGGCUUUUGUAUGGCCAAAUGGAUCUAUGCUUCUUGCAAUGGGAGAAGUGCUUGGUUUUGGGUUCAUACCGUGCGGUGACCUCACCCAGUGACAGAAGGGGUAGCCGGCCAAGCAUCCUGUAGUUGCCAUCAAGGGUAAAAAGAUGCGGUUUUCAUCAUUGGUUUGAGGUUAUCCCUCUACAUCAUGUCAUCUUGCUUAACGCGUUACUUUGUUCGUCAUGAACUCAAUACACUAGAUGCAUGCUGGAUAGCGGUCGAUGUGUGGAGUAAUAGUAGUAGAUGCAGAAAGUAUCGGUCUACUUGUCUCGGACGUUAUGCCUAUAUGUAUGAUCAUUGCCUUAGAUAUCAUCAUGACUUUGCGCCGUUCUACCAAUUGCUCGACAGUAAUUUGUUCACCCACCGGAAUAUUUGGUAUUUUGAGAGAAGCCUCUAGUGAACACUAUGGCCCCCGGGUCUACGUCACACCAUAUUUUCAGCCUUGCUCUUUUACUUCAUUGCACUUUCCGCCUUCAGAUCUCACUUUGCAAUCAAUCUUGAAGGGAUUGACAACCCUUUUAUAGCGUUGGGUGCAAGCUCUUUUGUGUUUGCGCAGGUACUCUGGACUUGACGAGAUUCGCCUACUCGAUUGUUACCUUGGUUCUCAAACUAGGGAAAUACUUACAGCUCAUGUGCUACAUCACCCUUUCCUCUUCAAGGGAAAAACCAACGCAAGCCCAGUCCCCGUCAACGUGCCAAUCUCUGGCGCUGUUGUCUGUUGCCGUAGCAGAAGAAUUUCUGGCACCGUUGCCGGGGAGGAUCAAGUCAAGAACUCAUCCAAGUAAGUGUCGCAAACUCAUCUCUUGCAUUUACUUUUUUGCCUCUCAUUUUCCUCUCCCCCACUUCUCAAAAACAAAAAUUUACAAAAAUAUUUGCCUUUUUCGUUUGUCUUUCCUUUGCUUGUGUGCUAUGUGCCUUCAAUAUGCUUGCAUCUUCUCUUGGUGAAAAUCUAGUGAUAUGGAUUCUCACCGACUUGCUAAUCUCUUUAAGAGAUCAAAUUAUGUGGAACAAAUUGCUAGUAAGUUGAGUGCACUUGAAUUUCUCUAUGAAGUUUUGCUUGAGAUGCGUGAAUCUGAAAAUCGUGAUGAAUAAAUUCAUGAAGUGAUUCACGAGGGCUCCUUGAAUGAAAAGCUUGAUUGCAAUGAUUUCACUAUGAAUUCUAUUAGUGAUAAUCAUGCUAAAAAUAUGCAAAACCCUAAGCUUGGGGAUGCUACUUUUGCUAUGUCCACUACUUGUUGCAAUGAUCAUGAUUGGGGUAAUGAUUUUUCUUAUGAUCUAGAAAAUUUGUUUAAGCCUCAUGAUGAAUAUGAUAUUUGCAUUAAGAUUGAAAGUGGGUUUGGAGAAGUCAUGACUUUAGUUGAUGAUAAUCCCACCAUUUUUGAAGAGCGUCAACUUUGCAUGCUUGUGGAUCAUGAAAAUAAUAUCCUUUGUGAUAGCUAUAUUGUUGAAUUUGAUUAUGAUCCCACAUGUAAUUGCUUUGAGAGAGGAAAAUAUUGUGGUAGAAACUUUCAUGUUACUAAAUUACCUCUCGUUAUGUUGAGAUUGCUUUUGUCUCUUUCUUCUUCCUUGCAUUUGGUAACUAUUGGUUGUUUUGCCAAUUUGUUUUCCUAUAAAAUUCCUAUGCAUAGGAGGUAUGUUAGACUUAGAUGUGAUUUUCAUAUGCUUUAUGAUGCUCUCGUUGUGCUUCAAUUCUUGUCUUUUAUGAGAGCAUCAUUGAAUUGUCAAUGCCUAGCUAACGGCGUUAAACAAUAAGCGCUUGUUGGGAGGCAACCCAAUGAAUUUAUCUUUUUCUUUCUAUUUUGUUGCGUUCACACCAUCAUAAUUCUGUUAUGAUUGUGCCUUUUGUGUUUCUUUUUGUGUUUGAGCCAAGAAAACCUUUAUGACUAGUCUUGGUAAUGGUUGUUUGAUCCUGCUGGAAAAAGACAGAAACUUUUCACUCACGACAUUAUUUUUCAUUUUUAUUCAUAAAGAGAUUUUGAGUUGAUUCUUUUUGCUGCUGGUUGAUAUGCCUUUUUCUCAGGCAGUCGUAAUGUUUCAGAAUUUUUGAGGAACAGAAGUAUACUAAGUAUACAGAUUGAUACAGACUGGUCUGUUUUUGACAGAUUCUGUUUUUGUUGAGUUGGUUGCUUGUUUUGAUGAAACUAUGGAUAGUAUCGGGGGGGGGGUGGGGGGGUACUAGCCAUGGAAAAGUGAGAAUACAGUAAUCUAACACCAAUAUUAAUAGAAUUCAAGUUUUCUAUAGUACCUAAAGAGGUGGUAGUUUGUUUUCUUGUGCUAAUGAUAUCAUGAGUUUCUGUUUAAGUUUUGUGUUGUGAAGUUUUCAAGUUUUGGGUGAUGUUCUCAUGGACAAAGGGAUAAAGAGUGGAAAGAGCUCAACCUUGGGGAUGCCCAAGGGAUCCCAAUCUAAAUUCAAGGACACCAAAAAUCCUAAGCUUGGGGAUGCCCCUGGAAGGCAUCCCCUCUUUCGUCUUCAAUCCAUCGGUAACUUCACUUGGGGCUAUACUUUUAUUCACCACAUGAUAUGUGUUUUGCUUGGAGCGUCAUUUUAUUUUACUAUUACUUGCUUGCUGUUAUUUAUAUUAAUGUUUUGCAUCAUUUAUUUCAAUAAAAAUGUCAAGGAUAGCCUUUAACACGCUUAAUUUGCAAGUUUAGGAGUUGCUGUUCCAAAACAGAAAGUUUGCUUGCAGUGGAAAAAUUCCCUAGAAUUUUAUGCAUGUCAGAAUAAAUUGAAAUUUGGACACAGUAUGCUAUCAUAAAUUAUCUAAUGUGUGGAAUGUUAUCAGAUUUUUUGGAGUUAAUUAAGUAUGGAUCUUGCUGCAUUCUUCACAGACUGUUCUGUUUAGGCAGAUUGUUGUUAUGUUUGCAUUGUUCGCAUAUGUUUGGUUGUUUAAUGAUUCCAUUUGAGGAUGGGAGUUUUAAAUAUGCAGAGGAAUUUAGUAUGCAAUGUCAAAUAAUGAUUUUAGUGAUUUUCUACAGUAGAGGAUGAUAAAGUUUUCCAUUGAUUUCUACUAACCUAUCUCACGAGUUCUUGAUUGAGUUUUGUGUGGAUGAAGUUUUUAAGAUUUCGGAAACCGUCAUAUGAGAGGAAUUAAGGAGACACAAAAAGCUCAAUCUUGGGGAUGCCCAAUUCAUCCCCAAUCCAUAUUUCAAGAAGUCUCAAGCGUCUAAGCUUGGGGAUGCCCCGGUUGGCAUCCCACCUUUCUUCUACAACAAUUAUCGGUUAGUAUCGGUUGAACCUAAGUUUUUGCUUCUUCACAUGUUUCGUGCUAUACUUGAAGUUGGGGGGGUAUUUUAUUUUGUUUGAAUAAGGUACUUAGGAUCUGAAAUUCUUAGAUGGGAGAGUCUUCACAUAGCCAAAUAAUUAUUCAACUACUCAUUCAGCUUCACUUGUAUCUUGUGGAGUAGUUUGUCUUUUGCUCUAGUGCUUCACGUAUAUCUUUGUAGAGCAUUGAAAUGGUUUUAUUUUAUAGAAAUAGUUGAACUCUCAUGCUUCACUUAUAUUAUUUUGAGAGUCUUAAACAACAUGGUUAUUUUCUUAGGUUAUGAAUCUAGUCCUAAUAUGAUGGGCAUCCAAGAGGGAUAUAAUAAAAACUUUCAUAUAGAGUGCAUCGAAUACUAUGAGAAGUUUGAUUCUUUGCAUAUAGUUUUGAGAUAUAAAGAUGGUGAUAUUAGAGUCAUGCUAGUGAGUAAUUAUGGAUUGGUAGAAAUUCUUGUGUUAGAGUUUGUGAUUCCCGUAGCAUGCACGUAUGGUGAACCGCUAUGCUAGGAAGUCAGAGCAUGAUGUUUUUAUUGAUUGUCAUCCUUUGUGUGGCGGUCAGGAUCGCGCGAUGGUUAACUCCUACCAACCCUUCCCCUAGGAGCAUGCGUCUAGCACUUUGUUUUGCUUACUAAUAAAACUUUCGCAAGAAGUAUGUGAGUUCUCUCUGACUAAUGCUAGUCCAUGGUAUAUACGCACUCUCACCCUUUUCCACCAUUGCUAGCCUCUCUAGUGCCGCGCAAUUUUAGCCGGUGCAUAAACCCACCAUAUACCUUCCUCAAAACAGCCACCAUACCUACCCAUCAUGGCAUUUCCAUAGCCAUUCCGAGAUAUAUUGCCAUGCAAUUUCCACCGUUCCGUUUAUUAUGACAUGCAUCAUCAUUGUCAUAUUGCUUUGCAUGAUCAUGUAGUUGACAUCGUAUUUGUGGCAAAGCUACCAUUCAUGUCUUUCAUACAUGUCACUCAUGAGUCAUUGCACAUCCAGGUACACUGCCGGAGGCAUUCAUAUAGAGCCAUAUCUUUGUUCUAAGUAUCGAGUUGUAAGUAAAUAAAAGUGUGAGGAUCAUCAUUGUUAGAGCAUUGUCCCAUGUGAGGAAAGGGCGGAAGCUAUGAUUCCCUCACAAGUUGGGAUGAGACUCCGGACUUAAAAUAAAAUAGGCCAAAGAGCCCACCAAAAAAUGAAAAAUAAGAAAAAUAAAAAAAGAGAGGCCAAAGAGCCCAAACAAAAAAAUGAGAGAAAAAGAGAGAAGGGACAAUGCUACUAUCCUUUACCACACUUGUGCUUCAAAGUAGCACCAUGAUCUUCAUGACACAGAGUCUCAUAUAUUGUCACUUUCAUAUACUAGUGAGAAUUUCAUUAUAAAACUUGGCUUGUAUAUUCCAAUGAUGGAAUUCCUCGAAAGUGCCCUAGGUCUUCGUGAGCAAGCAAGUUGGGUGCACACCCACAAGUUCCCUUUUAAGCUUUCAUACACUUAUAGCUUUAGUGCAUACGUUGCAUGGCAAUCCCUACUCACUCACAUUGAUAUCUAUUGAUGGGCAUCUCCAUAGCCCGUUGAUACGCCUAGUUGAUGUGACCAUCUCCUCCUUUUUGCCUCACAACCUCCACCAUAUUCUAUUCCACCUAUAGUGCUAUGUACAUGGCUCACGCUCAUGUAUUGCGUGAGAGUUGAAAAGGUUUGAGAAAGUAAAAGUGUGAAAACAAUUGCUUGACUAAGACCGAGGUUGUUCAUGGCCAGACUAUAUGAUAUUGUAGGGAUAACUUUCUUUGGCCAUGUUAUUUCGAGAAGACAUGAUUGCUUUGUUAGUAUGCUUGAAGUAUUAUUGUUCUUAUGUCAAUAUUAAACUUUUUUUUGAAUCAUAUAGAUCUGAAUAUUCAUGCCACAAUAUAUGUUAGGUAGCAUUCCACAUCAAAAAUUCUGUUUUUAUCAUUUACCUGCUCGAGGACGAGCAGGAAUUAAGCUUGGGGAUGCUUGAUACGUCUCCAACGUAUCUAUAAUUUUUUAUCGUUCCAUGCUAUUAUAUUAUCAACUUUGGAUGUUUUAUAGGCAUGAAUAUGCUAUUCUAUAUUAUUUUUGGGAACAACCUAUUGACCUAGAGCCCAGUGCCAGUUCCUGUUUUUUUCCUUGUUUUUGACCUUUUUCAGAUAGGAAUAUCAAACGGAGUCCAAACGGAAUAAAACUUUCGCUGUGAUAUUUUAUGGGAAAUAUCAAAAAUACCAGAAGAAAAAGAUACCGGAGAGGAGUCCCGAGGAAGCCAAGAGCCAGGGAGGCGCGCCCACCCCCUGGGCGCGCCUGGGGGCUCGUGACUCCCUCGUGGGUCCCCCUGACUUGUUCUCGAUGCCAUAUGGUCUUAUAAAUACAUAAACCUCCAGAAAUAAACCUAGAUCGGGAGUUCUGCCACCGCAAGCCUCUGUAGCCACCAAAAACCAAUCGGGAGCCCGUUCCUGCACCCUGCCGCAGGGGAAUCCAUCUUCGGUGGCCAUCUUCAUCAUCCCGGCGACCUCCAUGGCGAGGAGGGAGUAGUUCUCCCUCGGGGCUGAGGGUAUGUACCAUUAGUUAUGUGUUUGAUCUCUCUCUCUCUCUCGUGUUCUUGAGAUGCAUGAUCUCGAUGUACCGCGGGCUUUGCUACUAUAGUUGGAUCCUAUGAUGUUAUUCCCCCUCUCCCUUCUUGUGAUGUAUAGAGUUUCCCCUUCGAAGUUGUCUUAUAGGAUUGAGUCUUUAAGAACACUUGAUGUAUGUCUUGCACGUGUCUAUCUGUGGUGACAAUGGGAUAUUCAUGUGAGUACUUGAUGUAUGUUUUGGUGAUCAACUUGCGGGUUUCGUGACAUCGAGAACCUACGCAUAUGGGUUGGCACACGUUUUGACUCUCCGGUAGAAACUUUGGGGCACUCUUUGAAGUUCUAUGUGUUGGUUGAAUAGAUGAUUCUGAGAUUGUGUGAUGCAUAUCAUAUAAUCAUGCCCAUGGAUACUUGAGGUGACAAUGGAGUAUCUAGGUGACAUUAGGGUCUUGGUUGAUGUGUGUCUUAAGGUGUUAUUCUAGUACGAACUCUAGGAUAGAUUGAUCAGAAAGAAUAACUUUGUGGUGGUCUCGUACCCGACAAUAAUCUCUUCGUUUGUUCUCCGUUAUUAGUGACUUUGGAGUGACUCUUUGUUGCAUGUUUAGGGAUAGUUAUAUGAUCCAAUUAUGUUAUCAUUGUUGAGAGAACUUCACUAGUGAAAGUAUGAACCCUAGGACUUGUUUCCACGCAUUGCAAUACCAUUCGUGCUCACUUUUAAUAUUAAUUACCUUGCUGUUUUUAUAAUUUCAGAUUACAAAAACCUAUAUCUACUAUCCCUAUUGCACUUGUAUCACCAUAUCCUCGUCGAAGUAGUGCACCUAUACAACUUACCAUUGUAUAGGGUGUAUUGGGGACACAAGAGACUCUUUGUUAUUUGGUUGCAGGGUUGCUUGAGAGAGACCAUCUUCAUCCUACGCCUCCCACGGAUUGAUAAACCUUAGGUCACCCACUUGAGGGAAAAUUGCUACUGUCCUACAAACCUCAGCACUUGGAGGCCCAACAACGUCUACAAGGAGAAGGUUGCGUAGUAGACAUCACGAUCCUUAAUUGACUCUCUCGGCUUAUUAAUCACCUAGAUCUAUGUCCACGAGUUGCAACUAGUUUCUGUUGUAGGAAAAGUGUUGGCGGUCGUGCUUAGCUCUGCCCGAUGGGGUAGGCUUCAGUGCAGUAGAUACAUAGUGGCCCGGUGUACCAAGCGUAGUACCAUCCGUCGAGGUGGGCUUGGGAACCAUGUACACAUCGUUUGGGGCUGUAGAGGAAAUUUUGGCCGGACUUCCUUGCGGAUUCAGUCUCAAAUAGGCGAUAAACCUCGACUAGGGUCUUGUGUGGUUAACGGUCGUGGCCGACACCCACGCCAGUGAUUCCGCUUGAAGGUUGUCGAGAUGCAUGACAUGCAUAUGGUGAUCAGUGGUGAGAGCGUGUGUGAAUAAGUAUACCCCUGCAGGGUGAAUUAAUCUGUUCGAAUAGCCAUAUCCUCGGAUAUGGAGUACUUGGAAACAUUACAUGGUACAUAGACAACUUGGAAUAGAUACUCUAAAAUACGCAAGAUAAGUGUGAGUGCUAUGGAUGGCCUUCUCGUAGGGAGACGAGAGUGGAUCCAUAGUGGUGUAUUGAAUUGGUGAAUAUGUGGACUCGCAUGCGCUAUUCCACCUCAAAGAAAGAACUUGAAGUCGUAGUAUAGGUCAGCCAAGAGUCAAAGCUGGCUUGUUGCAAUUAAACUCCACAACCCCUUUACUGAUAUUGAUGCAUAUGUAGAUAGUUCUGACGUAAGUCUAGGUGAGUACCUUUGUACUCACGGUUGCUUAUAUAUGUUUUUGAGAGGAGACCUUAGUCUCAUUAAAGGUUUCUACGCGAUGUGUUCGAUGUUGACCGGAAUAGCUUGGGAAUCCCAGACAGACGUCUGGCUCCUUUGGUAGGGUCGUUGUAGCUUUUCAGGCUCCUCUAGCCAUUUUGGUAGAUGUCUGUACCCGCACAUGUUUUUCUUCCGCUUGAUGCUUGUAUGACUUGAGUGCUGGGUCAUGUGACCCCUGUUUGUAAUAUCAUACUAUCUUGACUCUUAUGAGUCUUUAAUAAAUGCUUGAGUCAUAGAUUUAUGUUGUGAUGCCAUGUUGUAUCUACACAUAUCGUGCAUAUUGUGUGUAUGUUUUGAAAAGUGUUGUAUGUGUGGGAUUCGACACCUAGUUGUGUGCCUUUAGUAGUACUCUUUACGGGGAAAUGCCUCUUUGUGCUUCCACCGAGCCUUGGUAGCUUGCUACUGCUCCAGACACAUUUAUUGACCGGCAUGUAUCCUUCUUUGCUGUUGUGUCUGUUCCUUCGGGGAAAUGUCACGCGGUGUAAUGGAGUCCCCAUAGCUUACUACGACUCGUUUACACACGUUGUUGACUGACACCUGCUUUGCUGGGUUAUGUAUGUCUGUCCUUGUACGUAUGUGCCACUUGGGUUUAUAACUAGUCAUGUCGAUCCGGGUUCUCUGUCAUUUGAAUGCCCGCGACAUAUACACAUACGUGAGCCAAAAGAAGCAAACGGUCCCGCCCCAGGUAAGGUGGCAGCCGUGGAGUUAACCGUGCAUGAGGACGCAAAGUGAUGUGUUAUGUUACAUGCUGGGUUCUUAUGACUUAGGAUCGGGGUCCCGACAUACACCCUUGUAUGCGAAAGUUAGAGUCUAUCACACCCGAUCAACACGUGGUGCUUCGAAACAACGAACCUUCGCAAUGGUGCACACUUAGGGGAAUACAUAUCUUGAAAUUUUAAUGAGGGAUCAUCUUAUCUUUGCUACCGUUGUUCUAAGCAAUAAGAUGUAAAACAUGAUAAACAUCACAUGCAAUCAUAUAGUGACAUGAUAUGGCAAAUAUCAUCUUGCUCCUUUGAUCACCAUGUUCGGGGCACCAUGAUCAUCAUCAUCGCAUGCAUGACACCAUGAUCUCCAUCAUUCUGUCGUCGCGAAGUCGUCUCUCCAACUAUUACUUCUACUACUAUAGAAAAUUGUUAGCGAUAAAGUAAAGUAAUCAUCAUGGCGUUGCAUCUCAUACAAUAAAUUAAGACAAUUCAUAUGGCUCCUGCCGGUUGUCAUACUCAUCGACAUGCAAGUCGUGAAUACUAUUACAAGAACAUGAUCAAUUUCAUACAUCACAUAUGUAACAUCACAUCCUUUUGGCCAUAUCACAUCCCAUAGCAUACCCUGCAAAAACAAGUUAGACGUCCUCUAAUUGUUGUUGCAAGUUUUACGUGGCUGGUUAGGGUUUCUAGCAAGAACGUUUCUUACCUACAUGACAACCACAACGUGGAUAUGCCAAUGCUAUUUACCCUUCAUGAGGACCCUCUUCAUCGAAUCUGAUCCAACUAAAGUGGGAGAUUGCUACUGCAACAAAAGACCUUCCAACGGCGCCAGAAAUAGGUGUGUCGAUGGCACCAGGAAUCCUUCUGCUACGGCUACGCCUUAAUGCACUUCCUAGGCAAAUAUCCAAAGAAUUUCCCCCGUGGCCUUGGAGCCUUGUGUUGGUGUUCCCUCGAAGCGGAAAGGGUGAUGUAGCGCAGCGAUGGUAAGUAUUUCCCUCACUUUGAGAACCAAGGUAUCGAUCCAGUGAAGGAGUACCACAAGAGCAUGCACAAACACAAAGAACCUGCUCCCAACGCUGUGAAGGGGUUGUCAAUCCCUUAUAGAUUGUUCGCCAAGUGAGAACUGAAAGCAACAAAGUAACAAAGCAAAGUAAAAGCGGAGGUGUAAACGAUAGAUGUGAAUAGACCCGGGGGCCAUAGUGUUUACUAGUGGCUUCUCUCAUGAAAGCAAGUAGUUGGUGGGUGAACAAAUUACUGUCGAGCAAUUGAUAGAACCGCGCAAAGUCGUGACGAUAUCUAUGGCAAUGAUUAUAUCUAUAGGCAUCACGUCCAAAACAAGUAGACCGAUACUUUCUGCAUCUAGUACUAUUACUCCACACGUCGACCGCUAUCCAACAUGCAUCUAGUGUAUUAAGUCCAAAAGAACAGAGUAACGCCUUAAGCAAGAUGACAUGAUGUAGAUGGACAAUCUCAUAUCAACGACAGAGCCCAUCUUGUUACCCUUGAUGGCAACUACUCAAUGUGUGCCUUGCUGCCCCUACUGUCACUGGGAAAGGUCACCACAUGGUAAGAACCCAAAACCAAGCACUUCUACCAUUGCAAGAAUCAUAGAUCUAGUUGGCCAAACAAAACCCAAGACUCGGAGAGAUUUACAAGGAUAUCAAAUCAUGCAUAUAAGAAAUCACAAAGAAUCAAAUAUAUAUCAUAGAUAAUCUGAUCACAGAUCCCCAAUUCAUCGGAUCUCGACAAACACACCGCCAAAGAAGAUUACAUCGGAUAGAUCUCCAUGAAGAUCGUGGAGAACUUUGUAUUGAAGAUGCAAGAGAGAGAAGAAGCCAUCUAGCUACUAACUACGGACCCGUAGGUCUGAAGUGAACUACUCAUGAGUCAUUGGAGGGGCGAUGAUGAUGAUGAAGAAGCCCUCCAACUCCAAAGUCCCCUCCGGCAGGGCGCCGGGAAGGGUCUCCAAAUGAGAUCUCGCGGAAACAGAAGCUUAUGGCGGCGGAAAAGUAUUUUCGUGCAUUCCCUGGUUUUUUGUUGUAUUUUAGGGAAUAUAUAGGCCAAAGAUCUAGGUCAGGGGGGCGCCAGGGAGGCCACAAGCCUGCCCACCGCCGCCUCCCCCUGGUGGCGGAGUGGGGGCUUGUGGGCUCCCUGUAGCCCUCCUGGCUUGGCCCACAGGCCCCCUGAUCUUCUUCCCUUCGGGAAAAAGUCAUUUCGGGGAUUUUAUUCCGUUUGGACUCCGUUCCAAAAUCAGAUCUGAAAAGAGCCAAAAACAUAGAAAAAACAGGAACUGGCACUUGGCACUGAAUUAAUAGGUUAGUAUCAAAAAGGAUAUAAAAGGUACAUAAAACAUCCAAAGAUGACAAGAUAACAGCAUGAAACCAUAAAAAGUUAUAGAUACGUUUGAGACGUAUCAAGCAUCCCCAAGCUUAACUCCUGCUCGUCCUCGAGUAGGGAAGUUAUAAAGAAUGAAUUUUUGAUGCUUUCAUGCUACCUAGCAUAGAUGUCCUUUGUAAUUCCUCUUAUGUGACAUGAAUGUUCAGAUCCAUUAGAUUCAAAACAAUAGUUUGCUAUUGACGUGAAAACAAUAAUAAUUCAAGCAAACUAGCAAGGUAAUCAUGAACUUUCAAAAUAACAAGGCCAAAAGAAAGUUAUCCCUACAAAAGCAUAUAGUCUGGCUAUGCUCUAUCAUCAUUGCACAAUGAAUUUAAAUCAUGCACAACCCCGGUAUUGGCCAAAUAAUUAUUUCACACCUUUACUUUCUCAAACCUUUUCUACUCUCACGCAAUACAUGAGCGUGAGCCAUGGUUAUAGCACUAUAGAUGGUGUGGAGUGUGGUGGAGGUUGCAAGACAAAAAAGGAGAAGAUAGUCACAGUAACUAGGCAUAUCAAUGAGCUGUGGAGAUUCUCAUCAAUAGAUAUCAAUGUGAAUGAGUAGGGAUUGCCAUACAAAUGAUGCACUAGAGCUACGAGUAUGUGAAAGCUCUUAAAGAAAACUAGUGGGUGUGCAUCCAACUUGCUUGCUCACGAAUACCUAAGGCAAUUUUGACGAAGCCUAUCAUUGGAACAUACAAGCCAAGUUAUAUAAUGAAAAUUUCCCACUAGCUAUAUGGUGGUGACAAAACGAGAGACUCUCAAUCAUGAAGAUCAUGGUGCUUAAUAUGCACAAGUGUGGAAAAUGUGGUAGCAUUGUCCCUUCUCUCUUUUUCUCUCAUUUUUUUGGUGGGCUCUUUGGCCUCUUUUUUUAUUCUAUUUUGUUUUGGUCGGCUUCUUUGGCCUCUUUUAUUUCCUCACAUGGGACAAUGCUCCAUUAAUGAUGAUCAUCACACUUUCAACUCAAAACUUAGAGCAACAAUGACUCUAUAUGGAAUGCCUUCGGCAGUGUACCGUGGCAAUGAUCUAGCAUGGCAUAGACAUUAAUGGAAACAUCAUGCUAGCUAUCUUACGAUCAUGCAAUGGAAAUGUAGACGUGGUGGCACAUGUCAUGGUGGUAGUUGCAUGGCAAUAUAUCUCGGAAUGACUUUGAAAAGGCCAUAGUAGGUAGGUAUGGUGGCUGUUUUGAGGGAGGCUAAUGGUGGGUUUUGUGCACCGACGAAAGUUGCACGGCACUAAGAAGAUAGUGAUGGUGGAAGGUGAAAGUGCAUCUAAACCAUGGACUCAACAUUAGUCAUGAAGAACUCAUAUACUUGUUGAAACUUUUUUUAUUAGUAAUCGAAACAAAGCAUUCAACGCAUACUCCUAGGGGAAGGGUUGGUAGGUAUAAACCAUCGCGUGAUCCCGACCGCCACACAAAGGAUAACAAUCAAUAGACUAAUCAUGCUCAGAUUUCAUCACAUAGCGGUUCACCAUACGUGCAUGCUACGGGAAUCACUAACUUCAACACAAGUAUUUCUAGAUCCACAACACCUUACUAGCAUGACUUCAAUAUUACCAAAACCACAACUCAAAACUAAUUGAGGUGAAUCAAACUUCUCUAACUAUUCAAUGCACAUGAAGCUGGAAGUUUUCGUAUCCCUUUGGAUAACUACCCCUUUUGAGACUACUUUCAAAGCAUAGAUCAACUACCAAGCCACGCACCGCUGCGCUCUAAAAUAUAUAAGUGAAGCACAUAGAGCAAAAGUAUCUAGCUCAAAAGAUAUAAGUGAAGCACAUGUGAGCUGAAUUGUCUACCAAAAGAUAUAAGUGAAGCUCGACAAAGUCACGGUGAGUGCAUGUCUAUCUCUCUAGGUGUGAAGCAAGGAUGAUUGUGACACAACAAAAACAAAAGACUCCUACGAUACAAGACGCUCCAAGCAAAAACACAUAACAUGUGGUGAAUAAAAAUAUAGCCCCAAGUAACGUUACCGAUGGAUUGAAGAUGAGAGAGGGGAUGCCUUCCCGGGGCAUCCCCAAGCUUAGGCUUUUACAACAUCCUUGAAUCUCUUGGGGUGCCUUGGGCAUCCCAAGCUUGAUCUCUUGCCACUCUUUAUCUCUUUUUUCCAUAAGAACUUCACCCAAAACUUGAAAACUUCACAACACGAAACCUAAACAGAAACUCGUGAUAACAUUAGUAUGAGAAAGCAAACCACCACUUCCUUAGGUACUGUAGCAAACUUAAAUUCUACUUGUGCUGAUGUUGGGUUACUGUAUUUUUCAAUCUUCCAUGGCUAAUACCCCGCGAUACUAUCCAUAGUUUCAUUAAAAUAAGCAACCAACACAACAAAAACAGAAUAUGUUAACAGCAGACUAGUCUGUAGCAAUCUGUAUAUUUUGUAUACUUCUGGUACUUCAAAAAUUCUGAAAAGUUACGAAAGUCUGAAGAAUUUGCGUAGAAAUCAGCAGCAAAAAGAAUCAACUCAAAAGCUUUUACAGAAAAAAAAUUCUUUUCGUGAGCAGAAAGUUUCUGUCUUUUCCAGCAUGACCAAACGAUCAUCCCCAAGACUAAUCGUAACGGUUUUGCUUGGCACAAACGCAAAAAGAAACACAAAAAACACAAUCGUAACAGAAUUAUGAAAGUGUGGAAAACACAAAACAGAAAGAAAAAGGAUAGAUUCGCUGGGUUGCCUCCCAACAAGCGCUUUUGUUUAACGCCCUUAGCUAGGCAAAAAGUGAUGGAACCACGUAUAGUCAUCUUUGGUGCUCCAACCAUAAGUAGCCCUCAUCAUAGAUUCAUAAGGCAAUCUUAUUUUCUUUCUAGGAAAGUGCUCCAUGCCCUUCUUCAAAGGAAAUUGAAAUCUAAUAUUCCCUUCCUUCAUAUCGAUGAUAGCACCAAUAGUCCUUAGGAAAGGUCUACCAAGAAUAAUGGGACAUGAAGGAUUGCAAUCUAUGUCAAGUACAAUGAAAUCCACGGGUACAUAGUUCUUAUUUGCAACAAUAAGAACAUCAUCAAUCCUUCCCAUGGGUUUCUUGACAGUAGAAUCCGCAAGAUGCAAAUUAAGAGAACACUCUUCAAUCUCAUGAAAACCAAGAAUAUCACAUAAAGACUUUGGAAUCGCGGAAACACUAGCACCCAAAUCACACAAAGCAUUGCACUCAUAGUUUUUUUAUCUUGAUUUUGAUAGUAGGUUCCCACUCAUCAUGAAGUUUUCUAGGUAUAGAGACUUCUAGUUCGAGCUUCUCUUCAAGAGAUUUCAUCAUAGCAUCUACGAUAUGCGCGGUAAAGGCUUUGCUUUGGCUAUAAGCAUGUGGAGAGUUUGCAAUGGAUUGCAUCAAAGAAAUGCAUUCAAACAAGGAGCAAUUAUCAUAAUUGAAUUCCUUGAAUCCCAAAGUGGGAGUUUCAUUACUACCCAAAAUUUUGACUUCUUCUACUCCACUCUCCACACCUUUAUCAUCAAGAUAGGUGGACUCCGAAUCAUUGGGGCGUUUUUCAACCAAAGUGGAUUCAUAUCCAGCCCCUCCAUAAAUAGGUUUGACACACGAAAAAAAGAUUCAAGAGGAGACACACCAAGCACUUUAAGAUCCUCGUGAUUUGCAUCACUAGAACGCACCCUUUUAAACCAUUCAUGUCUAGCGCGAAUUUGGGCGGUUCUUUCUUUGCUCUCAUUCAUGGAGAUACGCAUAGCUUUCAAAGUUUCAUCCAAGUUGACCUUGGGAGGAGCGCAUCUAACUUUCAAAGCAUCAAUAUUACAAGACAUCCUAUCAACGCUCUUAGCCAAAUCAUCUAUUUUGAGUAGUUUUUCCUCUAUGGACGCAUUGAAAAUCUUUUGAGAGUUGAUGAACUCUUUGAUAUUACUCUCUAAAUCAGAGGGUAAUUUGUUGUGAUUUCCAUAAGUGUUGUUGUAGGAAUUGCCAUAAUUGUUAGAGGAGUUACUAGGAAAAGGCCUAGGAACAUAGUUUCCUCUAAAAGCAUUGUUGUUGCCAAAAUUGUUCCUACCAACAAAAUUCACGUCCAAACUAGCGUUGCUACUCUCAAUCAAAGAAGAUAGUGGCAUGUCAUUAGGAUCUACGGUAAUGUUUCUACUAGCAACCAAAUUCAUCAACUCGUCCAUCUUAGCACUAGCGAGUUAAUUUCUUCUAUAACGUGCACCUUUUUGCUAGCAGGCGACCUUUUAGUGUGCCACUGAGAGUAGUUGGUCAUGAUAUUGUCUAGGAGUUUUGUAGCGUCUCCUAACGUGAUUUCCAUGAACGUUCCACCUGAGGCGGAGUCCAAGAUAUUGCGAGAAGCGAAAUUCAAGCCAGCGUAAAAGAUUUGUAUAAUCAUCCACAAACUCAAGCCAUGAGCGGGACAAUUUCUAAUCAUAAGCUUCAUCCUCUCCCAAGAUUAUGCAACGUGUUCAUGAUCAAGUUGCCUGAAAUUCAUGAUAUCGUUACGUAAGGAGAUGAUCUUAGCCGGCGGAAAAUACUUGGAUAUGUAAGCAUCUUUGCACUUAUCCCAAGAAUCGAUACUAUUUUUAGGCAAGAAGAAAACCAAGUUUUUGUGCAAUCUCGCAACGAGAAAGGAAAAAGUUUCAACUUAAUCACGUCAUUAUCCACAUCUCUUUUCUUUUGUAUAUCACAAAGCUCAAUGAAGGUAUUGAGAUGGGAUGCGGCAACUUCACUAGGAAGGCCAGAGAAUUGCUCUUUCAUAACAAGAUUCAACAGAGCUGCGUUGAUUUCAUACGAUUCCGCACUAGUGGCGGGAGCAAUCGGAGUACUAAUAAAAUCAUUAUUAUUAGUGCUCGAGAAGUCGCAAAGUUUGGUGUUUUCAGCCAUGAUGACUUCAACAAACAAACAAGCACACAAGCAAGCAAGAAAACCGGCAAAGGAAAACGGCAAAAGCAAGAGAAAACGGCAAAGGAGAAAGGCAAAUGAAAACGGCAAAUGUGAAGUGGGGGAGAGGAAAAUGAGAGGCAACUGGCAAAAAAAGUAAAUGCAAGAGAUGAGUUUGUGAGACCUACUUGGAUAGAUCUUGAUCUCUCCUUCCCCUGCAACGGCGCCAGAAAUACUUCUGCUACUGCAACAAAAUACCUUCCAACGGCGCCAGAAAUAGGUGUGUCGAUGGCACGAGGAAUCCUUCUCCUAUGGCUACGCCUUAAGGGACUUCCUAGGAAAAUAUGCAAAGGAUUUCCCACGUGGCCUUGGAGCCUUGCGUUGGUGUUCCCUCGAAGCGGAAAGGGUGAUGUAGCGCAGCGAUGGUAAGUAUUUCCCUCAGUUUGAGAACCAAGGUAUCGAUCCAGUGAAGGAGUAUCACAAGAGCUUGCACAAACACAAAGAACCUGCUCCCAACGCUAUGAAGGGGUUGUCAAUCCCUUAUAGAUUGUUCGCCAAGUGAGAACUGAAAGCAACAAAGUAACAAAGCAAAGUAAAAGCGGAGGUGUAAACGAUAGAUGUGAAUAGACCCGGGGGCCGUAGUGUUUACUAGUGGCUUCACUCAUGAAAGCAAGUAGACGGUGGGUGAAAAAAUUACUGUCGAGCAAUUGAUAGAACCGCGCAAAGUCGUGACGAUAUCUAUGGCAAUGAUUAUAUCUAUAGGCAUCACGUCCAAAACAAGUAGACCGAUACUUUCUGCAUAUACUACUAUUACUCCACACGUCGACCGCUAUCCAGCAUGCAUAUAGUGUAUUAAGUCCAAAAGAACACAGUAACGCCUUAAGCAAGAUGACAUGAUGUAGAUGGACAAUCUCAUAUCAACGACAGAGCCCAUCUUGUUACCCUUGAUGGCAACUACUCAAUGUGUGCCUUGCUGCCCCUACUGUCACUGGGAAAGGUCACCACAUGGUAAGAACCCAAAACCAAGCACUUCUCCAAUUGCAAGAAUCAUAGAUCUAGUUGGCCAAAAAAAUCCAAGACUCGGAGAGACUUACAAGGAUAUCAAAUCAUGCAUAUAAGAAAUCAGCAAAGACUCAAAUAUAUAUCAUAGAUAAUCUGAUCACAAAUCCACAAUUCAUCGGAUCUCGACAAACAAACCGCCAAAGAAGAUUAUAUCAGAUAGAUCUCCAUGAAGAUCAUGGAGAACUUUGUAUUGAAGAUCCAAGAGAGAGAAGAAACCAUCUAGCUACUAACUACGGACCCGUAGGUCUGAAGUGAACUACUCACGAGUCAUUGGAGGGGCGAUGAUGAUGAUGAAGAAGCCCUCCAACUCCAAAGUCCCCUCUGUCAGAGCGCCGGGAAGGGUCUCCAGAUGAGAUCUUGCGGAAAUGGAAGCUUAUGGCGGCGGAAAAGUAUUUUCGUGGAUCCCCUGAUUUUUUGCUAUAUUUUAGGGAAUAUAUAGGCCAAAGAUCUAGGUCAGGGGGGCGCCAGGGAGGCCACAAGCCUGCCCACCACCGCCUCCCCCUGGUGGCGGAGUGGGGGCUUGUGGGCUCCCUGUAGCCCUCCUGGCUUGGCCUACAGGCCCCCUGGUCUUCUUCCGUUCAGGAAAAAAAUCAUUUCGGGGAUUUUAUUCCGUUUGGACUACGUUCCAAAAUCAGAUCUGAAAAGAGCCAAAAACACAGAAAAAACAGGAACUGGCACUUGGCACGGAAUUAAUAAGUUGGCCUCAAAAAAGAUAUAAAAGGUACAUAAAACAUCCAAAGAUGACAAGAUAACAACAUGAAACCAUCAAAAAUUAUAGACACGUUUGAGACGUAUGAGAGAUACAGACACCCGCUAGCCACAUUAUGCAACAAGUGCAUGUCAGUCGGUGGAACCAGUCUCACAUAAGAGUAUGUGCAAAGUCGGUUCAGGCCGUUUCAUCCCACAAUGCCGCCGAAUGAAGAUAAGACUAGUAACGGCAAGAAAAUUGACAAAUCAGCGCCCACAUCUUUUGAGUUCUACUCGUGCAUAGAAUCUACGCAUAGAACCUUGGCUCGGAUGCCACUGUUGGGGAUCGUAGUAAUUUCAAAACUUUCCCUACGCCAUGCAAGGAUCUAUCUAUGGAGAAACCAGCAACGAUCAAAGGGGUAGAGCAUCUUAAUACCUUUGAAGAUCGCUAAGCGGAAGCAUUGCUAGAACGCAGUUGAUGGAGUCGUACUCGCAACGAUUCAGAUCAGGGUGGAUUGCGAUCUAUGCACCGAACAACGGUGCCUCCGCGUUCAACACACGUGCAGCCCGGUGACGUCUCCAACUCCUUGAUCCAGCAAGGAGGGAGGAGAGGUUGAGGGAGAGCUUCGGCAACAUGACGGCGUGGUGACGUUGGAGCUUCGUGGUAACUCUGGCAGGGCUUCGCCAAGCACUACGGAGGAGGAGGAGGAGUAUGUCUGCACCGUGGAGAGAUAAAUUGUGUGUCUCCAAAAGUCCAAAACCCUCCACUAUAUAUAGGAGGAGAGGGAGGAGGUGCCCACCCUAAAGGGUGCGGCAGCCCCAUCUAGGGAAAAUGGUCGGCGGCCAGGGAUGGAGGCGCUCUAGGGUGGGCCUUUGGGCCCAAGGGUGCCCUCCCACGCCUAUGGUUUUGCCCCUCCCCACCCUUGUGCGCCUUGGGAUGAGAGAGGGAGGCGCACCAGCCCACUUUGGGCUGUUUCCCUUCCAGCUUUUGGACCAUGUACCCCUUUGGGGCUGGUGGCCCUUCCCGGUGGACCCCCGGAGCCCUUCCGGUGGUCCCGGUACAUUACGGGUGACGCCCGAAACACUUUCGGUGUCCAAAUCCUCACUUCCUAUAUAUGAAUCUUUACCUCCCGACCAUUCCAAAACGCCUCGUGACAUCCGGGGUCUCAUUGGGGACUCCGAACAACCUUCGGUAACCACGUACACUAUUUCCCUAUAACCCUAGCAUCAUCGAACCUUAAGUGUGUAGACCCUACGGGUUCGGGAGACAUGCAGACAUGACCGAGACACCUCUCCAGCCAAUAACCAACAGCGGGGUAUGGAUAUCCAUAUUGGUUCCCAUAUGUUCCACGAUGAUCUCAUCGGAUGAACCACGAUGUCAAGGAUUCAAUCAAUCCCGUAUGCAAUUCCCUUUGUCUACCUGUAUGAUACUUGCCCGAGAUUCGAUCGUCUGUAUCCCCAUACCUUGUUCAAUCUCAUUACCAGCAAGUCUCUUUACUCGUUCUGUAAAACAUCAUCCCAUGUCUAACUCCUUAGUCACACUGAGCUCAAUAUGAUGAUGAAUUACCGAGUGGGCCCAGAGAUACCUCUCUGUCGUGGGUAUAAGUCUGACAGUAGAAGUAUGGGGUACGAAAGUAUAUGGGCAGAGCCUUAGCUACGGCGAGGAUGUAUGAGUUCAGGCCCCUCUACGGUGGAGGUAAAAGCCCUACGUCUCAGUGCUCUUGGGAGCUUUGUGUCGAGUGAAUUGUAGGAUUACAGCAAGUGCCAACCCCCGUACCAGUGGUGAAGGGCGGCUUAUAUAGAGUGCGCUACCCUUCAUAAUGGCCCGGAGGACAGGGGUCGAAUAGUGGCAAGUAAAUGCUUACGUUACAGGUAACAUAAUCUUUAAAUGCUAAUAAUGGUGUAUGAAAACGUAUGACCGUUGCCCUCCUGGGAGGUUACGAUGUACAGAGUGGAUUCCAGUCGGUACGUUAGAUAUGCUCCGAGUGGAUCGUCGCCGACUGGAUGAUGGGGGCGUCCUUAGUUCAGUCGGAACUCUCUAAGGGCCUUGUCUUCUAUGAAGGGUAGUCCUUGGGUAGGACCUAUAGGGCAGACCUAUGACCCUACCCUGGGACUAUAACCCCGUCAUUAGUCCCCGAAUGGAUCGGGGUUGGAACGAUGAAGUGAUGUCUGGAGUUUGGAACCGACUGGUAUUGAGGUGACUUUAGCGUUGUUUGCCUCGAUCCAUUUUAUCCUUUCAGCCAGUGAUCUGAGUGAAUAUGCCAAUGAAACGAACCGUCAGAGACCGUGUGCUUCUGUGGAAUUUAUCGACAUGACCGCUCAAACUGAGAGCGCCGGAUUUUCCGGGAUCCUCAAAUUUCGGUUGCCGCGCGCUCAGCGGGGAUGACGACAUCGCCAUCGAGUAGGUUUUGCCUCCUCGAUUACCGUGUCGUUAUCUUCUCCACUAAUCUUGCAACGGCCGGUUGGGGGGAUAAGAUCCUGGGCCCACAUGUAAGUGACCCAGUCGGAAGCCUAUUAAAGCCUCCCCGGCGGGAUUUCCUGUUGCGCUGCUCAUCCUCCUCCCAUUAAUCUCGCUCCUCCCGGAGCUCUAUGCACACCUCAAGCCACCUCCUUCUCCUCCUCCUCAGCGGAUCCGUCGCCCUCACCAUGACGAAGGGGCAAACCAGCAAGCUCGAGGCGCAAAAGAAGAAGAAGAAGGGGGGCCUCCACUCAGCGGCGGCAGCGGGCGCUGCCGGCGGGCUGGAUCCAGGGGGACUUCCUCCCCUCCUCGGUGACGGAGAACGACGUCCUGGAGCUGGUGCAGCACGGCAUGGUCGUCAACAAGUCCUGGAGGCUGCCGGAAGGCGAGUCAGAGCCCGCGCCGAAGGAGGGGGAGCGCGUUCUGCUGCUCAGCCACGUGGCCAGAGGCUUCUCCUUGCCUCCCCAUCCUUUCUUCCGAGGUAUCAUGAAUUACUUCGGGGCGCAGCUCCAUCACUUUCCUCCGAACGCGAUAGCUCACCUUUCUGCAUUCGUCACCCUCUGCGAGUGCUUCAUAGGAUGUCCUCCCCACUGGGGGCUCUUUAAAUAUGUCUUCUCCGCUAGAUCCCAAACUGUUAAAAAGCUUAGCCAGUCGGAUGAUAAGAUGCACAUCCUCCAGCUCUGCGGGGGUUUAGGCUUUCAGAAGAAAACAAAGAGUAGCUAUCCCUCCCUCCAGCUAUCCGAGUCAGUUAGGAACUGGCAAUCGUCCUGGUUCUAUUGCCAGGACAUUGCUUGCCCGAAUGCUUCGAGUGGGUUGCCACCUUUCAGUUUAGACCGUCCGGGCCCUCCCAGGAAGCUAGUGCUCUCUAAGGGAGAAAGAACCCAGAUCCAACCUUUGGUCGACGCGCUGAUAGCCGUCGUCCGGAGGGGAGUCACCGACAUGGACCUGCUGGAGACUUUUCUGGGUCGGCGCAUCCAGCCGCUGCAGGCCCGAGACCACGCUAUGUGGCAUUACACGGGGCCUUUGGAUACCACAAAGUCUCAUCCAGAGGACAUGAGCGGGGAGACUGUGAGUGCGUGGGUCCGCAGCAUCAGAGGCACGUGUGAUAACCCCGUGGGAGCUCGGCGGGUGAAGCCCUUCUGCGCUGAAAAUCCUCCUCCAAAUGAGGUGAGUACAUGUUGUCGAGUGCUUUUAACCUUCUCAGAUUUAUUGCUUUUCUUGUCUCGCUGCCUGACGUUGCCGACUGUGUUUUGUGCAGGAGUGGACAAACUGGCAUUCUGUAGUCUCGAACGGGAAUCCAGUCGAGGAAGAGGAGGGCGACAUGGAGGGCAGCGCGGAUAGCGCCGAGUACGUCUCUGACAGUGGGGAGACGGAGGAGGAGACGGAAGAGGAGGCGGAGGAGAGUGGAGAGUAGGGCUUGUCACCCUCACCACCACAGCACCGAACCAAGUGCCGUCAUGACCCCGCCGCUCCGCCGGCUCCUCCCGUGGCCCCGAGUGCUCCACCAGCUCCUCCCGUGGCUCCGAGUGCUCGGAGUGUGAAGAGAACCAGGGGUGCUUCCGCCGAGCCCGUGAACCAGCCGUCCAAGGUGGCUAAACCUAGUGGGCCUAAACCUCGGAAAGCCUUGCCCGGGAUGAGGAUCGCUGUUCCAGUCACCUCAGCGUAAGUAUCUUUACUCUUUCAUCUUCCUUCAGUAUCCGAUUGAACUCCUCUUUCUGGGAACUCAUGUUUAUCCGUCGAGUGGAUUUCACUCAACAGAGCUGCUACCUCCGCCACCUCUCUGCCGCGCCAGGACGAUGAUCCCAUGGACACGGAUAACGCCGCCACGUCCCAGCAAGGUACGUUGUCACGACUCCGAGAGUUGUAUUACUGUUUCGCGAGUGCUGUCUUUGAUCUUGACCUUUUUCUGUAAUUUUAUUUUGUUCAGUCGGGCUUCCUUCAAAGGUGAUCCAUCUGGACGACGACGACCAAAGGAGGUCGGAGCCAGCUUUGGCGCCUGUCCCUAGGGUUAUCCCAUCUGCUGCCAAUCCCACCUUGAACGUGCCGCCGGCUGAGACGGUGCCACCGACUGAGACGGUGGCCCUCACGACGGAACCGACUGGAGCAAAGCUCGGGAUGCCCAGGGAGUCUUCUGCCAUGCCGGGUCCGUCGACUGUUCAAUAUGACGCCCGACGCCUCCCGGAAGACCAGGUAGGAGCCUCCAAGGACGCCAUUGUGCAGGUGGAGCUGAUGGUGGGCGACGCCAAGGGAGCGUAUGACUCCAUCGCGUCUCUGUACAAGAAGAGCUUGGAGCUUCGGGAUGAUAUCCGAGUAAGUGCGCUAGUAAGUGUUUACAUUCCUCUUGGUACCCACUGGGGGUUUCAGCGAGGUACUCGGAUGCAAUAGAUUGGUUUUGCAGUGGGUUCGCUCCGAGUGAACCCAGUGGGUGUAGUCCCCGAGACUUCUGCCGAGUGCUUGCGCCGGCAGUUGUCUUGAUAUGUAUUUUCCAUAAUCUGUACAGAUCAGAGCUGAUCUGCCCGAAUGGAACCAGUGGGGGCACGCCGAGUGCACCCACUGGGUGUAGUCCCCGAGAGUAGGGUUACUCGGGUCGAGUAAUAGUAAUCUCAUAGUGUUGUUGGUUUGCUAUGGAGCUCAAUAGGGCCGACAUGUUCGAGCUUCAUACCAGUGGGGUCACUCUCAGUGGACCCACUGGGUGUAGUCCCCGAGACCGCUGUCGAUUGCUUGCAUCGGCACGGGUCUGAAGAAUUUUGAGCUUUGAUUGUUUUGUCAUAUCUGUCGAGACUUUUUCCUUGUUGAAUGUGGCUGAUCCUCCCUUUGUGUCUCUUUGGCAGAAGACUUGUGAAAUGGGAUCGGCCUAUAAUGCUCUGAAGGCCGAGAAGACUCAACUUGCUGCGGACUUGGAGGUGGCUGUGAAUGAUGUGACUGGCAUGAAGAAGGCUCUCGCUGAACAAGAGAAAUCUUUGGAGGAAUCUCUGGAGACCAACAAGGCACUUGUGGCCGAGGUAGAAAAAAUGAAGAAGGAGAGAUCUGACUAGAAGGCCCAGCUGAAGGUAAUGAACACUCGGUGGAGAGCGCAAGAGAACUACGUCGGCGAUUGGGCGAGGAAGAUGGUCGCACUGCUUGGUGGUAAGUUCUUGUCGAGUGCUUUUUGACUUUGGAGUUCACUCCGCGCUUAUUUUCUGCUUGUCUUUUCUUUGCAGAUUUCUGUCGGGACGUUGAGGCCGAAACAGCCGAAAUUGAACGGUCUCUUGUUCCGAAUGUCCCACUUGGCGACGAAGCUAACCGGGACAUGUUCCGAGUGCAUUCUCGCCUUAACAGGGUGGGCCCUUUCAUUGGUCGUCUGAGAAGAGUUGUCGGCCGAAUCGACAAGGAGCUGUGGCCUGAAGACGACUCCCGGAACGAGAUAGAGGGGUUGAUGACUUGACUGGAGGACGUCCCAAGCAGAGUGCAGACAUGGAAGAAGUUUGUCGCUCGGUGUGGUGCGGACGUGGCGCUGUCUCUGGUCCGAGUGCACUGCAAGGAAGCCCGCGAAGACAAGCUGAAGACGUUGCAGGUCACCAACACCAAGAAGCUUCGAUUCGAAGAUUUCAUGGAGACCUUCCUUCACACAGCCACUCGAAUUGCAGACGGAGUCGACCUCGACACCUUUGUGGAGCCUGCCAGUCCCGGCGACGCUUGAUAAACUUUAGGCUGAACGCACAUUUACCUCGGUAUGCCGAGUGGAAUUUGUAUUAUACUUUGGCCACUGCUGUUGGCCGGUACAUUCGUGGUUCGGUGUGGAUAAACAUGAUUCACACCGAGCCGACUAAUCGUAGAUCCAACUUCAAUUCGAAUCGGAUCUUUUGCUCUUCUUUCAUUGAGUUUUUUUACACGAUUUUGGCUCGUGGUUUUUGUUUGGGUGUCUCUUGGUGAAGCCAAUGGCAACUAUGCGGAGCAUGUAGUUGUCAGUUGUCUUCACAUCCACAUGAGCCUCAAUGAGGGUCUGCUAAGCCUCUGAGUGUAUCUCGAGUGCCCAUUCAGAGGAAGCUUUUUACUUAGGCGACUCUGGGUCGCGGCUAAGUCCCCGAGUGUGACUGUUAGUGCGCACUCGGAGCGGGGUGUUACUUAGGCGACUCUGGGUCGCAGCUAAGUCCCAGAGUGUAACUUUUCGUGCACACUCGGAGCGAGUUGUUACUCAUGUAGUUGCCAGUUGUCUUCACAUCCACAUGAGCCUCAAUGAGGGUCUGCUAAGCCUCCGAGUGUAUCUCGAGUAUACACUCGGAGGAAGCUUUUUUACUUAGGCGACUCUGAGUCGCAGCUAAGUCUCCGAGUGUGACUUUUCGUGCACACUCGGAGUGAGUUGUUUACUUAGGCGACUCUGGGUCGCAGCUAAGUCUCCGAGUGUGACUUUUAGUGCACACUCGGAGCGAUUUUGUACUUAGGCGACUCUGGGUCGCAGCUAAGUCUCCGAGUGUGACUUUUAGUGCACACUCGGAGCGAGUUUGUACUUAGGCGACUCUGGGUCGCAGCUAAGUCUCCGAGUGUGACUUUUAGUGCACACUUGGAGCGAGUUUGUACUUAGGCGACUCUAGGUCGCAGCUAAGUCUCCGAGUGUGACUUUUAGUGCACACUCGGAGCGAGUUUGUACUUAGGCGACUCUAGGUCGCAGCUAAGUCUCCGAGUGUGACUUUUCAUGCACACUCGGAGCGAGUUGUUUACUUAGGCGACUUUGGGUCGCAGCUAAGUCCCCGAGUGUGACUUUUAGUGCACACUCGGAGCGAGUUUGAACUUAGGCGACUCUGGGUCGUAGCUAAGUCUCCGAGUGUGACUUUCCGUGCACACUCGGAGCGAGUUGUUUACUUAGGCGACUCUGGGUCGUAGCUAAGUCCCCGAGUGUGACUUUUAGUGCACACUCGGAGCGAGUUUGUACUUAGGCAACUCUGGGUCACAACUAAGUCUCCGAGUGUGACUUUUCAUGCACACUCGGAGCGAGUCGUUUACUUAGGCGACUUUGGGUCGCAGCUAAGUCCCCGAGUGUGACUUUUAGCGCACGCUCGGAGCGAGUUUGUACUUAGGCAACUCUGGGUCACAACUAAGUCUCCGAGUGUGACUUUUCAUGCACACUCGGAGCGAGUCGUUUACUUAGGCGACUUUGGGUCGCAGCUAAGUCCCCGAGUGUGACUUUUAGCGCACGCUCGGAGCGAGUUUGUACUUAGGCAACUCUGGGUCACAACUAAGUCUCCGAGUGUGACUUUUCAUGCACACUCGGAGCGAGUCGUUUACUUAGGCGACUUUGGGUCGCAGCUAAGUCCCCGAGUGUGACUUUUAGCGCACGCUCGGAGCGAGUUUGUACUUAGGCAACUCUGGGUCACAACUAAGUCUCCGAGUGUGACUUUUCAUGCACACUCGGAGCGAGUCGUUUACUUAGGCGACUUUGGGUCGCAGCUAAGUCCCCGAGUGUGACUUUUAGCGCACGCUCGGAGCGAGUUUGUACUUAGGCAACUCUGGGUCACAACUAAGUCUCCGAGUGUGACUUUUCAUGCACACUCGGAGCGAGUCGUUUACUUAGGCGACUUUGGGUCGCAGCUAAGUCCCCGAGUGUGACUUUUAGCGCACGCUCGGAGCGAGUUUGUACUUAGGCAACUCUGGGUCACAACUAAGUCUCCGAGUGUGACUUUUCAUGCACACUCGGAGCGAGUUGUUUACUUAGGCGACUCUGGGUCGCAGCUAAGUCUCCGAGUAUGACUUUUCAUGCACACUCGGAGCGAGUUGUUUACUUAGGCGACUCUGGGUCGCAGCUAAGUCCCCGAGUGUGACUUUUAGCGCACACUCGGAGCAAGUUUGUACUUAGGCGACUCUGGGUCGCAGUUAAGUCUCCGAGUGUGACUUUUAGCGCACACUCGGAGCGAGUUUGUACUUAGGCGACUCUGGGUCGCAGCUAAGUGUCCGAGUGUGACUUUUCGUGCACACUCGGAGCGAGUUGUUUAUUUAGGCGACUCUGGGUCGCAGCUAAGUCCCCGAGUGUGACUUUUAGCGCACAGUCGGAGCGAGUUUGUACUUAGGCGACUCUGGGUCGCAGCUAAGUCUCCGAGUGUGACUUUUCGUGCACACUCGGAGCGAGUUGUUACUUAGGCGACUCUGGGUCGCAGCUAAGUCCCCGAGUGUGACUUUUAGCGCACACUCGGAGCGAGUUUGUACUUAGGCGACUCUGGGUCGCAGCUAAGUCUCCGAGUGUGACUUUUCGUGCACACUCGGAGCGCGUUGUUACCUAGGCGACUCUGGGUCGCAGCUAAGUCUCCGAAUGUGACUUUUAGUGCACACUCGGAGUUGGUUUUUAGAUUGGAGUCUGCAAACGCGGAAGAAUUUUGGGUCGGCAAGAAAUCAAUCUGCUUUGUAUUACUUCGAUGAUACUUGUUCUUUACAUUGUCUCCGUCGACGGUUAUGUGUAGAAGCGCUUCAGUAGAUCUCCAUUCCAUGCUCGCGGCUCGUCCGUUUCCCUGUCGAGGUUGUAGAGUCGAUAUGCUCCGUUGUUCAGCACCUUAGAGAUGAUGAACGGUCCUUCCCAGGCGGGAGCCAACUUGUGUGGUCUCUGCUGAUCCACUGGGAGCACCAGGUCGCCUGCUUGGAAUGUGCGGCUCCCGACGUGCCGCGCAUGAAAUCGCCGCAGAUCUUGUUGCUAAAUUGUUUAACGGAUCAGCGCCAUCUCGCGCUCCUCUUCUAAAAGGUCCACUCCGUCUUGCCUGGCUUGCUCUGCUUCGGCUUCGGAGAAGAGUUCGACUCGUGGAGAGUUGUGAAGCAAGUCACUCGGAAGGACUGUCUCUGCUCCAUAAACGAGGAAAAACGGGGAUCACCCUGUCGAUCUAUUCGGAGUUGUGCGGAGGCCCCACAUCACCGAAGGCAGCUCGGUGACCCAUGCGCCGGCGGCAUGUCCAACUUCUCGCAGGAGUCGAGGCUUCAACCCUUGAAGAAUGAGUUCAUUCGCCCGCUCCGCUUGUCCAUUUGUUUGGGGGUGCAUGACGGAUGCAAAAUCCACUUUGAUACCUUGGCCUGCGCAAAAACCUUUGAACCUGUCCGAGUCAAAGUUUGUGCCAUUGUCGGUGAUUAUGCUAUGCGGAACCCCAUAUCUGGGGAUGAUGUCUGUGAUAAAUUUGAUGGCCGUAAGGGCAUCAAGCUUCUUGAUAGGCUUGGCUUCAAUCCACUUGGUAAACUUGUCGACUGCUACCAGCAGAUGAGUGAAUCCUCCUUGGCCUGUUCUGAAUGGUCCGACUGUAUCUAAUCCCCACACGGCGAAUGGCCAAGCAAGAGGAAUUGUCUUCAGCGCAGACGUUGGCUUGUGGGACUUGUUUGAAUAGAACUGACAACCUUCGCAACGGUCGACCAUAUCUUUUGCCAUUUCAUUCGCCUGCAAUCAGAAGAAACCAGCUCUGAAUGCUUUGGCGACGAUUGCCCUUGAGGAGGCAUGAUGACCGCAGGUUCCCGAGUGAAUUUAUUCCAAGAUUAACUGUCCCUCCUCAGGAGAGAUACACCGCUGAAGGACGCCUGAAACACUUUCCCUGUACAACUGGUCAUCAAUGACGGUGAAGGACUUCGACCUGCGAACGAUCUGCCUAGCUUGGACUUCGUCUUCUGGUAACUCUUGCCUCAUGAUGUACGCAAUGAAUAGCACAGUCCAUUCGGGAAUGACAGCAAGAAGCUCCAUGAUCAAAACAACCACAGCGGGGACCUCGACUUCAAUCUGAUCUGUUGAGCUCUUCGGUUGUACUGGUUCCUCUGUAAAAGGAUCUUCUUUUACCGAGGGGAGUUGUAGGUGCUCGAGGCAGACAUCCCUCGGGACCGGUCUCCGAGUGGAUCCAAGUUUUGCCAAUUCAUCUACUGCUUGGUUUUUCAGUCGGGGAACGUGCUGAAGUUCCAGACCUUCGAACUUUUAGUGCACACUCGGAGCGAGUUUGUACUUAGGCGACUCUGGGUCGCAGCUAAGUCUCCGAGUGUGACUUUUAGUGCACACUUGGAGCGAGUUUGUACUUAGGCGACUCUGGGUCGCAGCUAAGUCUCCGAGUGUGACUUUUAGUGCACACUCGGAGCGAGUUUGUACUUAGGCGACUCUAGGUCGGAGCUAAGUCUCCGAGUGUGACUUUUCAUGCACACUCGGAGCGAGUUGUUUACUUAGGCGACUUUGGGUCGCAGCUAAGUCCCCGAGUGUGACUUUUAGUGCACACUCGGAGCGAGUUUGAACUUAGGCGACUCUGGGUCGUAGAUAAGUCUCCGAGUGUGACUUUCCGUGCACACUCGGAGCGAGUUGUUUACUUAGGCGACUCUGGGUCAUAGCUAAGUCCCCGAGUGUGACUUUUAGCGCACACUCGGAGCGAGUUUGUACUUAGGCAACUCUGGGUCACAACUAAGUCUCCGAGUGUGACUUUUCAUGCACACUCGGAGCGAGUUGUUUACUUAGGCGACUCUGGGUCGCAGCUAAGUCCCCGAGUGUGACUUUUAGUGCACACUCGGAGCGAGUUUGUACUUAGGCGACUCUGGGUCGCAGCUAAGUCUCCGAGUGUGACUUUUCGUGCACACUCGGAGCGAGUUGUUACUUAGGCGACUCUGGGUCGCAGCUAAGUCUCCGAAUGUGACUUUUAGUGCACACUCGGAGUUGGUUUUUUAGAUUGGAGUCUGCAAACGCGGAAGAAUUUUGAGUCGGCAAGAAAUCAAUCUGCUUUGUAUUACUUCGAUGAUACUUGUUCUUUACAUUGUCUCCGUCGACGGUUAUGUGUAGAAGCGCUUCAGUAGAUCUCCAUUCCAUGCUCGCGGCUCGUCCGUUUCCCUGUCGAGGUUGUAGAGUCGAUAUGCUCCGUUGUUCAGCACCUUAGAGAUGAUGAACGGUCCUUCCAAGGCGGGAGCCAACUUGUGUGGUCUCUGCUGAUCCACUGGGAGCACCAGGUCGCCUGCUUGGAAUGUGCGGCUCCCGACGUGCCGCGCAUGAAAUCGCCGCAGAUCUUGUUGCUAAAUUGUUUAACGGAUCAGCGCCAUCUCGCGCUCCUCUUCUAAAAGGUCCACUCCGUCUUGCCUGGCUUGCUCUGCUUCGGCUUCGGAGAAGAGUUCGACUCGUGGAGAGUUGUGAAGCAAGUCACUCGGAAGGACUGUCUCUGCUCCAUAAACGAGGAAAAACGGGGAUCACCCUGUCGAUCUAUUCGGAGUUGUGCGGAGGCCCCACAUCACCGAAGGCAGCUCGGUGACCCAUGCGCCGGCGGCAUGUCCAACUUCUCGCAGGAGUCGAGGCUUCAACCCUUGAAGAAUGAGUUCAUUCGCCCGCUCCGCUUGUCCAUUUGUUUGGGGGUGCAUGACGGAUGCAAAAUCCACUUUGAUACCUUGGCCUGCGCAAAAACCUUUGAACCUGUCCGAGUCAAAGUUUGUGCCAUUGUCGGUGAUUAUGCUAUGCGGAACCCCAUAUCUGGGGAUGAUGUCUGUGGUAAAUUUGAUGGCCGUAAGGGCAUCAAGAUUCUUGAUAGGCUUGGCUUCAAUCCACUUGGUAAACUUGUCGACUGCUACCAGCAGAUGAGUGAAUCCUCCUUGGCCUGUUCUGAAUGGUCCGACUGUAUCUAAUCCCCACACGGCGAAUGGCCAAGCAAGAGGAAUUGUCUUCAGCGCAGACGUUGGCUUGUGGGACUUGUUUGAAUAGAACUGACAACCUUCGCAACGGUCGACCAUAUCUUUUGCCAUUUCAUUCGCCUGCAAUCAGAAGAAACCAGCUCUGAAUGCUUUGGCGACGAUUGCCCUUGAGGAGGCAUGAUGACCGCAGGUUCCCGAGUGAAUUUAUUCCAAGAUUAACUGUCCCUCCUCAGGAGAGAUACACCGCUGAAGGACGCCUGAAACACUUUCCCUGUACAACUGGUCAUCAAUGACGGUGAAGGACUUCGACCUGCGAACGAUCUGCCUAGCUUGGACUUCGUCUUCUGGUAACUCUUGCCUCAUGAUGUACGCAAUGAAUAGCACAGUCCAUUCGGGAAUGACAGCAAGAAGCUCCAUGAUCAAAACAACCACAGCGGGGACCUCGACUUCAAUCUGAUCUGUUGAGCUCUUCGGUUGUACUGGUUCCUCUGUAAAAGGAUCUUCUUUUACCGAGGGGAGUUGUAGGUGCUCGAGGCAGACAUCCCUCGGGACCGGUCUCCGAGUGGAUCCAAGUUUUGCCAAUUCAUCUACUGCUUGGUUUUUCAGUCGGGGAACGUGCUGAAGUUCCAGACCUUCGAACUUUUUCUCGAGCUCGCUUAUUGCGUUGCAGUAUGCAGUCAUGGUGGGGUUCCUUACAUCCCAUUCCUUCAUUACUUGAUUAACCACUAGAUCUGAGUCGCCAUAGACCAUCAGUCGACGGACGCCGAGUGUGAUGGCCACGCGCAACCUGUAAAGGAGAACUUCGUACUCUGCUUCGUUGUUGGAAGAAUCAAAAUGGAUCUGCAACACAUACUUGAGUUUAUCACCUUUUGGGGAUAUGAGCACUACACCGGCGCCGGAGCCAUUCAACAUCUUGGACCCAUCGAAGAACAUGGUCCAAUGAGCCGAGUAGAUGUGAGUCGGUUGCUGUUGUUCUACCCAUUCUGCUAUGAAGUCAGCAAGAGCUUGAGACUUUAUAGCUUUCUUGGCUUCGAACUUGAUGUUGCAGUAUAGCAUCUCCAUUGCCCACUUUGCCACUCGGCCUGAUGUGUCCCGAUUGUGGAGAAUUUCUGACAACGGAGCAUCAGAUAUGACAGAUACCGAGUGGUCUUGGAAAUAAUGAGCCACCUUCUUUGCAGUCAUGUAGAUCCCAUAAAUAAGCUUCUGAUAAUGGGGAUACCUCUGCUUGGAAGGAGUCAGGACUUCGGAAACAUAAUAUACUGGUCGCUAAACCUUGUACGCUUUGCCUUCUUCUUCGCGUUCCACUGUCAGAACGGUGCUGACGACUUGAUUUGUAGCCGCGAUGUACAGAAGAAGGGGUUCUUUACUAAGCGGGGCAGUAAGAACCGGUUGGGUGGAAAGCAGGGCUUUGAGGUCGUCGAAUGCGAUUUGGGCUUCGUCUGUCCGCUCGAAGGUAUCGGACUUCUUCAUGAGUCGGUACAGAGGUAACGCCUUCUCGCCGAGUCGAGCGAUAAACCUGCUCAAAGCCGCUAGGAAACCCGUGAGCUUUUGAACAUCAUGUACUCUUACCGGCCGCUCCAUUCGAACAAUGGUCACGAUCUUUUCGGGGUUGACAUCGAUCCCUCGUUCGGAGACGAAGAAACCGAGUAACUUCCCGCUGGGAAUGCCGAAUGAACAUUUGGCUGGGUUGAGCUUGAUAUCGUACCUACGUACGUUGGUCAAUGUUUCUGCCAAGUCAGUCAGUAGGUCGGAACCUUUGCGUGACUUUACUACGAUAUCAUCCAUAUAUGCCUCCACAUUUCGACCGAUCUGGUCUAGGAGGCAUUUUUGGAUCAUGCGCAUAAAAGUUGCUCCUGCAUUCUUCAAACCGAAUGGCAUAGUGAUGUAACAGAAGCACCCGAAUGGGGUGAUGAAGGCUGUUUUUAAUUCAUCUGGACCAUACAGACGGAUCUGAUGAUAGCCCGAAUAGGUAUCAAGGAAGGAUAAACGCUCGCAACCCGCAGUCGAAUCAACGAUUUGAUCAAUGCGGGAGAGCGGGAAGUGAUCUUUCGGACAAACCUUAUUGAGAUGCUUGAAAUCGAUGCACAUACGGAGAGACUUGUCCUUCUUGGGCACCAUGACAACAUUAGCGAGCCACUCAGAGUGGUGCACCUCGCGAAUGAAGUUGGCUGCCAAAAGUUUAGCCACCUCCUCUCCGAUUGCUUUCCUCUUGUGCGCGACGGACCGACGCAGGCGUUCUCGGACGGGCCGAGCGGCAGGAUCCACAUGCAGUCGGUGCUCAGCCAACUCCCUAGGUACACCUGGCAUGUCAGCAGGCUUCCAUGCAAAAAGGUCCCUGUUCUCACGGAGGAAUUGGAUGAGCUCGGCUUCCUAUUUUGGAUCAAGGGUGGUGGAGAUGUUUGUCGGGGAGGCGGCGGCGUCCGUCGGGUGGAUGCUGACUUUCUUCGUGUAUCCCGCCGACUGGAAUGCGGACUCGGAAGCUGGCUUCUUUGAACGCAUCAGGUCAGCGGGGUCGGCGGUCUUGUUGUACUCAUCCAGCUCAAGUACAGCCAUCUGAUGAUCGGCAAUUCUCGACCCCUGCUGCAGACAAUCCUCGGCCCGCUGCCGAUUGCGUGUGGCAGUAAUCUCACCUUUGGGACCGGGCAUCUUCAGCUUCAAAUAGACAUAACAUGGACGGGCCAUGAAACGCGCAUAUGCCGGACGGCCCAGAAUCGCAUGCUAUGCACUCUAGAAGUCUACCACCUCGAAUGUCAGCUUCUCCUUGCGGAAGUUCUUAUCAGAGCCGAAGACGACAUCCAACGCAAUCUGGCCGAGUGAUUUGGCCUUUCUUCCUGGGACGACUCCGUGGAACUGCAUACUGCUCUCGCUAAGUUUGGACAUCGGAAUGCCCAUUCCCUUGAGAGUGUCAGCGUAUAUGAUAUUCAAGCCGCUGCCGCCGUCCAUGAGGACUUUGCGCAGCCUAACUCCUUCCACCACCGGGUCGACGACCAGAUCUUGCCUCCCUGGGGUGGGUACGUGUGCUGGGUGGUCUGACUGAUCAAAGGUGAUCGCAGUCUGUGACCACUUGAGGAACGUGGGAGUGGAUGGGGUUGCCAUGUUUACCUCCCUGUUAACCAGCUUCAGUCGACUUUUGCUUUCCACAUCAGCAAAAAUCAUCAACGUUGCAUGGACAUGGGGGAACGGAUCCUCCUUGUCCUCAUCAUCCUGGUCGGUGUCCUUCUCACUCGGUUGUCCUUCACCGAAUCCUUGGAUCAGGAGGCGACACUGCCGAGUGGUAUGCUUCGGCAAUAUCACAUUGCCUUCUUCAUCCGUCUUCAUGUGGAUUGGACACGGUUGAUCCAGGAUGGAAUUUCCUGACUGCCUCUUCUUGGGGGUGUACCGUGCUUUCCCCUUGCCUUUGAACUUGGCAUUUGUAACGGCUCCUGCAUCUGCCUGCGGAGUGGAUUGAGCUUUGUGCUUCUGCUUCCGAUUGUUGUUCCCAUCUCCAUCGGCGACUGACUUAUGCUUGCCGCUACGUAUGCGGUCCUCCUCUUCGACAUUUGCAUAGCGCGUGGCUAUCUCCAUCAUCUUGCUCAUGGAGAUGUCGCCUGUCCGAUCGAACUUCAGGUACAGAUCUCUGUACCGCAUGCCUGCCUUGAAGGCGUAGACUGCUUGGUGCUCUGUGACGUUCUCCACCGUGUGGUAGAGGGUCGUCCAGCGCUGGAUGAAAUCGCGCAAGGGCUCGUUCUGCUUCUGGACACAAUGCUGGAGCUCUACGAGACCAGCAGGGCGUUUGCACGUACCCUCGAAGGUCCUGAUGAAGACUCGGGACAGAUCUGCCUAGCUGUAGAUGCUUGACGGAGCUAAAUGGUUUAGCCAAGCUCGCGCCGAACCGUCGAGCAUCAGGGGGAGAUGUUUCAUGGCAGCAUGGUCAUCUCCGCCACCGAUCUGGACCUCCACUCUGUAGUCGUCCAACCAAGUUUCUGGUUUGGAUUCUCCCAUGAAUUUGCUGAUUCCCGUCGCCAAUCGCAAGUUGGGAGGGAUGUCAGCUGAGCGGAUGGCCCGACUGAAGCACUCGAGGCCAGAAACGACGGUCCUGCUUCCACUCGUACGGUCUCUAUCGUGACCAUCACGGUGGGCUCGACUUCUGUCGACCAUCUUCUGGGCAAUGUACCCUCUUGCAUCAGGCCUUGGAUCAUGCGCGCCAUCGCACGAACGACGAUCAUCGUAAUGACGGGGCCCAUAAGGCCCACUCCGUGGAGGAGAACGCGAACGGCGACGAUCUUCGGGAUGAGACCGAUCUUGGGGAACGUCGCAUGGGAAACAAAAAUUUUCCUACGCGCACGAAGACCUAUCAUGGUGAUGUCCAUCUACGAGAGGGGAUGAGUGAUCUACGUACCCUCGUAGACCGUACAGCAGAAGCGUUAGAGAACGCGGUUGAUGUAGUGGAACGUCCUCACGUCCCUCGAUCCGCCCCGCGAACAAUCCCGCGAUCAGUCCCACGAUCUAGUACCGAACGGACGGCACCUCCGCGUUCAGCACACGUACAGCUCGACGAUGAUCUCGGCCUUCUUGAUCCAGCAAGAGAGACGGAGAGCUAGAAGAGUUCUCCGGCAGCAUGACGGCGCUCCGGAGGUUGGUGAUGACCUUGUCUCAGCAGGGCUCCGCCCGAGCUCCGCAGAAACGCGAUCUAGAGGAAAAACCGUGGAGGUAUGUGGUCGGGCUGCCGUGGAAAAAUCGUCUCAAAUCAGCCCUAAAACCUCCGUAUAUAUAGGUGGGAGGGAGGGGACCUUGCCUUGGGGCUCAAGGAGCCCCACGGGGGUCGGCCGAGUCCAAGGGGGGAGGACUCCCCCCCAAACCGAGUUGGACUUGGUUUGGUGGGAGGGAGUCCCCCUUCCUUCCCACCUCCUCCUUUUUUUUUCUUUCUCUUUGAUUUUUAUCUCUAUGGCGCAUAGAGCACUUGUGGGCUGUCCCACCAGCCCACUAAGGGCUGGUGUGCCUCCCUCAAGGCCUAUGGGCUUCCCCGGGGUGGAUUGCCCCCCCCCCGGUGAACUCCCGGAACCCAUUCGUCAUUCCCGGUACAUUCCCGGUAACUCCGAAAACCUUCCGGUAAUCAAAUGAGGUCAUACUAUAUAUCAAUCUUCAUUUCCGGACCAUUCCGGAAACCCUCGUGACGUCCGUGAUCUCAUCCGGGACUCCGAACAACAUUCGGUAACCAACAAUAUAACUCAAAUACGCAUAAAACAACGUCAAACCUUAAGUGUGCAGACCCUGCGGGUUCGAGAACUAUGUAGACAUGACCCGAGAGACUUCUCGGUCAAUAUCCAAUAGCGGGACCUGGAUGCCCAUAUUGGAUCCUACAUAUUCUACGAAGAUCUUAUCGUUUGAACCUCAGUGUCAAGGAUUCAAAUAAUCCCGUAUGUUAUUCCCUUUGUCCUUCGGUAUGUUACUUGCCCGAGAUUUGAUCGUCAGUAUCCGCAUACCUAUUUCAAUCUCGUUUACCGGCAAGUCUCUUUACUCGUUCCGUAAUACAAGAUCCCGCAACUUACACUAAGUUACAUUGCUUGCAAGGCUUGUGUGUGAUGUUGUAUUACCGAGUGGGCCCCGAGAUACCUCUCCGUCACACGAAGUGACAAAUCCCAGUCUUGAUCCAUACUAACUCAACUAACACCUUCGGAGAUACCUGUAGAGCAUCUUUAUAGUCACCCAGUUACGUUGCGACGUUUGAUACACACAAAGCAUUCCUCCGGUGUCAGUGAGUUAUAUGAUCUCAUGGCCAUAGGAAUAAAUACUUGACACACAAAAAACAGUAGCAACAAAAUGACACGAUCAACAUGCUACGUCUAUUAGUUUGGGUCUAGUCCAUCACGUGAUUCUCCUAAUGACGUGAUCCAGUUGUCAAGCAACAACACCUUGUUCAUAAUCAAAAGACACUGACAAUCUUUGAUCAACUGGCUAGCCAACUAGAGGCAUGCUAGGGACUGUGUUUUGUCUAUGUAUCCACACAUGUAAAUGAGUCUUCAUUCAAUACAAUUAUAGCAUGGAUAAUAAACGAUUAUCUUGAUACAGGAAUUAUAAUAAUAACUAUAUUUAUUAUUGCCUCUAGGGCAUAAUUCCAACAGUGUCCCACUUGCACUAGAGUCAAUAAUCUAGCCCUCACAUCACCAUGUGAAUUACAUUGUAAUAAAUCUAACACCCAUACAGUUCUGGUGUCGAUCAUGUUUUGGCCGUGGAAGAGGUUUAGUCAGCGGGUCUGCUACAUUCAGAUCCGUGUGCACUUUGCAUAUAUUUACGUCCUCUUCCUCGACGUAGUCGCGGAUGAGGUUGAAGCGUCGUUUGAUGUGUCUGGUCUUCUUGUGAAACCGUGGUUCCUUUGCUAAGGCAAUGGCACCAGUGUUGUCACAGAACAAGGUUAUUGGAUUCAGUGUGCUUGGCACCACUCCAAGAUCCGUCAUGAACUGCUUCAUCCAGACACCCUCCUUAGCCGCCUCCGAGGCAGCCAUGUACUCCGCUUCACAUGUAGAAUCUGCUACGACGCUUUGCUUGGAACUGCACCAGCUUACUGCACCCCCAUUAAGAAUAAAUACGUAUGCGGUUUGUGACUUAGAGUCGUCCGGAUCUGUGUCAAAGCUUGCAUCGACGUAACCUUUUACGGCGAGCUCUUCGUCACCUCCAUACACGAGAAACAUCUCCUUAGUCCUUUUCAGGUACUUCAGGAUAUUCUUGACCGCUGUCCAGUGAUCCACUCCUGGAUUACUCUGGAACCUACCUGCCAUACUUAUGGCCAGGCUAACAUCCGGUCUAGUGCACAGCAUUGCAUACAUGAUAGAACCUAUGGCUGAAGCAUAGGGGACGGAGCGCAUAUGCUCUCUAUCUUCAUCAGUUGUUGGGCACUGAGUCUUACUCAAUCUCGUACCUUGUAGAACUGGCAAGAACCCUUUCUUGGACUGUUCCAUUUUGAACCUCUUCAAAACUUUAUCAAGGUAUGUGCUUUGUGAAAGUCCUAUCAGGCGUUUUGAUCUAUCCCUAUAGAUCUUAAUGCCUAGAAUGUAAGCAGCUUCUCCUAGGUCCUUCAUAGAGAAACUUUUAUUCAAGUAACCUUUUAUGCUCUCCAAAAACUCUACGUUGUUUCCAAUCAGUAAUAUGUCAUCCACAUAUAAUAUUAGAAACGCCACAGAGCUCCCACUCACUUUCUUGUAAAUACAAGAUUCUCCAACCACUUGUACAAACCCAAAUGCUUUGAUCACCUCAUCAAAGCGUUUGUUCCAACUCUGAGAUGCUUGCACCAGUCCAUCAAUGGAUCGCUGGAGCUUGCACACCUUGUUAGCAUUCUUAGGAUCGACAAAACCUUCGGGUUGUAUCAUAUACAACUCUUCCUCAAGGAAACCGUUAAGGAACGCCGUUUUGACAUCCAUCUGCCAGAUUUCAUAAUCGAAAAAUGCAGCUAUUGCUAACAUGAUUCUGACGGACUUAAGCAUCGCUACGGGUGAGAGAGUCUCAUCGUAGUCAACUCCUGGAACUUGUGAAAAACCCUUUGCCACAAGUCGAGCUUUAUAAACGGUUACAUUGCCGUCAGCGUCCGUCUUUUUCUUAAAGAUCCAUUUGUUCUGAAUAGCCUUGCGGCCCUCAGGUAGUAUCUCCAAAGUCCACACUUUCUUCUCAUACAUGGAUCCUAUCUCGGACUUCAUGGCUUCUAGCCAUUUGUUGGAAUCUGGGCCCACCAUUGCUUCUUCAUAAUUUGCAGGUUCAUUGUUGUCUAACAACAUGAUUGACAAGACGGGAUUACCGUACCACUCUGGAGCAGCACGUGAUCUCGUCGACCUGCGUGGUUCAACAGAAACUUGAACUGGAGUUUCAUGAUCAUCAUCAUUAACUUCCUCCUCAACCGGCGUCGCAAUGACAGAGGUUUCCCCUUGCCCUGCGCCACCAUCCAGAGGGAUGAAAGGUUCGACAACCUCGUCAGGUUCUAUCUUCCUCCCACUCAAUUCUCUCGAGAGAAACUCCUUCUCGAGAAAAGCUCCGUUUUUAGCAAUAAACACUUUGCCUCGGAUUUGAGAUAGAAGGUGUACCCAACUGUCUCUUUUGGGUAACCUAUGAAGACGCACUUUUCCGCUUUGGGUUCCAGCUUUUCAGGCUGAAGCUUUUUGACAUAAGCAUCGCAUCCCCAAACUUUAAGAAACGACAACUUUGGCCUUUUGCCAUACCACAGUUCGUAUGGUGUCGUCUCAACGGAUUUUGAUGGUGCCCUAUUUAAAGUGAAUGCAGCUGUUUCUAAUGCAUAACCCCAAAAUGAUAACGGCAAAUCAGUAAGAGACAUCAUAGACCGCACCAUCUCUAAUAGAGUACGAUUACGACGUUCGGACACAACAUUACGAUGUGGUGUUCCAGGCGGUGUUAACUGUGAAACAAUUCCACACUGUCUUAAGUGAGCACCAAACUCGAAACUCAGAUAUUCACCCCCACGAUCAGACCGUAGGAACUUGAUCUUCUUGUUGCGAUGAUUUUCCACUUCACUCUGAAAUUGCUUGAACUUUUCAAAUGUUUCAGACUUGUGCUUCAUCAAGUAGACAUAACCAUAUCUACUUAAAUCGUCAGUGAAGGUGAGAAAAUAACGAUAUCCGCCGCGUGCCUCCAUGCUCAUCAGACCACACACAUCGGUAUGUAUGAUUUCCAACAAGUCACUUGCACGCUCCAUUGUUCCUGAGAACAGAGUCUUAGUCAUCUUGCCUAUGAGGCAUGGUUCGCACGUGUCAAGUGAAUCAAAGUCAAGUGACUCCAAAAGUCCAUCAGCAUGGAGUUUCUUCAUGCGCUUUACACCAAUAUGACCUAAGCAGCAGUGCCACAAAAAUAUGGCGCUAUCAUUGUUAACUCUAACUCUUUUGGUCUCAAUGUUAUGUAUAUGCGUAUCGCUAUCAAGAUUCAAUAUGAACAAUCCUCUCACAUUCGGUGCAUGACCACAAAAGAUGUUACACAUAGAAAUAGAACAACCAUUAUUCUCUGACUUAAAAGAGUAACCGUCUCGCAAUAAACAAGAUCCAGAUAUAAUGUUCAUGCUCAACGCAGGCACUAAAUAACAAUGAUUUAAGUUCAUCACUAAUCCUGAUGGUAGUUGAAGUGACACUGUGCCGACGGCGAUUGCAUCAACCUUGGAACCAUUUCCUACGCGCAUCGUCACUUCAUCUUUCACCAGCCUUCGUCUAUUCCGCAGUUCCUGUUUCGAGUUGCAAAUAUGAGCAACAGAACCGGUAUCGAAUACCCAGGCACUACUACGAGAGCCGGUUAAGUACACAUCAAUAACAUGUAUAUCAAAUAUACCUGAUUUUUCUUUGCCCGCCUUCUUAUCUGCCAGAUACUUGGGGCAAUUGCGCUUCCAGUGACCCAUACCCUUGCAAUAGUAACACUCUGUUUCUGGCUUAGGUCCAGCUUUGGGUUUCUUCGUCGGAUUGGCAACAGGCUUGCCGCUCUUCUUCGAAUUGCCCUUCUUGCCUUUGCCAUUUCUCUUGAAACUAGUGGUCUUAUUCACCAUCAACACUUGAUGCUCUUUACGGAGUUCAGACUCUGCGACUUUCAACAUCGCAAACAACUCGCCGGGAGACUUGUUCAUCCCUUGCAUGUUGUAGUUCAACACAAAGCCUUUAUAGCUUGGUGGCAGUGAUUGAAGGAUUCUAUCAGUGAUGGCUUCUUGCGGGAGUUCAAUCCCCAGCUCAGCUAGACGGUUUGAGUACCCAGACAUUUUGAGCACAUGUUCACUGACAGACGAGUUUUCCUCCAUCUUGCAAGCAUAGAAUUUAUCGGAGGUCUCAUACCUCUCGAUCCGGGCGUUCUUCUGAAAGAUAAACUCCAACUCCUGGAACAUCUCAAAUGCUCCAUGACGCUCAAAGCGACGUUGAAGUCCCGGUUCUAAGCCAUACAAGACUGCACAUUGAACUAUUGAGUAGUCCUCCUUACGUGCUAACCAAGCGUUCUUAACAUCCUGAUCGGCCGUAGCGGGUGGUUCAUCUCCUAGCGCAGCAUUAAGGACAUAAUGCUUCUUCCCAUCUUGUAAGAUUAGCUUAAGAUUACUAGCCCGGUCUACAAAGUUGCUUCCAUCAUCUUUCAACUUAGCUUUCUCUAGGAACGUAUUAAAAUUCAGGAUGACUGUCGCAUGAGCCAUGAUCUACAACACAAAUAUAUUCAAAGUGGACUUAGAUUAUGUUCAAGAUAAUUAGAGUUUAACUUAAUCAAAUUAUUCGCUAAACUCCCACUCAAAAAGUACAUCUCUCUAGUCAUUUGAGUGGUUCAUGAUCCACUUACACUAGCUCAAGUUCGAUCAUCACGUGAGUUGAGUAUAGUUUCAGUGGUAAGCAUCCCUAUGCUAAUCAUAUCAUCUAUAUGAUUCAUGAUCGACCUUUCAGUCUCAUGUGUUCCGAGGCCAUGUCUGCACAUGCUAGGCUCGUCAAGCUUAACCCGAGUGUUCCGCGUGCGCAACUGUUUUGCACCCGUUGUAUGUGAACGUUGAGUCUAUCACACCCGAUCAUCACGUGGUGUCUCGAAACGACGAACUGUAGCAACGGUGCACAGUCGGGGAGAACACAAUUUCGUCUUGAAAUUUUAGUGAGAGAUCACCUCAUAAUGCUACCGUCGUUCUAAGCAAAAUAAGGUGCAUAAAAGGAUUAAGAUCACAUGCAAUUCAUAAGUGACAUGAUAUAGCCAUCAUCACGUGCUUCUUGAUCUCCAUCACCAAAGCACCGGCCCGAUCUUCUUGUCACCGGCGCCACGCCAUGAUCUCCAUCAACGUGUUGCCAUCGGGGUUGUCGUGCUACUCAUGCUAUUACUACUAAAGCUACAUCCUAGCAAAAUAGUAAACGCAUCUGCAAGCACAAACGUUAGUAUAAUGACAACCCUAUGGCUCCUGCCGGUUGCCGUACCAUCGACGUGCAAGUCGAUAUUUCUAUUACAACAUGAUCAUCUCAUACAU
rnacentral:lncRNA from 1 species